rnacentral:lncRNA from 1 species
ACUUUGAAUGUGGAGGUUCAUCAAUUACAGGAAAACCGUUGUGCCUUGUAGUUCGCAACACAUGUACCACAUUAGCGACCUUCUCGAUGCCAUGAAACAGCUGAAGGGGCCCACUCACUACAUCACCAACUGUUAAUUGUCUCAUAUAUGGCUCGGCAUAGGUCUCAAGGUAAGGAAAGCCCUUCGCUUUCAUGAUAAGGUCAUAGAUGUUGCCGUUGAAAGCAUCAGCUACGGUCUUUGAAAUAAGAAGAACCACCAUCAUCAAGGGUAGCAACAGCAGAUUGUUCGUCAGUUCCAAAAGGAUUACACAUAGAGAAACUGUCAUCCUCAUAGAUCCACCAAGAAAAGAAGCAGCACCCAGCACAGCAAAAAGACCAUGGUUAAGAUUGGAAUGAGAACCAAUCAACAUUCCAACCAAACGCCCAUAAGAUGCACCAGUAACUAUUACAGGAACGAAAAGGCCAGCAGGAGCGACAAUGCCAUAGCUAAGUAUACUCAAGAAAUAACAUGUGACAAAGAAUAUAAUUAUAGAAGAGUACUGGAACUCGUCAUCCGUGCCCUUGCUAAAGAGAUUUUGAAGUCCUGUUAUGUAUCCUGACCUUGAUCAGAGCUUUAGUUCCAGCCUCCGAUGAAUCCUUCCUUCCAUUUGAAAGAGGGAUCUUCUUUUUCCAGCAAAUUCCAUCGCCGAAAAUGGCGACUGCGCAAAAACAAUCAGCCAAGCAAGCCUCUCUGCACCAGUCCUCGGUUUGUGCCACGCUACGCUCGUAAUCAGACUCUGGCCAGUUUGUAUUGGGCAUUUCAAGCAAAUCGAAUUGGUCUGUUUCACGCCUACUUCCGUUACAAUUCUGUGGUGCGAAGGUCUGUAUGCAUCCGUUCAUCUCGUUCGUUGAAUCUAACAGAGUAUAUCCAGGUGGGCAUUGGCAUCGAGGCCUCAGAUCAUCUCCAAGAGUACAGUAGCUGUUGAAGCCACAAGCUCCACUGCCAAUCUGUUGGGCGAUGCUCGUGCAUAAAUUUUGUGGGACUGGGGCAGAGACCCUCGACCAGCCAAUAAGCCGGCCAGAACUUGAAUUUGCCGUCUUAGGGUGGAUAUAUUGCCUAAAUACCCCGUCGUAUUCAAGGAUCGCUCUUUGGUAAUAUCCGCUUGUUGGAACUAGUUCUGCGGUGAUGGUGUUGAGUAUUGUUCCAUUCCUGUCCGUGAGGUAGACCUGACCACUUUGAUUGAAUAUCAACCGGAAGCCCAUACGGCCAGCGGUGAUGGUGUUGGUGGCCCAGUAUGCAUCUGAGACUACCAGCGGGGUAGGAGUGGCAUAGAGCACGAGAUUUCCGUCGGUUUGCAGUGCGAAGAGGAAUCUCCCGGUGGAGUAAUUCAUUUCGGAAUAGCGAGCUUUAACAUUAGCCCCAAGAUCUAACUGCUGCAUAGGCAAUAUUGUAUCCGUUGGUUGGCUGAACGAAUCCCACAAGUUGACGUGGUUCACGCUCGCUAGGAUGAAGUUCCCCGUGUCGAGCAUGGCCGCAUACGCUAAGCCACUGCCGUUCAGGCCAGAAGACCACAGCUCUCUCUCUCUUGGGUCGGUAAGCACCAGCCCGCCGUUGGCGGUCAACUGGACUUGCGAACCUUCGGGCGCUAGAUUAUCGCCAUUCGCCGACCAGACGAUGGUCUUGUCCUCUAUCUUCUCGAACCAUAUAGCCAACAAAUGAGCUCCUGUUCCCAUUCUCUGGAACCCGAAGGCAAACUCGCCCGACGGCGACAGCCAGGAAGAGUUCUGGUCGUUCGCCGUCAACAAGGAGCCCAAGGUCAAGUUGCCGCGGAUCUGAGCUUCGGCGGAAAGGGGAAGUGGAACGAGUACUAGAAGGAUUCCUAGUAUAACUGAAGCCAUGUUUGAUGAAACAGGCGUGCUCCUUGAGUUGAGCUACUUCGGCCUUAAGGAUGAAACCAACGUUCUUAUAGAGACUGCCUACUUUCCAAGCUACCGGAGUCUCUCCCGUACGUCCCGUCCUUCACGGCGGACAGCCUUUGCCCAUGUCAACCCGUAUAUCUAUCAACUAUCUUUGACCAAAAACAAAACACAUAUAUCUAUCUAGAAUAAUGACUUUACCAUAUGGUCUGAAGUUUUAUAAAAGCUCCAUCUGUAAUAAAAGGAAAUGAUUGAUCAAAAUAUAAGGUGAUAUUCGUUAAUAUAUUUUAUUAAUCAACUUUUUUUUUGUAUUAAUAGACCAUUUAGAAGUGUAUGAUGAGCAUCCAAUUUUCGCAAUUUGGUCUUUCUUUUGUUUUUCGUUAUUGAGGCCUUUUUUGCCUUUUUACUUUGUCUCGUUUCUUUUUUCUUAAAGUAUCUUAUUAGUUCCAUUAAUAUUUUCAUCAACAUAUAAAUAAAAAUAAUUUAUGAUAGUAUCAUUGGUAUUGAUUUUUUUCGGAUUAUAAUGUUUUAGCAAAUUUAUAUUUUCUCUAUUUUCUUUGUUUUUCACUUUUUUUUUUAUAGAAAUUAAUACUGAAAGAACUUGUCAAAUUUAGAAUAAGGCGACUCUGCUCCAUAAGCUUGCCAGGGACCCGGACACUUUUCGAGGAAGGCACAAAUUUGGAAGACUUUGACCGAACGUCGUCGUACAGGAGACUUUAUGAGAUAAAAGGGAUGGAAGAAGAUGGCCCUUAUAUCACGUUGGUAAACUCCACUAAGCUAAAAGCAGGCUACUAAUUUUGCAAGUAAUUUGUUAAUUUCAACAGUAAAAUUUUGUUUCAUCGAUACAUUAUUAAGUUACCGAUUUCAAUCGUGGAGCCUUUUCUAAAUAUUGAUUAAUUAAUAAUAAUACUUAUAAAAUUUAAAAAGGAAAUGAUACCCUCGACUCAUAAAAGAAAAUGAUAUAUCGAAUCUGUAGUCAUUUAAAAAAAAAUAAUUGAUUCAUCUAUCAUUUUUUUUUGUAGAUAUAUUUUUCUCCAUUUUCUUUAUAUUUCCACAUAAAACAAUGGUGAAAAAGCAAUUGCCAUAAACAAGAUGACAAGAAACUUUUACCCCUUAAAAGGCACGUGCUUUGCACGCGCUAACAGAAUGGAGUAACAAUUUUAAAGUUCAGGGGCAAAUAUAUACUAUUGCAAAGUUCGAGAGAGAUUUGAGUAAUUUCUUCGUGAUUUUCUUUCCAACAAAAAAUUUGCCACUUUAUUAGAAAUUUACUCUUGUAACUUGUAAGGACUUAUGUGGUAACUUACUAAUUUCACUGCUGCGAUUUAGUUUUAAAUGGUCAAUUUCUAAAUAAUCAGACAACUUGCCUUCCACUUGAAAUUGGUAUUACUACCUUGUAAGCGGACCUAUAUGGUAAGUUAUUACUUUAUAUGAAAGUUAUAAAUUUCACCACUAAAUUUUUGUUUUGAGUAAUAAAUUUCUAAAAAAAGUUAAUGACUUAUCAUUGCAUUUAUUGAAGGUAAAUUGCUACCAUUGUUAGUGCAUUACCACAUCAGUUGACUAAGAAGUCCCUAGUUACGUGAAAAUUUAGAAAAAGGCGAGUCCGCUUGGGCGGAUCCAUUAAUCUUCGGUCGUGACCCUGAAAUUUCCCAAGGAGAAACAGACAAAUUUAGAAGACUUUGACCGAAACAUCUUUUAGGUCUAGAGGAGGAGAUUUUGGGAGUGGAAAUUGUUUUUUUUUUUUGGACCGAAAUACAAAGGAUUCGAUUCCUGUGGAAAUCGAAGCGAUCACAGAUCACUUCGUGGAAAUUGAACGUUUCAAUGCUCGUACGUAUGUAAAAAUUUUGCUGUGGUGUCCCGCAUCAAGCGGAUCUGAUUGUGAACCGUCUAAUUUUGACUUUAAUCAGAUCGCUAAUGGACUUCACAAGAAAAAAACAACACUCCUAAUCAAUCCCCCCCGCGACCCGCGAAACGUACACAGCAGUGCAGCACACCUAACACGACCCCGACAACUGACACGUCAGCACACGCUCGCCACACUGUCCGGUGCUCUCCCUCCAUUGUCGUCUUCCGCUGGGAAAUAUAGAAAUGCAGGAGAUGGCAACGUCUAUCCACGAGAAAUCUGUUGCUUUGUUUCGUGCGAUGGAGGUUCUCCCCGUGCAGACAAUUACCUCCUCCUUCUCCUCCUUCUCCUCCUUCUUCCUCGUGCUCUGAAGCACGCCGAUGGAUUGUGCUUUGCCCGAGGAGGUAAGCGAGGCGAGGAAUGUUUUCGACGUGAGCGGCGUACUCCACGCGAUUGUGAACCGUGUCGUUGGGGGUGAUCUAAUGCUUGCUGCUUAGACUGCAAUUGAGUCUUGUGCAGCUUCGAGAGGAAUGACUAUAUUAAUGAUUGAUGGACAUAAUUCGGCAUAUAUUUUGCAAAAAUUUGCAUACAUCAAAUUUGCGUACAUUAAAUUGCUCCGUUAACUCUGUUAAAUUUGGCUAUCGAAAAAAAAUUGAUAUGGUUUUUUUUAUUGUUGUUCAAAAGGAAAUACGUUGAUAUAGAUGUCACGUCAGCCAAUUUAGAAGAAAAAUAUUAGAAGAUAUUUAAGCUAAAUGUUGGAUGUUGCAAUUAAACUAUAAUCAGUUGUUUUCGAAACUUUAGAAAAAUAAAAUUAGGGAAGAAGAAGAAGAAAACUUAAAAGAGAAAAUCAUGCUCCAGAAUCGACUCCAUCAAUUUUUGCAUUCAGCUACUUCGUUUCACAGCCGUAGCUAGUGCUGAUUCUUAAGCUUCCCUGGCAACGAGAUCUCUAUUCUCGCUCAAAUCUGCCAUUCACUAGAGGUUCACCCCCUCGCGGCCAAACACGGCUUCCUCCUUCGAUCUUCUCAAAUCUGUACCAGGGUCAUCAUUUGUCGUAAAUCUGAGCAAGGGUCGCGGCCGUAAUUGUCGGAGGAGCGAGAGUAGCUAGUGGCAAGGUCCUUGUUGACAAGUGACGAGGGUGGCUGACUCGUCUCCCGCACGCUUACUUUAUUUUUAUUCUUAUUUUCAAAAUGCGAAGGUGGUCGCAAGGGUCCCCGCUGACUUACCUAAGUCUGGUGUGGGACGUUGGCCCCUCGCUGAUGCAUGGGCGGCGUGUGUUUCCUUUACUGCAUCUAUGCUAUCCUUCGCAGCUUCUCCUAUGUUUGAUUCUUCUUCUUUUUUUCCAAAUUUUUAUUUCAAUAUUUUAUUUUUCUAAAAUAUUAAAACCAAUUCUUUUUCUUUUUUAUUUCAUUUAUAUUUUUUAAUAUCUAACGUGGCAACCUCAUCAACACAUCUUUCUUAAAAAAAUGGUAAAAAAAAGUCGCAUCAACUUUUUCUUAGAACCAAAUAGGGCGGAGUUAAUGUAGAAACUUGAGUAAACCGAUUUCAAAAGUUUUAAAAUUUGAUUGUACAUUUUUUUUUAAGUUUAAGGAUUUGAUUACACUUUUAUAAUAAGUUUUAGGACAUGUAAUAGACUAAUAACAUAAAAACAUAGAGCAUUUAGAGCUUAUAGAGGAUCAAUGAAGUAUCAAGUCAAUAACUUAAUAAAAAUAUUGUGUGCACCCAUCGAAGUGUGGAAAGCUAAUAUGCUCAACUUUAAACUUUGAUUCUACGCUCAGUAAACAAACCAAGUCCAGAUACCUCUUAGGACGUCCAGGUAAUGAAGAUUAGAGAUGAAUGAACUUGAAAGGAGCUUGGUUUACUCACAAAUUGGGCUGGAUAGACAUGGUUCUUGCUUGGACUUCACUAUUGACACUUAAUUUUUUGCCUAUUAUAUAUUUCGAAACAUUUUCAUAAAUUUAGGGAUUUAAUUUGUUAACCCUUAGCAACUAACCGUCAUGCUUCACCCUACAUUUCAUCGCAGGUAAGGGGAUUGUGGUAUUUGUUGCAUCAUGGGAGUUCAAAUUGGUGAGAAAAUUGAAGCCUUCAACAUCAUUUUCCUCACCUCGUUUUUCCAACUUGGAGAUUUUUUUAAGUAACAAGAGACACCUCGUAUUUUUACGGUGUUUAUGUGCAAUAAAUCUCUACUUCGCCGCUAGUAAGAUUUGAACUCUUUGCGCAGCAUGCUGGGGUUGAAAUCCCGCUACCGACAGUCCCCUUUGCUAGGCAAUCUGUAAAUCCAUUAUAAAACUUUAUAAACCCGUGUUAUGCCCUAGCCUUAACACGGAGUAAUCUCCCUUCCUCUUAAACUUUUUAUCAUACCUGAAUAAUUUUUUUUUUUUUUUUUGCUUCACCUGGUGCAUUAAGGGCAUUCAUCUACUUCUAUAAAAUUGGCGCAAGCAGACCAUUCCAAAGUGAAACAAACAAAAGACGAAGACCUUGACCCAAAUAUCGUACGUUUUGUUGAAUAAAAAUGGCAUUAGAACGAUAGCAAACGAGCUGGCAGACCCCAUGGCUGACAAAAACAACUAUGAAAUCGAACCUUUCAAUUUUCUGAUGCAAAUCGAUGCUAGAUUUGGAUCUUCUGGGUCUUUCCAUUGUCUUGGUAAUUUUCGAUUUCCUCCAGUUUGGACCCAUUGUCCAAUGGCAUUAACAGUAACUUGCUGAGUGGCUUAUACAAGAUCUCCAAUGAUCAUUUGGAAAGGUAUAUGUACGCCUAGAGUAUUGUCUUUCUUUUGUCACUUCACGCAAUUUCUCAACAGAUCAAUCGAGAAGAAAGUUCGUUUGAUUAUUCUUCCAACCACGUGAUUUGCGGACUCUGAUUUCUUUGAUCUAUGUGAAGUUGGUUGCCAAAAGGAAGUAAAAGUCCCAUCUGAGUGAAUAGAAAAGCAGCAGACCUUUUGAAAUUGGGAGUUCAGGGUAGUGAUCCUCGACUUAAGGAUCAGCAAGUUUCAUAUGGUUUCUCACCAUUCAAAUUUAGCAGAUAAGAUCUGUUUUGCUUUGAUGAGGUUAAGAUACUCUUUUACUGCAUCCAAUGCAAUUUUGAUGAAGCAAAAUGGUCGAUGGAAAUGCAUUGAUGGGGUCACAUUAGUUUUACCUGCGACACAAUGGAAUAUGAUCCAUGAAGAAUUCCUAAGAGAUUUAAAACAAUUUCGCCAACAAUUGCCAACAUGCUAGUGAAUUUCAAACUUUAGGAAGAUUUAGCUUAUUGAAGCUAGAUUUAUGUGAACAUAUUAUGACAAUGUUUAUUCUGGCGUAGGUGCACUUACAGACCAUAUAGAUACUUUUCAUUAUUACAGAUGCCAGUUGUCUAAAUAAUCAAAAUCAUAUUGAACUAAUAAAAGAGCUUGGAUCUGGGGGGACUGAGACUUCAACAGCUCCUUCUAGCAUCUGAGUGAUUUUCUUCAUGGUUAGCCUCAAAGCGGGGUCUUCCUGGAUGCACCACAGUGCCAUCAUCACAAAUCUUCUCACUAUCUUUAUGUCGCUUGACACCUCCUCGUCACUCUCCACUAGCACAAGUAGACUCCUGUCAUGGUGGCAGUCAUGACAAAUACACUUUGAGCUUCACUUUAGGCUUCCGGCUCAUGGUUCUUUCUGCAGCAGAUGAGCUGAAGCAACAAAAUGCCAAAGUUGUAAACGUCUACUUUAGCAGAAAUAGGCAUGUUCCUGAACCAUUCUGGCGCUAAAUAACUACCGGUUCCUCUUACGCCAGUGGUGGUCCAUGUUUGGUUUGCCAUCAAGAACUUAGCUAAUCUGAAGUCUGAUAUUUUUGCAGUGAGAGAGCCAUCAAUAAGAAUAUUUUGCAACUUGAUGUUGCAGUGGAUUAUAUAACUGGUGCAAUCCUCAUGCAAGCAAGAGAGGCCCCUCGCAACACCAUAGGCAAUUUCUAUUCUUUUGCACCAGCUAGGCCUUGAAGAGCCAAAAAGAAAAUCUUCCAUACUACCGUUGCUCAUGAAUUCAUACACUAGUAAUCGGUGUUGACCCUCACGAUCGCUGAAUCCAAGUAAAUGCACUAAGUUCUCGUGGUUAGUUUGGCCAAUUGCACUCACUUCUCUUUCAAACUCCUUUUCGCUUUCUCCAGUCCUUGUCGCCAACAAUUUUACUGCCACAAAGUUUGUAUCCUCGGAUCCGAGAACACCUUUGUACAUUGUUCCAAAAGCACCCCUACCCAGUUCUUUGAAUCCAUUUGUUGCUUCUUGAAGCUCAUGAUAGGUGAAAGUUGGCAUGCCUGUGGCUUGGUUGAUCUAUACUGGUCGUGAAAAUUUAGAAUCUCUAGAUCGGAAGCUUUUAUAAGUUAAAUAGCUAAUGAGGAGUAAAAGCAAGUUCAAAAACAAAGAAUUACCCAACAGCACUGGUCCGAUGAUCACCAGAGUUGAGUUCCUGUUCUUCUUCUGGCCGUUUCCUGGAGAUGUCAAAGUUGAAUUACCUAUCCUGACCUUGAUCAGAGCUUUUCCACCCGCACUUGGAUCCAACCUACCACUGAAAAGAGGGAUCUUCUUUUUCCAGCAAUUUCCAUCUUGAAAAACAGCGACUGCACAAAAACAAUCAGCCAAGCAAGCCUCUCAGCAUCGGUCCUCAGUUUGUGAUGUGCUAAGUUCGUAAUCAGACCGUGGCCAGUCUGUAUUGAGCAUGUCACGCAAAGAAAACUGGUCCUUUUCAGGCCUACUUCCAUCACAACUCUGUGAUACGAAGUCCUGUCUGCAUCUGUUCAUCACGUUCAUCGAAUCUAACAUAGUAUAUCUAGGUGCACAGUGGCAUUGGGGUCUCUAAAUCCCAUUGGCUCCAAGAGUACAGUAGUGUUGAAGCCACAAGCUCCAGGACCGGUAUCUCAUGUGAUUCUCAUGCAUAUAUCUGAAGGGAGAGGGGAAGAGACCGUCGGCCAGCCCAUUGCCCAACCGGAACUCAAAUUUGCCGUCUUGGGGUGGACAUACUGCCUGAAGACCCCGCCAUAUUCAAGGAUUGCUCUUUGCUAAAAUCCACCAGGGGAGGGUGUCUGAGUUGACGAUAUUGAGUACCGUUCCAUUCCUAGCCGUGACGUCAUAGACCUGACCACUUUGAUUGAAUAUCAAACUGGUAGCCGGUACCCACGGCGUUGCUAAUCCAGUAAGCAUCUGAGAUGACCGCCUCGGUUGGAGUAUGAAGUGAAAUCUCCCAGUGGAGUAAUUCAUUUCAGAGUAGCGAGCAUUAACUUUAGUCCCGAGAUCUAACUGUUGCGUAGGCAGUAUCGUAUCGGUCAGUUGGCUGAACGUUCCCCACCAGUCGACGUUAUUCUGGCUCAUUAGGACGAAGUUCCCCGUGCCGAGCAUGGCUGCAUAUGCUGCGCCAACGACCGCCGUGGACAACACCUCACUCCCUUCUGGGUCCACAACCACCAGUUGGCCGUCGGCAGUCAACUGGACUUUCGAACCUUCGGGUGCUAGAUUAUCCCCGUUAGUCGACCGGACUACGGUUUUCUCCUCUGUCUUCUCAAACCAUAUUGGCCACACAUGAGCUCCUCUUCCCAUUUCCCGGUACCCGAAGGCGAAUUCGCCCGACGGGGACAGCCAGGAAGAGGUCCUGUCAUUCGCUAUUAACGAGGAGCCCAAGGUUACGUUGCCGGGGGUCUGAGCUUUCGCAGAAAGCGGAAGCGGAACAAGUAGUAGGAGGAUUCCAACUACUACUGAAGCCAUGUCAGCGGAAGUUUGUGUGCUCCUUGAGUGGAGCUACUUCGGCCUUUAAAUUGAAACUGGGGUUCACCAAAGAAUUACUCCACUAGAUUUCAUACUUACUAUCAUGAAAGCAAGCAUCAAUUAGUAAGUUACCAAUUUUACUUGUGUAUAAUACCUUCAUUGGUGGAGCUUUACAAAAAGUCUAUUCGAUAUAGAGAAAAUGCCUCAAUAACAGAAUAUGUAAAAAAAAUUGCUCAUUAAGUAUAUUUGAAGGGUUAAUUAAUGAAUAUAUUUAUGAAAUUUAAAGAGGAAAGGGUACAUCGAAUCUACAAUAAAUUUUUUAUAUAUAAUUGAUUGAUCAAUCAAAUUUUUUUUUUUUGUGUUAAUAAACCAGUAAAAAAACACAUGAUGCGUAGUCAGCCUCAUAAUUUGACCUUCUUGUUAUUGAGUUUUUCCUUUUUACUAAUUUGUGUUUUUUUCCCCUUAGAAUAUCUUAUUAUUUUUAUUAAUAUAUUUAUCAAAUUUUAAAUUUAUUUUUUCUGAUAUAAUUUCUUCAUUUUAUUUAUUUAUCCAUUGUGGUGAAAAAAAAAAUAUGAAGAAGAAUGGUUACAUUAAGAACGAAUCAACAUAAUUCUAAAACUUUUUAAAAUGGAGCAAUUAAGUCUCUCCUUCCAAUAUGGCUAACGGAAAAAACUAAUAUGGUUUUUUUUUUUUCAAAGAGAGAGGGGUUGAUGUGGUUGGCACAUCAUCCAUUUUAGAAAAAAAAAUACUAUUAAGAGAUAUUAAAAGCCAACUGUUCUAUGUUGCAAUUAAUUAAUAAAUUACUAUUUCCAAAAUUUAAGAGAUAUCAAAUUCUGAAAAAAGAAGAAGAAGAAACACCGAAAAAAAAAGAGAGAAGAUUUUCGAGAAGCGAAUUUGCCUCCAUCAAUUUUUGCAUUUGGCUAUUUCGUUUUUGCGGCCAUAACUAAUGGUGGUUCUCAAGCUCCCAUGGCAACCAGAUCUCUAUUCCUCACCCAAAUCCGCUAGUCAUCAGAGGUCCCCUGCCUUGCGGUCGAGCACCACUACCUUCUUCGAUCUCCUUCGAUGUCUCGGGCUAUGACCAUCACCUCAUCUCUAGGUGAGAGUUGCCCUUUGGUUGUAGAUCUGAGUAAGGGUCGUGGCCAUCAUUGUCGGACGAGCGAGGGUAGCUAGUGGCAAGGUGCUUAUCGACAAGUGCCGAGGGCUGCCACCGUGUCUAUCCUCACGCGUUCUUACUUUAUUUUUUUCUUCAGUAUGUAAAGGUGGUAGCGAGGGCCACACUAGCUUCACCAAAGUCUAGCGGGGGUCGUCGGCCCCUCGCCAAUGUGUGGUGCCUGCCAAGCUGCCUCCGCCUAAAUUGGAACUACCACCGUCCUUCUCAGCUUCUCUUAUUUUUUAUUCUUCCUCUUUUCAUCCUGUUUUUUCAUAUUUUAAUUUUUUUAAAUCUUAAAAUCAAAUCUUCCAUUAAUUUUUUGUUUCUAAAAUGGUCAACGUGGCACCCUCAUCAGCACCUCUUCCUUUGAAAAAUGAGGCAAAUUGAACAGGACCGAUAUAGCAACUUGAUUGAAAUAAUUUGACAAAUAUUAAGACUUGAUUGCACUUUUCGAAUGUUUCAAGCUCAAUCACGUUUCCAAUAACUUCUAGGACUUUUGGUGCACUUAUCUUAUAAAAAUAUAAAGCAUUUAGAGAUUAUAGAUGAAGGGCAACAACUUCAAAAAAAAAAAAUCUUACGGAUGCGCGUUAAAGCGAGGCAAGGCAACAUACUCGACUUUAAACUGCAAUUCAGUGCUCUGCAUGUGAUAAAUGGACCACAACCGAAAAUGUCUUUUAGGACAUCAAGGUGAUGAAGAUAAGAGAUGGAUGGAUUUCAACGGAGCUUGAUUUACUAACACUAGAUAGACAUGGUUUUUGCUUAGGGACCAGCUAUUGACGCCUAAAAUUAGGGAUUUAAUCUGUUGAUCCCUAGCAUUAUAUAUAUAUAUAUAUAUAUAUAUAUAUAUAUAUAUAUAUAUAUAGUGAUUUUUGCAACAUCAUGGGAGAUUCAACUUGCCAAGAACAUUGAAGCCUUUGACAUUGAUGUAGAAGCAUUUGGCUUUGUCAAUCGAUUCAAGAUGAAUAUGUCAUUUAUGCAAGAGAGUUGUCAAUUAGGUGCACAAGUUGUCGAUUUCAUGGUUGGAAUUGGCUACUGAACAUUGAUACUCAAAGUUUUUGUCAAUCCGAGACUACUAAAAGACUCUAAAAAUUGAAGGUUGUUCUAGACAAUUUCCUCUGUUGUUUGGUGAUCUAUGAAGAAGACUAUUGGGCUACCCAAGGAGAUGAAUGAAUUUGGAAUCUAUUUGAAUUACUUUGCGUCUAGAUAAGUGUCAUUAGUAAGUCUUAAGCGUGUUGUAGGUUGCAAAGAGUCAAAGUUCAUGUCUCUAGAUGUUUUAAUGCAUUUUCUAGUUCUAGGUCUUUAUCAUGCACGGUUUUGAAUGAGAGAAAGAAGUGAGGAAUCCUCUUUUCGACUCUGACUCUCCCACUCCAGUCGUUGCUUUUGAUGAUACAAUAGGGAAGUUCUGCAAAAGCAAUAGGAAGAAUUGCUCAGAUACCGGUAAGUGAGGCUUAUUUGGGUCGUGUUAUAAAUGCCCUGGCCAAACCUAUUGAUGGUCGAGGUGAAAUUUACGCUUCUAAAUCUAGAUUAAUUGAAUCUCCUGCUCCAGGUAUUAUUUCGAGACAUUCCGUAUAUGAGCCUCUUCAAACUGGACUUAUUGCUAUUGGGGCCAAGAAUUCCUAUUGAGAAGCCCUUUCUUCCAUACGCAUGCUACGAUAUGGUUUGAAUGUUCUUAUCAUAGGAUAAGACAGACCAACACCUUUCUUCUUAUUGAAAACUAUCAAUCAUUCAUUUGAGCAAGGCCCCCGCUAUUUUGAUUCAAAAGGUGCUUUGCUUUCAAUAUCAGUGAAUUGGUGCUCUUUGAAAUCGUUCUGCCGGCGUUGCUCAUUGGUUAGGAACACCAUUCGCCUUUACUUUUGAGUCAGGUUGGUCGUAGAUCAGGACGGGUUGCGAACCGGACGGUACACAACUGAGUUUUGGAAGAUAUGGCACUAAAAGUUGUAGAGCUGGUCGUCUUUCAUAUCGAGCCAUUGAAGCAGCGUGUCGGGCUACAAUCGGACAAUUCCAUUGUGCUAUGAGUGGACAAUCCCGAAGAAAUGGUAAGAUAUGGGUAAGAGUUCUCGCAGAUCUCCCUAUUACCAGGAAACCUACAGAAGUCAGAAUGGGAAGAGGCAAGUGCUUUGGCACUUUACUUUGAAACAUCAGUGAAAGUCCUAACUCUUUAAUAUGUCUAUGCUUCCUCUCAACAACUCCAUUUUGAGGUGCAGUGUAAGGACAUGAUAAUUGUUGCUUUACUCCAAUAGAAGAGCAGAAUAUUCGGAAUGAUGUGGAGCAGAAUUCACUACCAUUAUCACUUCGAAGAAACUUGGUUGGUAACUGAUAGUGUCGGGUCAUCAAAGUCUAAAAGGACUGAAACUAGCACAUCGGCUUUAGACUUCAAAAAAUAAAAUCAAUGUAUAGCGUGUAAAGUCAUCUACAAAGCUAACAUAGUAAUGAGAACCAGAGAGAGAAGUUAGUUCAGGAGAUCCCCAACAAUCAUCAUGAAUUAACUCAAAGAAGCAAGAACUACUUUGAUUAGCAUUAGAAAAUGGCAGCUUGUGAUGUUUGCCAAGUUGACAUCCUAACCAUACAAUCUUAGAGGGAACCUUACUUCAAAAAGGUAGUAAUAUAAGUUUACUCUAAAGUUCAACAUUGGCAUAACUAGUAUGAGCUAGUCUAUGGUGCCAUAAUUCUGCAGAAGUUUUAGAGUGACUUGAAGUAAGAGCAGCAACAAAAAGAGCUUGAACUUACUCACUUUCCAUAACAUAUAGAUGGCUGUCCUUGGUCCUGAGGUAGUCAAUUUUUUCUUUUUUUAACCUGUACAGAGCUUUUAUCAAAUUACACACGUAAUCAGGGUGAGCUUUACUCUCGAACCCUUGUGGCUGCUCCAUGUAAAUUUCUCGAUCUAAUUCUCCAUGUAAGAAAGCAUUCUUCACAUCUAUCUGCCACAACUUCGAGGACUUGCUUGCUGUAAGCGCUAGCAGGACACGUACGGUUGUAAUCUUUGCCACUGGACUGAAAGUUUCAGGUAGGCAGGUGAUGUUGAAAAGCGGAGUCAGAGCUAUUGUCGACCGGUCUUAUUGAUCAAGAAAGCGUUGAAAGAGUGACUAAAGCCAUUACGAAUGACAAGUACACGCAAGAAUGACUCAAUCGAGUCCCGAGAGACAGAAAGAUUGACUAGACAAAAUGGCCAAUGACAGAAACAAAUACAUUGAAAGAAGGAGUCACCAACCGGAAUGACAUGUAUCCUCAGUCCUUACUCUUUCGAGAUAGGUUUUCUAGUUUCCAUGACAUUAAUGUUAGGAAGUUUCCGUGUCUUCAAUGUUUAGUCUAUAUCCUAGGAAAUAAUCCCUUUUAUAAUGAGGCGAAUUCUAAAAUAUAAGAAGAUGAAUUUUGAGUAAAUGAAUACUUGACAUUUUCCUCUAGGAGAAUAUCUUUUGAGAGUAAAUUAUUCUUGGUUUUUAUAUCCUUGGAAGGUGGAUUUUUCCUAGGUGGUGAGCCAAAAAAGCACUGUAUUCUUGGCUGGUGGUUUUCCUAUAGGCCUUGGUGGUCAGCUUCUUCAAUCCCAAAGUCUUGUAUCAUUGGUUAGUGAUUUCUGUAGGCAUUGGUCGUGAGCUAUGUUUAUCUCCAUCUUGAUCCUCAGUUGGCAGCACGUCCUGUACAGCUUGGUUCCGAUAGUCUUCUAUCAUUCAUUUUGCAAUUACCCAUCAACAUUCAUCCCCCAUAUACUCACUCAUCUUCAAUAAUCACUCAAAACAACACUCGCCCAUCCCGCAACUGCAUCAAGUUGGUAUCAAAGCUGAUGAUUGAACUCAUUUUGAGUGAUUUCUUCCAUUACCUAUCUUGCAUCUUUUCUCAUAUUUACAUUCAAAAAAAUAUAAUAGAAAGAAAGAAAUGUCUAGCCAUCAUCAACGUAGACCAAACAUUGAAUCUCCUAUAACAUGAGAAAGAAGCCUACGAGAUGUAGAAGUAAGAGAUUUAAGGAGGCAAGCGCAAUAACCACAAGAGUGUUUACUAUGCUUCAAACUUCGACAAAUGGAGAGAGACAUCAACCUCAUAGAGAAAUUACUAAAAGGUGGCAAAAGAUUUUUGGCUUAGUCUUCAACUAAAGGUAUGUAUUUCUUCAAAUGUAUUUCUUCGAACCAAGUCGAGAAUUUUUCAAAACAAGAGAAAGAAAUCGAAAAGCCCUUGGAGAUUGUUAAAGAGCCCCCAAAAGAAAUGGAUGGUGAAGAAGAUAGCAAGUUCUUCAAGUGUUACGAAUAUGGGCAUCUACAAGUGGAUUGUCCUAAACGGAAGGUUAUCACCAUUGAGGAAAUUGAGAAGAUUGACUUGGAACUUCAAGCGACUCAACAAGAUUCAUACCAUGAGAGUCCGAAUCGAAUGAGCAAGACCAGAUCAUAGAACAAAGUAAAGAAGGAGAGAUAUUGGUCAUCUACAUUUUAUAUGCCUCAAAGCAUUCUCUCUCAAAGUGUUAAUCAAUUGUCAAAAUAUAUUUGACAUAUUUUCAACUUUUCAGCAUGGUUUGAAUAAAUUUGUUCGUAUGAAGCUAAUGUAUUAUCUAGUUCGUUGGAGACGCCAUCCUAGAAAUGAAGCAAUGACAAUAUUGAGGAUAAAUCUUCAAUAACCUAAGGAGAUUGAUGUGGGAAAAUUGAGCUUUAUCGAUUGAUUCAAGUGGAAGAUGUCGAUUAUGCAGAAAAGUUGUUGCUUCAAUGGACAAGUUGCCUAUUUCAUAGUUGUUGAUCGGGUAUCAAGACAUCGAUACACAAGUUUAUUGUCAAUCCAAAAUUACUCAUAGACUAUCUAACAAUCGAAGCUGUUCUGGACAAUUUCCUUUGUUGUUUGGUGAUCUUCAAAGAUGUCCAUUAGACUGCCCAAGGAGAUGAACGAAUUUAGAGUCUAUUUUAAUUACUUUGCAUCUAAUCAAGUGUCAUUAGGGAGUUUUAAGUGUGUUGUAAUUUUCAAAGAGUCAAAGUUCAAGUUUCUAGAUGUUUUAAUGCAUUGUCUAGUUCUUAGGUCAUUAUUGUGCUUUUCUAAUUCCUAUAUCUUUAAUUAAUUAGAUAGUUUCUUGUGUUUAAUGGUUAGUCUAUUUCCUAUGUAAUUAUCCCUCUAUAUAAUAAGGCAAAUUCUUUAAUGUAAGACAGUGAAUUUGGAGUAUAUGAAUUAUUGAGAUUUUUCUUUUUAUGAGCGAAUAUCUUUAGAGUGAAUUUGUCACGCCUCGAUCUCCUGAGCGCAUGCCCAUCCCAGCUUGGUCGAUUAAAUAGUGACGUCCCAUGACGCAUCGCUGAUCCAUUUAUUUUAAUGCACAUGCAAAAGCAGAUAAAUAAUCCCCAAACAACAAUUCAACGAGAUAGAAAAGUAGGGUAAUAUUUUGAAAACCAACACUACAACACACUUAUAUAUAUAACAAACCGAGUCAUAUAUAUACAAUACAAACCACUCUAAUCACAAGUUUACAAAACAUGGGGCUUUUAACAACUACGGGUCCUCAUUCUGUAUGAAUAAAAAGAGCAGCAGAACUGUUGAAAUUGGGAUUCCAGAUCACCGAUCCACGACCAGAGGAUUGGCAAGUUUCAUAUGCUUCUCAUCAUCUAAUUUAGCAGAUAAGGUCUGUUUUGCUUGGAUCAAGUUAAAAUACUCUUCCACUGUGUCAAAUGCAAUUUUGGUGAAGCAAAAUCGUCGAUGAAAAUGCUUUGAUGGAGCCUCAUUAGUUUUUACCGUGACAUGCAGGGAUAUGAUCCACAUAUAAUUCCUAAGUUAUUCAACAGAAUAAUGCCUGUGACUUCGAAUUUUUCGGCGACUGAUUCUCCAUUAUUUGAUAUAUAAUUACUUGGUCACUCAACCAUCGUAGUUUCUCAAUUAAUGCAUGCAGCCUCACAUGCAAUCCCUUUUGUGACGAUCGUCAAGCAGGAUCCACGCAAAGACAUUUAGAAAAUGUUUGAUCCGGCGUAAUGGCACUUACAGACAAUACGAGUACUUUUCAUGAUUACUGUGACAAUAGUUUUCUUAAUAAGCAAAAUCAUACUGAACUGAUAAAAGAGCUUGAAACUGGAGGUACUGGGACUUCAACAGCUCCUUCCAACAUCUGAGUGAUUUUCUUCAUGGUUGGCCUCAAAGACGGGUCUUCCUGGAUGCACCACAAUGCUGUCAUUACAAAUCUUCCCACCCUCUUUAUGUCACUCGAUGCCUCCUCAUCGCUCUCCACUAGCGUAAGUACGCUCCCAUCGUGGUAGCAAUCAUAUGCCCAGUCAACCAGCACAAUUUGAGCUUCAAUUUCUGAUUCCGGCUUGUAGUUCUUUCUGCAGUAGAUGAGCUCUACCAACAAAAUGCCGAAGCUAUAAACGUCUACCUUGCUGAAAUAGGCAUAUUCCUAAACCAUUCUGGCGCUAAUAACCUCUGGUUCCUCUACUCCCGUGUGUUCGUGUUUGGUUGCCAUCAGAGCUUAGCUACUCAACCUAUACGAAGCCAUGAGAAGAAUAUUUUGCGGCUUGAUGUCACAGUGGAUUAUAUGCCUGGUGCAAUCAUCGUGCAAGUAAGAGAGGCCCCGUGCAACAUCGCAGGCAAUUUCUAUUCUUCUGUACCAGCUGGGCCUUGAAGCGCCAACACUCCUGAUCAAUCCCCCCCCCCCCCGCGACCCGCAAAACGUACACAGCACACCUAGCACCACCCCGGCAACUGACACGUCAGCACACGCUCACCGCACUGUCCGGUGUUCUCUCUCCAUUGUCGUCUUCCGCAGGGAAAUAUUGAAAUGCAGGAGAUGGCUACGUCUAUCCACGAGAAAUCUGCUGCUUUGUUUCGUGCGAUGGAGGUUCUCCCCGUGCAAACAAUUACCUCCUCCUUCUCCUUCUUCUUCCUUGUGCUCUGAAGCACGCCGCGAGGAAUGUUCUCGACGUGAGCGGCGUACUCCACACGAUUGUGAACCGUGUCAUUGGGGUGAUCUAAUGCUUGCUGCUUAGACUGCAAUAGUGUCUUGUGCAGCUUGGAGAGGAAUGAUAUGGAUGUCACGCCAGCCAAUAUAGAAGAAAAAUAUUAAAAGAUAUUUAAAGCUAAAUGUUGGAUGUUGCAAAUAAACUCUAAUAAGUUGUUUUAGAAACUUUACAAAAAUAAAAUUAGGGAAAAAGAAUACGAAAACUUAAAGAGAAAAUCAUGCUUCAGAAUCGACUCCAUCAAUUUUUGCAUUCAGCUACUUCAUUUCAUAGCCAUAGCUGGUGCUGGUUCUUAAGCUUCCAUGGCGACGAGAUCUCUAUUCUUGCUCAAAUCCGCCAUUCACUAGAGGUUCACCACCUCGUGGCCAAAGGCCAAACACCGCUUCCUCCUUCGAUCUUCUUUGACGAUGUGGGCUAUAAUCAUUGUCUCAGAUAGUGCCAGGGUCAUCAUUUGUCGAGAUCUGAGCAAGGGUUGCAGCCGUAAUUGUCGGGGGAGCGAGAGUAGCUAGUGGGAAGGUCCCUGUUGAUGAGUGACGUGGGUGGCUCACUUGUCUCCCACACGCUUACUUUAUUUUUAUUUUCAAAAUGCGAAGGUGGUAGUACACGUAGCACCGACAUACGACACACGACACGACACGUGAUAAUCAUUUCUUAAAAGAAUUCCGACACGUUUCGACAUGUUAAAUAUUAAAUAAAUAUUUUUAUAUGUACAUGAUUAAUUAUUAUAUUUAAAUUAAUUUAUUGAAAUUCAUAAAUAAAUAAACAAUAAAAAGAGCCUAUAAUAACUCUAUACCAAUAACAUUAAUAAAUUUAUUCAUAAAAAAAUUGGAAAGACAUUUUUUUACUUUAACAAAAGUUAUCGAUGAAAUAAAUAACUAAUGAAAUAUUAGAGUCAAAAUAAAUUUACAUUUUUCUACGACGAUCCAAAUUUAUCAUUAUUUAAUAUCUAGUGCUUUUUUUUUCGAAGUAACUUUUUAACCUGUUUAUUUAUUUAUUUUUAGCCUUAUCAUGUAUUAAUAAAGUUAUUUAAUGUUUAAUAUUUCUUUUUAGGGUUAAAUGGGUCCCACCCAUUUAUUUCAGCAGCGUUUUCUUCCCCCACCCCCACCCACCCUUGCGCCUGUCACUUUCCCUGCACAAGGCUUUCUUUCCCCAUAAGCCUCAUCUCUCUCCUUUCUAUUCUUCCUAAAAACAGCCCGAAGGGCAAAAACCCUAGCAAUCACCUUCUUUCUCCUCUCCCUUUGCUCGGUCUCCACCUCACUCGUUGCUGCCUCGCCUCCGCUCUCUCCUUUGCGGUCUAGCCUUGCAUCCAGCCCUCCAUCACGGCGUUGUGGUUUUCCAUCUCGGCAUUGUAGACAGCGGUUGCAGCCGACCAAGAUGAUUGAGAAGGCUUCUCGAUGUAGUCGGCGGUUGCAGCCUUCUCCAUGUUGUAGUCGGCAUUGCAGUCGACGGUCGCAACCCUCCCUCGCCGUCGCUUGCAGCGUCACCUCGGCACCCUCACCCUUGCCUCCACCCUCCAUCACCUUCUUCCCUUCGCACCUGCAGAUCUGCCCACAAACCUUUGGACAUGCUCUGACGCGUGUGUUGAAAAGAGUUGACCAUGUGUCGAAAACUCCGACACGUGUUGACCACAUGUCCAAGCGUGUCUGAGCGUGUCCAAGCGUGUCAGAGUGUUCGACACGACAUGGAGGCUCUUUGAACGUAUCUGUGCUUCCUUGGUGGUAGCAAGGGCCACAAUAGCUUACCUAAGUCUGGUGCGGGACGUUGGCCCCUCACUAAUGCAUGGGUGGUCGUUGAGCCGCCACCACCUUUACUGCAUCUAUGCCGUCCUUCUUAGCUUCUCCCGUGCUUGAUUCUUCUUCUUCUUCUUUUUUUUUUUCAAUUUUUUAAUUCAAUUUUUUUAUUUUUCUAAAAUCUCAAAAUCAAUUAUUUUUCUUUUUUAUUUCGUGUAUUUUUUUAAUAUCUAACGUGGCAACUUCAUCAACACAUCUUUCUUUAAAAAAUGGUAAAAAAAAAGUCGCAUCAACUUUUUCUGAUAACUAAAUGGGAUGGAGUUAAUGUAGAAACUUGAGUGAACCGAUUUGAAAUGUUUUAAGACUUUAUUGUACUUUUUUUUAAAAAAAAAAGUUUAAGGAUUCGAUUAUACUUUUAUAAUAAGUUUUAGGACAUGUAAUACGCUAAUACCAUAAAAAUAUAGAGCAUUUAGAGCUUAUAAAGGAUCAAUGGAGUAUCACGUCAAUAAUUAAAUAAAAAUCUUGUGGACGCCCGUUGGAGCAUGGAAACCUAACAUACUCCACUUUAAACUUUGAUUCUAUGCUCGGUAAACAGACCAAGACCGGAUACCUCUUGGGAUGUCAAGGUGAUGAAGAUUAGAGAUAAAAGAACUUGAAUGGAGCUUGGUUUACUCACAAAUUGGGCUGGAUAGACACGGCUCUUGCUUGGGCCAUCACUGUUGAUAUCUAAAUUUUUGCCUAUUAUACUUUUCAAAACAUUUUCAUAAAAUUAGGGAUUUAAUUUAUUAACCUUUAGCAACUAACAGUUAUGCUUCUCCCUACAGUUCAAAGCAAUUAAGGGGAUCGGGGUUUUUGCUACAUCGUGGGAGUUCAAAUUGGCGAGAACAUUGAAGCCUUCAACAUCAUUUUCUUCACCUCGUUUUUUCAUCUUGGGGAUUAAUUUUAGUGACGAGAGACACCUCGUAUUUUUACAGUGUUUACGUGCAAUAAAUUUCUACUUCGCCGCUAGUAAGAUUUGAACUAUUUCGGCAGCAUGCUGGGGUUAAAAUCCCUCUACUGACAGUUCCCUUUGCUGGGCGAUAUGUAAUUCCAUUAUAAAACUUUCUAAACCCGUGUUAUGCCCUAACCUUAACAUGGAGUAAUUACCCUUCCUCUUAAACUUUCUAUCAUAUCCGAAUAAAAUAAAAUAAAAUAAUUUGCUUCGCCAGGUGCAUUAAGAGCAUUUAUCUACUUCCAUAAAAUUAGUGCGAGUAGACUAUUCCAAAGCGAAACAAACAAAAGACAAAGACCUUGACCCAAACAUCAUCCGUCCUAUCUAAUACAAAUGACAUGAGAAUAACGAACGGCCAUAGCUGACAAAAACAACUAACCCUUUAAGCUUCUGAUGCAAAUCGAUGUUAGGUUUGGAUCUUUAGGGUCUUUCCCAAUGAUUUUAUCCUCAAUUUUCUCGAACCAUAUAGCCAACAAAAGAGCUCCUCUUCCCAUUUCCCGGAACCCGAAGGCGAACUUGCCUAACGGAGAAAGCCAGGAAGAGUUCCUGUCAUUCGCUGUUAAGGAGGAGCCAGCUUUGGCAGAAAGUGGAAGUGGAACGAGUAUUGGAAGGAUUUCUAACAUCACUGAAGCUGAUGGAAGUAAUUUGAAGGUGAAACACUCAACUCAUGUAAGGAAGAGAAGAAAAUAUAUAGGCAUGUAGAUUUAUUUCGCCUUAACAAAAAAAAAUUAUAAGACUUCCUUAUUUAUAGACAUGUUACAUAACCUUUACUCUUCCUAGUAGAAGAAGCUAGCGUUCUAUAUAAGAUCUAUAAGAUCUAGAAACUAAUAAAACAAUCACCAUAUCUCACCUUAUCUCUAAAAACAAUUACUAUUUCUAAAAACAAUCACCACACCUAGAAAUAAGAGUAGACUCAUUAAAGAUAACGCUACAAUUAUGACUCUUUUUCAAUGCGGGUACCAAACAGUUAUUUGUACCAAUGAAUUUGGUUUAAUUUCUAAUACUCCCCCUUAAACCAAAUUCUCUUCCAUCGAUCAUUCCAAGCAGUCUCUUGAACUUUUGCAAAAGUAUCAAUCUAGAGAGAUUUGGUAAAAAAUUUUGCUGCUUGAUCUCCUGUCUUCACAUGCAACACUUCAACCUCAUUCUCUUUAACAUGUUCUCAAAUGAAUUGAUAUCAAGCAUCGAUAUGUUUAUUUUGUUCAUGAAAAUUUGGAUUUUUCACUAAUGCAAUAACAUAAACGUUAUCAACAAAAAUCCCAGUUGCUUUCUUCUGCUCCAUAAGAAUAUCUUUGAGUAGUCUUCUCAAUCAAAUUGCAUGACAAACACAUAAGGAUAUAGCUAUAUAUUUAGCUUUGCAUGUCGGUAGGGUAACACUAGGUUGCUUCUUUGAUGACCACGUGAAUGCAGUGUCACAUAAGAAACAUACAAAGCUUGUAGUGCUCUUUCGAUUUUCGAUAUCUCCACCAUAAUCACUAUCUGAUUAAGCUCUAAGUUGAAAGGAUCAAAGCAAAAGUAGUGUAGGCCAUGAGAAGUAGUACCUUUGAUGUACCAAAGUAUCCUCUUUACAGCUUUAAGAUGAGAUGACUUUGGCUUCUCCAUAUAUCAACUCACAAUUCUAACACUAUACACAAUAUUAGGUCUUGUGCAUGUCAAGUAUUUCAAACUCUCAAUCAAGCUUCUAUAAUAUGUCGAACCAACAUCAACACCGUCAUCAAACUUUGAAAGCUUGGCUCCACACUCCAUUGGUGUAUUGACCGAAGUACAAUUCUUCAUGUUGAAUUUUUCAAGGAUAUAUUCUACAUAUCCUUUUUGGGCAAUAAAAAUCCCCUAGGCACUUUGCUUCACUUCGAUCCAAGGAAAUAAUUCAUGAGACCAUUAUCGGUCAUCUCAAAUUCUUUCACUAUCGAUGCCUUAAAAGCAUCAAUCAUUUCCAGAUUAUUUCCUAUAAAAGCAAUGUCAUCAACAUAUAAACAGGCGAGAAGAACAUCACAUUUUUCUUUCUUCAAACAAAGUGCAUGUUCAUAUGGACAUUAAGAACAUCCAUUCACCGUGAAAUAUGCAUUGAUUCUGGAUUCCAUGCUCCCAGUGCUUGUUUAAGUCCAUAUAGAGCUUUCUUCAACUUUAACUCUUUGAUGAUAUGACCUUUGACAACAAACCCCUCAAGUUGUUCAACAUAAAUCUCUUCUUCAAGGAUGUCAUUAAAAAAUGCCGAUUUGACAUACAUUUGAUAAAUUUGCCAAUCAUUUUGAGCAGCGAUAGAAAUAAUCAAUUUAAUUGCUUCCAUGUAGAUGACAGAGGCAAAAACUUCAUCAUAGUCGAUUCGAGCUUUUUGCUUCUACCCCUUCGCAACUAAUCUAGCCUUGUAUCUUGUCACUUCUCCUUUCUCGUUCUCCUUCGCCUUGUAUACCCAUUUGACUCCAAUCGAUUUCUUGUCCUUUGGUAGAUCAACAAGCUCCCAUGUUUGAUUCUUCUCAAUGGCUUCAAUUUCUCCAUUCAUGGCUUUUCUCCAUUUUUCUUCUUUGGCCACAUCAUCAUAGACAAGUGGUUCACAAUCUGCAAGAAGACAUACAAGGUGAACCUCGUUAGUAGCUUCAUAAAUAUCAGACAAUCUCCUUGAUCUUGGCACUAGAGGUUUAUCGACAUCAUUUGAAGAGGUAGGUGAUGAUGAACUUGAAGAAGAUACUAGAGAAGAAGGUGUAGAAUGAUCUUUCAACUCCGUUUGAUCGAUAUCACCACGAGCAUUCACUUCUUCUUUUUGAUUGUCUUCCCAUGAGCCAUCUUCAUCGAACUUGACAUCUCUGCUUAUAUACACUUUCAAAGUGUUAGGAUCAAAUAAACGGUAGGCUUUGGAUGAGGAGUCAUACCCAAUAAAGAUUAGCUAUUUGCUCUUGUCUUCUAGCUUUGAUCUUUUCUGGUCUAGGACACGAGCAUAGGCAAUGCUCCCGAAAAUUCUUAAGUGUGAAACACUUACUGUUCUCCCAGUCCAUGCUUCCUGUGAAGUUACUCCUUUAAUUCCAUAUGUGGGAUAUCUAUUUUGAAGAUAGACCAUACAUGAAACAACUUCAGCCCAAAGCCCCUUGGGCAAAUUUUUGCUCUUCAACAUGCUUCGAACCGUGCUAAGAAUGAUUCUACUUUUUUCAUUCAGCUAUACCAUUUUGUUGAGGAAAAUACGGAGCCAUCAAGAAACACCGAAUACCAUGAUCCUCACAGAAUUUGUUGAAUAUAGCUGAGGUGAAUUCUCUGCCACAAUCAAUUCUUAAAGCUUUGAUAAAACAAUCGCUCUCCUUCUCAGUUAGGUUUUGAAUUGUUUGAAAGUAUCAAACACUUAUGUUUUUUCUUUCAAAAAAUACACCCAAGUUUUCAGAGUAAAAUCAUCAAUAAAAGUAACAAAAUAUCGAUGAUUACCAUAUGAGUGAGGAGUGAUUGGGCCACACACAUCAGAAUGAAUCAACUCAAGCGGCUUCUUCACUCGAUAAGUCAUUUCCUUCAGAAAGCUAGUUCUAGAAGAUUUACCAAUAACAUACCCUUCACAUAAUUCAUCGGGAUCAUCAAUAUGUGGUAAGCCAUAAACUAUCUUCUUGCAAGAAAGCAAAUUGAGUCCGCCAAAAUUCAAAUGGCCAAACCUUAAAUGCCACAACCAUGAAGGAUUAUCUAUGCAUGCCUUCAGACAUCAAUACGUAUCAUUAUUUAUAUUGAGAGUAAACAUCCUGUUCUUCGACAUCUUCACAUUCACAAUCAAUCCAUUAUUCCUAUCUCUUAGCAUAAGACUAAGAUCUUUCAUAUGAACAGUAUAGCCAUUCUCCAAAAGCUAUUCCAAACUCAAAAUAUUGCUUGACAUUUUCGGGACAUAAUAAAUAUUAGUAAUAAACCGACGUGCACCAUUUUUCAAGUGAAUCAGAAUUGUACCUUUGCCUUUGACAAGAAUUUUGGAGUUGUCACCAAAAGAGACUUUACCUUUAAUUGUCUCAUCUAAUUUGUUAAACAUCUCUUUUCUCCCAAACUUGUGAUUGCUUGCGCUAGUAUCCAAAUACCAUGUAUCAGUUUGGCCUCCUUCAUUUCCGCUACUUUCCUUGUUCCAAUUGUCAAAAGCAUAAUGGCCAAGUUUAUCACAAUGAUAACAUCAAAUUUUAGAUUUAUCAUGCCAUUGGCCUAUCGAGUUCUUUCCUUUUCCAUGAACACGUCUUUGAUAUUGGUAGCUACCAUCACUUGGAGCAACAUCUCCUCUACUUCGUCCACGACCUCUUCCUUGAAAGCAACCUCAGCCUCAACCACGAUCACAAUCUUGGUUUGUCCUACGAAUUUGUGUGAGUUCUCUUAUUUGUUCCUUCUCAUCUCGGAUGGUCAACCACGUUUGGAGAACUUCCUCCACUAGUUCAAUCUUUUUUCUUCUGAAUCUUUCUUGACGAGCUUGUCAUGAACCCAUAAUCUUAUCGAUCGUAAUGGCAUCCAAAUCUCUGGAUUCUUCAAUUGCAACAGCAAUGUGGUUGUACUUCUUGUCUAAGGACUGAAAUAUUUUCUUGGCAACAUGAACUUAUGAAAUGUCUUCUCCAUUUCUUUUCAUCUAGUUGAUAAUCCCAAAACUCUUGUGAAAUAAUCAGAAAUCGAUUCAAAUUCUUUCAUAUGAAUUACCUCGAAUUUGCCUCUCAAGGUUUGAAGGUGAAUCUUCUAAACUUUUUGUACUCCUUGAUGUGUAUUGUGAAGAAUCUCCCAUGCCUCCUUAGCAAUGAUGGCAUUUGACACAUUUUCAAACAUAGAAUCAUCUAAAGCUUGAUACAUGUUUGACAGGGCAUAUUGAUCUUUCGAACAAACCUUCUCCAAGGCAUUCAUCUGGUUCUAGUUUAAGGUAGCUUCAUCCUCUAGUUCAUCAUAACCAGUGUUGACAAGUUCUCACAUGCCGUAGGGGCUGAGUAGAGCUUUCAUUCUAAUAGCCCAGUUAUCAUAGUUGUCUUGGUAAGAUGAGGGUAUUGAAGAGGAAGCUGAUUGUUUGUUGAUGCCAUAAUCACAAACCGUAGGCUCUUAUACCAAUUUGCUGGAAGUAAUUUGAAUGUGAAACGCUCACAAUUCAAACAAGGAAGAGAAGAAGAUAUAUAGGCAUGUAGAUUUAUUUCGCCUUAACAAAACACAAUUACAAGACUCCCAUAUUUAUAAACUUGUUACAUGACCUUUACUCUUCCUAGUAGAAAAAGCUAAUGUUCCAGAUAAGAUCUAGAAACUAAUAAAAUGAUCACCAUAUCUCACAUUAUCUCUAAAAACAAUCACUACACCUAAAAAUAGAAUUAGACUCAUUAUAGAUAAUGAUGAAUAGACUUAUUAAAGAUAACAUUGCAAUUAUGACUCUUUUUCAAUGUGGGUACAGGACAGUUGUCUGUACCAAUAAAUUUGGUUUAAUUUCUAACAAUAACCACGUUAGAUGAAACUUGCGUUCUCCUUGAGUUGAGCUACUUCAGCCUUAUGAACGAAAUCAGCAUUCUUUAUAGAUUUCCACUUUGUAUCCUACUUUUGUCUCUCCCACAGCUAGUUUGAACCAAAUUUGUGGACAGACUUUGCUCAUGUCAACACGUAUAUCUAGAAUUAUCUUAUGAUAGUAUUCCUUGUUUUUGUUUCUUUUUUGUUGAAGCAUAUUAUUGGUUCUAUUAACAUAUUCAGUAAAGUUUACGAAAAAUUAUCUUAUAAUAGUAUCACUGUUGUUAAAAUUUUCUGAUAAUAACAUAUUUGUAAAUUUAUUUUUCCUCAUUUUUUUUUCAUUUUUCCCUUUCUUAUUGAAAUCAAUGGUGAAAGAAAAUUUUCAAAAAUUGAAAUACAGCGAGUCUGCACCACUUGCCGCGUUCCCGAUAUUUUCCAAAGAAAAGCAUGAAUUUGGAAGACUUUGACCAAACGCGGUACAUGUUAAUUUGGAGAUUUUAUGAGUUAUGGAGAACAAGUCAGGGCUCGCAGUUGAUUCAAUCCCUACGAAUUCAAACCGAUUACUGAGUUACUUUGUCGAAAUUGUGUUUCAAUCAUAAUCGUAGAUAUGCUCCCACGCACUUGGAAAUUUGCUUUGUCGUCCUGCAUCUGGCAUGCACUCAAUGAUUGCGGACUGUGGUCCAUGGCAUUGUGGUGAUUUAAUGCUUAGACUGGGAUGGGUCUUUGUGCAACUUGAAAAGGAAUGGUUACAGCAACGAUGAAUGAACAUAAUUCUACAAAAAUUCUACUAAAAUUUGCAUGUAGUAUUUCCGGGUUUAGAAACUCCUAUAUGUUUGAUUAAAUGGAUGUCGUGGUGACAUGACAAUAUCUUGUUCUCAUGGACUUAACGACAUUAUGCAAAAUUACCACAUCUAAAAGCUAUUUGGUUUACAUCAUGAUCCAAUUGCACUUUUGUAAUAUGUUUAGAACUUUCGGUAUAUUUAUCCUCUAAAAAUAUAGAGCAUUUAGAGCUUAUAGAUGAUCAAUGAGCUGUCAACAACUUUAAAAAGAUCUUAUGGAUGCCCAUUGGAGAGAGGUAACGUAAAUACUGACCUUAAAUUUCGAUUAGUGCUCUGUAUCUAAUAAAUGAACCACAAACAAAUACCUUCUAGGACAUCAAGAUGAUGAAGAUUUGAGAUGGAUGGAUUUGAACAGAGCUUGGUUUACUCACACUGGCUUGACAUGAUUUUUGCUUGGGGACUCACUGUUGACACCUAAAAUUAGGGAUUCGAUCUAUUGAUCCUUAGCCAAAAAGCUUUGCACUAUAUUUCAUAGCCAAUUAAGGGGACUGUUAUUUUCGCUACACCAAGGGAGACUCAACUUCAUGAGAGCAUUGAAGCGUUUGAUAUCAUUUUCUCUCACACAUCAUAAACACAGUGGUUUACAAAUAUUCACCUUGGGGAUUAUUUUUAGUUCUAAUUUGCAUCAUCAAAAAUCCAAAUAAUUUAACGUGAACCAACCACAUGAAGAUGGAAUUGGGCCACAUGCUCUUGAAUUGAGCGUGCAUUGUUCGGAGAUCUUAAUAUUGGAGGAACAAGGAGGAAGUAUAUGCAUUGGAUGGAAUGGCUUUAUGCAUGCAUGCAAUGGGAACGAGCUCCUAAUUGUCUAAUAAAUGAGGGCUUUAAUGUGAGCUUAUGCUGAAAUGUGCUAAUGGUGUUGAAGAUCGUGUUUCAGCGUGUAGUAUUCAUUGAAUAGUCGGAUAAUGAAAAUAUAUCUAUUGCCGCGGCGCUGUAGAUGAAAUCAUACUGUACUUCUGUUAAUAUGGCAAAGAAAAGAAUACCUUUCACUCAGGAAAAAUUAUCACUUGCAUGAUUUUAAACAUGACAAUGCUCGGCCAAAGUGAUAAUAUUUCUUAUCAUCAACACAAACUAAAACUUAAUAAAAUCAAUUUGUAAAAGCAUCAGUGUGACAAAAUUUUAUUGACUAUUUCAAAAACAAAAUCGAGAAAAUGGUGCGCGUUGCAAAGUGCGAGUUUCUCGCCAGUGUAACAAAUGGACAAGUAACCUAAACUUGGAUAUUUGAUCAUUUGAUAUUUCGUUUAAUUCAAUCCUCUCCCUUCAAAUAAACUUUAGGACGUUCUAUAUUGGGUUUCUGGGGUUAACUUUUAACCUUCAUGUUAAUGAGUUCAAAUCCGCGCACCUAUAUUGCAUAAUAUGUGAUAUGAAUUCGAACCCAUUAGGCUUCUGGUGCAUAUUCAUUGUUCGAUUUUUGAUCUUCGGGAUCCGUGCCUUUGUCUUGUCUUGGUAUAUUUUCAGUUUCGUCCUGUUUGAACCUGUUAUCGAAUGGCAUUGAUUGUAGCUCAUCGAGUUAUUUAUACAAGAUCUCCGUUGACCAUUUUGGAAGAGAAUACCUAUGCUUAAAAAAUUGUCUGCAUGGUGUCGCAUCUCGCAAUUUCUCAACGGAUGAGUCAAGAAAGUUCGUUUGAUUAUGCUUCCAACUACGUGACUUAUAGACUGUGAUUUCUUUGGUCUAUAAGAAGUAGGUUGCCAAAAGGAAGUGAGAGUCCCUUCUGUAUGAUAAAAUUAGCAGCUGAACUGUUGAAAUUGGGAUUUCCAGGCACCGAUCCACGCCUUGAGGAUCAGCAAGUUUCAUGCGGUUCUCAUCAUCUAAUUUAGCAGACAAGAUCUGUUUUGCUUGGAUCAAGUGAAAACACUGUUCUAGUGCGUCGAAUGCAAUUUUGAUGAAGCAAUAUUGUCGAUGAAAAUGCUUUAAUGCAGCCACGUUAGUUUUUCCAUGACACACAGGAAUAUGAUCCACGGAGAAUUCCUAAGAGAGUCAACACAGUAAUGCCCAUGACUUCAAAUUUUUUAGUGAUGAUUUUGCAUCAUUUGAUAUAGUUAUUUGACCAGUCAACAAUCUAAAUCUCUCUUCAAAAUGGCAUGUGGUCUCGCUUGCAAUCCCUUUUGCUAACAAUCGUCAACCCGUUCUCUCUUGGAUACAUGCAAGGGAAUGUUAAGCUUGAGUAAGAUUUAGCUUAUUUAAGCGGGAUUCAUGUGAACUCAUUAUGAAAAAUUUUAUUCUGGCGUAAUAGCAAUUACGAACGAUACAAAUACUUUUCACGAUUACAAAGACACCAGUUAUCUUAAUAAAAAAAUCAUAUUAAACUGAUAAAAGAGCUUGGAUCUGGAGGGACUGAGACUUCAACAGCUCCUUACAACAUCUGAGUGAUUUUCUUCAUGUUUGGCCUCAAUGCCGGGUCUUCCAGGAUGCACCACCACAAUCCUGCCAUCACAAAUCUUCUCACCCUCCUCAUGUCGCUUGAUGCCUACUCAUCACUCUCCACUAGCUGAAGUAUGCUCUCAUUGUGGUAGCAGUCAUACACCCAGUCCACCAGCACAAUUCGAAUUAUCUAUCCUUACCUUGAUCAGAGCUUUUCCACCGACAUUAGUAUCUAUCAUACCAUUUAAAAGAGGGAUCUUCUUUUUCCAGCAUUUUCCAUUCUAGAAAACAGCGACCGUGCAAAACAAUCAACCAAGCAAGCCUCUCGGCACCAGUCCUCAGUUUGUGACGCACUAAUCUCAUAAACUGACUGUGGCCAGUCCGUAUUGAGCAUGUCACGCAAAGUAAACUGGUCUUUUUCAAGCCUAUUUCCAUCACAACUCUGUGAUACGAAGUCAUGUAUGCAUCCAUUCAUCUCAAUCGUCGAAUCUAACAAAGUAUAUCUAGGUGGGCAGUGGCAUUGGGGCCUCUGAAUUUGAUUGUCUCCACGAGUACAGUAGCUGGUGAAGCCAUAAGCUCAGUUCAUCCUCGCGCUUAUAUUUGAAAGGACCAAGGAAGAUUAUGAUGCUAGUAAGAACACCUUGAGAGGGUGAAUAGGUGUUUGAAAUGAAUCUUGACAAAUAAUUGCGGAAUAAAUAAGUUGCCAGCAAAGUAUGGAUGAAGAACAUAAUCAUUUUUGCGAAACACCAUAAUUUUGGUAGAUAUUUAGAAUAUACUAUGUGAUGGAACAGACUUCUGAGAUAACCUGUAAUAGUGUAACAGAAUUAAGUAAAUAGAUAAGAAAUAAGAGAAUUGUACAUAGAUUUUAUAGUGAUUCGGCUUAAAUCAAGCCUACGUUCGCUCUCCCACACUGAGAGCUUACUGGCCGGAUGCUACUAUAUAAUCAACAAGAAAUUACAACUUUAAGUACAAACACUUAGUGAUAGAUCACACUAUUUCACUAAGUCACUUUUUUGGUAUUUCUCUCACAAUCACAAACGUUUAAGCUCAUGAAAGGCAAGUAUAUCAUCGAAGUUCGCUCAAACAUUGAAAUUCUAGAUUGUAUGUUUCGUCUCUUACUUGCUCCUCAGUUUUUGGUCUCCUUAAAUACUCCUCCAAUUCCAAACUAGCCGUUGGACAUUAUCUAUAGGAUUUUUUUUCCAAUCGACCCACUGGACAUAUCUAUAUCAAGAAGAUUUGGUAGCCGUUGAGUGACAAAAUAAAAUCCCUAAUUAAUUCUAAUCGUCCAUACAAACAAAAUCUUGGUUUCAUAAGUAGAGCUUUUCUUUAGAAAGUUCUUCUCUUCAGGACCCAAUUGUCAAUCAAUUAGAUUGAGUUAAUUAAAUUUAUCUUGAUGUAGAAUACAAACCAGAUCACUAGUCGUUAUACGUUUUGGGCUUAUGUCUCAUUCUAUCAAGUUGUCUCAUUUUGAACUUGUUACAGUCUGAACCUGUUACGUUAUAAACUUUGUCAUGUUUUGGAUUUGUGCCUCAUUCUAUAUGUAAAGUCUGAGUAUGUUCCAUCUAUACAUAAAGUCUAUGUGUAUUUCAUUUGAAGUAGACUACAAUCUGGACAUGAGUCUAAACAUAUUCAUCAUUAGAGUCUACUUCUAAACAUAUUUAACCUUAAGGUCUCGAUAUAGAUGAAUAAGUUCAACUUUAGCAUGGAGUUUAUCUUUUGGUUCUUCCAAGUCUAAUCUUUGAUAAUAUCCUUUACACGCUCCAUCAUCUGCAUAGUCUAUUGCUCAAUCAUUAAACAAGUUAGUAGCCUUUGAUAUGUCUUGUCAUCUUCAUAACAGUACAGGAGAUUUUUCUAAUAAUCUCCCCUUUUUUUAUGAUGACAAAACAAUAUCUGAAUAUGCAGAUGUAUAAACACGCUUUUAAAGAUAUUAAUAAAUCAUUACAAUUUUAAAUAAUGUAAUUCAAAUUAAAAGAAAACAAAUAGAUUGAGCAUAACAAUAUAUAGAAAUACAAUCGUAGCUCAAUAUUAUGCAAUAAAUAAUAUCAACCAAUUAACUUAUAUGCAUAUUUAUAUUCUCUCCCCAUUUUUGUCAUAAUCAAAAAACGAUAACAAUUAAAAGGGUAUCACAUAGAAAAUAUAAAAUUCACCUCAAAUUCACAAAUUGUGUUUCAAAAUAUCUUCAAAACAUAUAUAAUUCACUUAACUUUUUUUCAUCAUAAAAUGAUAAUGUAAGUAAGAGAUUUGAUGAUGACAGAUAGAUGAGCUUGAUAAAAGAUGCAUUAACCAAAUUUUGUAGAACUUAACAAGUUCUAACACAUUUAACUUUUCUUUCCUUUCAUAAUAAUUAAGAUUAUGAUCAAUUCAAAAAGAUUUUUUCAUACUUGAUCAAUGCUCCUCCUCAAUAUGAUGCAUUUUUUGAGAUGAUCACGAUUCUCCCCAUUUCUUUUGGAUUCACUUUCUCCCCCUAUCACCAUGACAAUAUUUGCAAAUAGCACUAAUUGUGGCUUGUGCAUGUUGAAUAUAAUAUUUUUCCAUUGUUUUGCUCUUAGCAACAACAUCCGCAUCGAUUGUUUGCUUUUUGAAAUUCACGGUAGAGAUUUGUCUUCUUCAAUCAAGCUUGUCUCGAAUUUAAUCUGCAUAUACUCAACAAACUUUUUGCACAAAUACACCGUUAUAAUAUCUAUGUAAUAUAUAAUGUCAUUUCUUCAAAUAAAUAAAUUGAAUAGCAUAUAUAAGAUUAUCACAUAUUUAAAUUCAAAGCUACUCAACUUUUUGCACGACACAUUAGGGACCUACUGUUGACGCCUAAAAAUUUCAUUAAUCAGGUUUUACUUUUGUUUUUAUUUAUUUUAUUUUAUCUUUUUCGGAUGAUUAAAAAAAAAAGAAGAAGAAAGAAGAGAAGCAGCCUCCACAUGGGCCCUCGGCCCAUUUUCGCCUCAGCCCGGCCCCGCCAGGUCGUCUCCUUCCUCGAGCCUCUGCAGAGCACGCGAGGGGGGGCGCCUACAAAUUUGCUAGAAAAUAGCUAGUACCAUAGACAGUUUGAAAAGAUCAUGAAAAAAUUAAACCAGCUACAGGAGCAAGAUCCCAUGGACCUGUCCAAUGACGCCGGCAUUGAGAUCCCUGAAAAACUCAAAGCACCUGAAUGCGAAAGGUAUGCUGAUACCUCCCGCCCAGAGACCUACUUGCAGGCCUACCUAGUCCGAAAGAUGAUUCAAUCGUACCAAUCGAACUUGACUGGUCCUACCUUACGAUGGUACAUGGUCAGGAAGAUUAGUCCUCUUAAAACCUGGAGGGAACUAAUUCAUGUUUUUCACCAAGAGUACAAUAUUGACAUCACCCCUGACAUCAUCUUACCCUACGAAAAGCCGAUGAUCACGGAGCACGAGGAGCCGUUAGUCGCUAAGGUAGGAGAGGAGCACGUCAAUGAAGCCUUGCAUAAUAAAUGGGCGACUGAGCAACAUCCUAUUACUGAGAAGUUUCCCACUAGGAAAGGCAAGGAGCCUUUGUACGAGAUUAUAGAAUCAGAGCCUGUUCAAGAGCGGGGCACGACUAGACAACUCCCUAAGCUUACUCCAAGAGCUAGGGUCCAAAGAAUAUCAACCUCUAUCAACCUGGAAAGCGAAUCAGACAGUGAAGCUCUAAUGUCUCUCACUUCCCUUGACAGAACUGAGCUGGCAAAACGAAGGGCCUUACUCAAAAGGUCUAGUCCAGAAGCCAAGAAAAGAAAGCCUAAGCAGAUCAAUGCAGCAUCUGCCGACAAGCCACCACACCAAAGCUUCGAGCAUUCCCAAGAAUAUAGCUUUAAAGGUUACCAUCCCCUAAGAUACAACGCUGAAAGCUUCCAGGCCCUAGAAUACAAUCCCAAGGACUUCCAGCGUUAUUUUGAUAAUGAAACUGACGAUUCAUCGUAUAACUAUUUCAUACUCUCAUCUGGGGAUGAAGGUCCGUCAGAAGAGGAAGUGUACGUCUUUAUCCACUACGAUCCUAACGAAUUACUAAGCUCGUCCUCUGACCAUGAGGAUAGCUUCAAUACUUCAUCCUCAUUCGGAAAUUUUGACCAAGAAGAAAGCAAUGGGGUAAUCUCGGUAGAAUCCAACUUUCCUGAAACAGAAAAACUCACCACUACAAUGAAUAUGCAGUGGGAAAACCAGUGGUCUAACCAAGAUACAUCAAGCCCGUCCUACGCUCAUAGGAUCAUGACCCCUAGAGAAAUGUGGAUAUCUAAUCUCCACAAGUAUAACGACACGACUUGCCCCGUGGCCACUUACAGUACCUCCAUGCUGAAAUGAAUCAGUACUAUGGCCCAGUGUCAUUCACAACUCAGGCCUUCCAAGAAAGUCUUACGGGACAUGCAUUACAAUGGUUCAUCACAGCAGGUAUCUACCUCAUGAGAGAUUGGAAUGAGCUGUCUUCUGCAUUCCUACUUUAGUAUCAAAGCCAGAUUGGAACUGAACUACCUUGCGAGGGCUUGGUUCACUUUAGAAGAAGACCAAUGGAGGAUUUCCGAACAUAUGCGAGGAGGUGGGAGGCUUUUAUGAUGCAAACUUACCCUCAACUGGCCGAAGAAGAAAUGAUAAAGCUGUUCAUAGGGACUUUACCUCACGAGCAUCGUUGUUGUUUGCGUGGGUUGUACUUCCAUAGCUUCAACGAGAUAGUCAUCGCAUGCGAAUACUUCGAGUCUACUGGAGGCGAGGAACUCAAAGGCGCUUGAUUUCAUAACCAAUACUAUCAAAGCACUCCUUUACACAGGAGUUUUCAUGGGUUUUACUUGUUUUUAUAAUUUCAUGUUUCUUAUCUUGUCUAGUGUGCUACUGUUGUAUUUUCCAUUCCAAGUACUCUAUUGUACAGUUAUAAUAUUUUGUUUUAAGAGCAUGAGGUGGUACUCCAAACCAGCCCAGUGAUGUUAUCCAAUCAUGAAAAAAAAAAAUCAUCCAAGGAGAAUACUGAGGGCUGGGCUUCCUCAUGCUUUUUCUCAAAAAAAAAACAUAUUUUGAAAAGGAAAAGUAUUUCAUCACCAAAAAACUUUUGUCAAGAUAAGAUGAUAAAUUUAAGCAUGUUUGUCUUUCUAACUUUCUCAUUUCAUGUCCAAGAAUAUCAUCCCAUUUAAUUUAGUGUGACGGAAGGUAUUUGAAACUGGCACAUCAUGUGAACAGACCAAAUUCGAAAACACAUUUUCAAGAAAGCAGGGGCAAACAGAAAGGAGCCUCCCGUUUAAAUUAAAAAUGGUAAGUCUUAUUCCCUUAACAUGAUAUUGAGAAUGACGACGCCUCUCUUCUAUUUUCAGGAUACAAAAGAUGAAACGUAAUAGGUACAGGCAUAGAGUUGAGAUCGAAGCAUCCAUGACAUGCCUCACUCCUGCCCAGCUCCAUCCUAAGCCAAAGGACCAUCUUGUCGCACGACACGCCCAAACAGCUAGAUGUUACAGUUCCAGCUUCGACAAGCCCAUAAGCAUAAGGAAGGGAUCUUUCAACAAGGAGAAAAUCUAGACAAUCAAAGUAAUCUAUGGCCCCACAUCUUGGACAAUGACUUUGGAAUCUAGAAACUUCACUCCAGACGCAUAUGCUUUCAAGGAGUAAUUGCCAUCAGAAAGCUUGAGAUUUUUUAUCUCAGAUUCCAUAGAAGCUUGAGGUACAUGAUUUUUACCCAAUGAUGCUAUAGUUAAAGACCGAAGGAGAAAUUCCACAAAAGGAAGGCGUUGAAGAUGAAUCAACAACCAACAAUCAUGUGCAUGGUCACAAAGGAGGAAGGCCAAUUGAAGGAAAUAUUGAACUAUGCCAAGACAAAGAGGCUGUCAUCAGCAUACAGAAAUCCUUAGGAAUCAACAAAUACAAGCUUUGGAGAAGAGUGAUUUGGUAUCGUUUCCAAUACUCCCACUAUUUGAACUCGCUUUUGAUAUAUUUUCCUAUUUGACAGGAAGCAUCACAACUCAAGAACCAAACUCAAUGGUUAGGUUUGGCAAAUUAAUAUUGGCCAAGCUAGUACCCACAUCAAGUUCACCUGGCUUCGUGUAAAAAGACAUGUCAUCCAAGAGCCAAUUAAGAGAAUAAUUAACCUAAUGAAGCAAGGGACAUAGGACUUCAGGUCCCCCUCUCACUUCAGGUUCACCCAAUCAUCUGCAAACCAAUGAAGGGUAAAGUUGUAUCGCUUCCAGUUAUUCGACUCUUGAAAGAGUUCAUGACUAACACAUUCCCUCUUGUUUGUUGCAGGGUCACCUGGUUGCCAAAAAUACAGAUAACAAAUCAAUGAGAGGCAUGACAAGCUCUCUCAAACAAAAUGGCGUCUCAAGUAUCGCCAAAGCAAAUGACAGAAAAUCUUCAGGCCGCAACUCACAUUUGAUUUUGGCUAGACUAAUUGAUCUACUUGUACAUCUUCUCUUCUGCAGGGCCAAAAAAGGCCCAUCAAAUCAAUGAUUAGAUUCCCAAUCCUUGGCUGAUCAUUCAUGUGUCAUAUCCCUAAUCAAUAGGGACAACCAUCAACGCCCUUUUGUAAAUAACUCUCUUAAUGUUCAAGUUUCAACACAUUUGUGAAUACCGUUCCACCUAGGUAAACACCCCUAAAGUUAUUAAUAAGUUCUUCUUGAGUAAAAAGCCAUUCAUUUAUUUUGAGAGUACAAACUCCAUCACAUCAUACACUGCAUGCAUUUUUCUAGGUGAAUUCUGCAUAAUGAUUUUGUCUGUCUAAAUCAUUGAUUCCAUUGAGAAUUAUUAGAAAAGACAACUGAUUGAAGAAUACAAGAUUGAUUGAGUAUGUUGGAUGAGGCGCGUCAGAAUGAUGACAGGCAAGCCAUAUCCUACACACAAUCCCCCAUCUAUACACUUGUGAGAUGAGUGCAGAAAAUUCCAUGACUACAGGGUAAAAAGUUCUCUCGCGAAUAGUACAAUGAUCAAAGCAGUGAGAGGCAUUCCAUCGCUCACUUUGAGCCCCAUACACUGACAAAUUUAUGCUAUACUCCUGACAAAGAACCACCCCACACUGGGGCAAGUCAAAAGCAAAUCAACAUCACAAGGUGAGAAAGGGGAUAGAAAUUUUCUUGCUCGCACUUGCAUCAAUCUUUAAGUGUCUUUAUUACAUAUGAACACUCGCGUUAAUUUAAGUGCCCUAGAGUCGUGAAGAGCAAUUCUUUAUUUACGCACUUGUAUCCAUUGUACAACUCAAUUGAGUCUGUAAAUUCACCCUCACAUGGAGGCAAAGCAGAAGCCACUGUCGUUUGAGCAGCAUAAUCAGAAGUGCCAACAAAAGAUGAAGACUCCAUAGUCUAGCAAAGGCAUUUGCUUGAACUUGUCAAGAUCAGUUCCUCAAGCAACAAGAACAAAAAACUGGGGCAUAAAAAAGCAGUGUAUCUGGUAAAAGCAAGGUCAAUGCCCAUAAAUGAAGAACUGGAAUAAAAAAUAGGGGCAUGAAAUAGUAGUGUACCUGGUAAAAGCAAGGCCAAUGCCCUCCAGUCAAAAAUAUUCCCAAGAGAAGUUACUGUUGUGGUUCAAUUGAUAGAACCUCCAUUUGAUAGUGAGAAGAAAGAUCAGUGACAAAUGCCAAGACAGUCACCCUCUUACAUGUGAGCCAAGUCACGUCACAUUCCCAUUGUAAAAGUCUCUUCAGACUAGGGGCACUUCAAUUAACGUAGACUUCACAUGUGCAUAAGUAUCGUUCAAAGAAGUACGAGCAGGAUUACUCUAUCUCUUUUCGCAGGAUUCUUGACUUGUAAACCCGGAGAUGAUCGUGUAGCAUUUUUAUCCAUCGGCUUCGACCUUGAUGGUCCCAUUUGACGAGCUGCUAACCAUGACUUCAUCGUGAUUUCAACAAAGACCUCUCACAUUGGUAAAGUUGUACCGUUUGCGAGAAUACUCGGACCCCUGUUGACAUGAUGACAAUGAGAUAGUGUGGUCCUUAUAAAUCCUGCAUCAAUGGUCAGGAUAGCCUUUUCCAUGAGAGUGAGUGAAAAGUCCUUUUAGACUGAAAGUCCCUCAUCUGGCAUGCUCAAGACAUCUACAUUCUAAAUGAAUGUUGUCUUUCAAAAUCUUCCCCAGUGAAAAUCAAAAGAUGCAAAACUGACAAAAUCAUCAUGCAUGAAUUUCAUUUGAACUCAUAGCGUAUACAAUCAUGUGUGCAUAUUGUGCAAAUAGCAAACAUACUCUUAAAGAUCAGAGAUAUUGCCAGGUAAGCAUGUCUCUAUUCCCAUUUGCCUUAAAGUACCUACCACUGUCCAGGUACUCCCUUAUUGACACUUGACCUAGUCGAGUUGUCCCCAGAGUAUUGAUACUUGUGACUGACCAAGUAUCCCUUUUAUCGUUGAAUACCUACUACUGUCUAGAUAUCCCCAUAUUGUCAAGUACCUACCGCCCAGGUAUGCUUUCCAACACUUGGAUCAGCCUGAAUGGUCCCAGAUCAUAUCAUUAAAUACUUAUAUUCAUCCAAGUAUUCCAGUACUUUGUACACCUGUGGCUACCCAGGUGUUCCAGCGCUUUUGAGUACCUGGGGCCAUCCAGGUAAGCCUUGUGCUACAUUCAAAUUCCCAUUACCAUGAGGUGAGAGACCUUCAAGAAUAUCUCAGGUACGCCCUCGAUAUUCCCUUUUACUAGGAGGUGAGAGACCUUCACGAAUAUGCGGGGCGCGCCCUCGAUAUUCCCAUUACCAGGAGGUGAGAGACCUUCACAAAUAUCUCAGGUACGCCUUCGAUAUUCCAUUUUACUAGGAGGUGAGAGACCUACACGAAUAUCCCAGGUACGUCCUCGAUAUUCCCAUUUACCAAGAGGUGAGAGACCUUCAUGAAUAUCCAAGGUAUGUCCUUGAUAUUCCAAUUACCAGGAGGUGAGAGACCUUCAUGAAUAUGCGAGGCACGUCCUCAAUAUUCCCCUUUACCAAGAGGUGAGAGACCUUCAUGAAUAUGCGAGGCACGUCCUCAAUAUUCCCAUUUACCAGGAGGUGAGAGACCUUCAUGAAUAUCCAAGGUAUGUCCUCGAUAUUCUAAUUACCAGGAGGUGAGAGACCUUCAUGAAUAUGCGAGGCACGUCCUCAAUAUUCCCAUUUACCAGGAGGUGAGAGACCUUCACAAAUAUGCGAGGCACGUCCUCAAUAUUCCCAACUACUAGGAGGUGAGAGACCUUCACAUAUAUCCCAGGUACGCCCUCGAUAUUCCAAUUACCAGGAGGUGAGAGACCUUCACGAAUAUCCCAGGUACGUCCUCGAUAUUCCCAUUUAUCAGGAGGUGAGAGACCUUCACGAAUAUAUGGGGCACACCCUCGAUAUUCCCACUACCAGGAGGUGAGAGACCUUCACGAAUAUCCCAGAUACGCCCUCGAUAUUUCCCAAUUGCUAGGAGGUGGGACACCUUCGCAAAUAUCCAAGGUAUCUUUCAGAAUUGAUGCCUUGAGAAAGGUUGUCGUAUCCUCUCGAGAAAAGUCGAGUACCAGCUGCUGUCUUUGACAAAGGUCAGACACCCCCACAAAAUAGAUGCCCUGAGAAAGGUCGACGCAUCUCCCGAGAAAGGUCGGGUACCAACUGGUGUCCUCAAUACAAAUCAGGCACCCAUAAAUGAGAUGCCCUGAGAAAGGUCGGUGCAUCUCCCAUCACGGCGACCGAAGAAUGGUUAGGGUCCGAGACAAACCACUGAUUGCUCCAAUAGACGACUGAAGAAUGGUUCGGGUCCUGGAGAAGCAAUUUCUCGUCAAGGCGACCGAAGAAAGGUUCGGGUCCUAGACAAAUCACUAAUUGUUUUAACAUGCGACCGAAGAAUGGUUCGGGUUCUGGAGAAGCAAUUUCCUGUCACGUCGACCGAAAAAUGGUUCGGGUUCGAGACAAACCACUGAUUGCUCCAACAGGCGACCGAAGAAUGGUUCGGGUCCUGAAUAAGCAAUUUCCCGUCAAGGCGACCGAAGAAAGGUUCGAGUCCUAGACAAAUCAUUGAUUGUUUUAACAGGCGACCGAAGAAUGGUUCGGGUCCUAGAGAAGCAAUUUCCCAUCACGGCGACUGAAGAAUGGUUCGAGUCCGAGACAAACUACUGAUUGCUCCAACAGGCGACCGAAGAAUGGUUCGGGUCUUGGAGGAGCAAUUUCCCGUCAAGGCGACCGAAGAAAGGUUCAGGUCCUAGAAAAAUCAUUGAUUGUUUUAAACAGGCGGCCGAAGAAUGGUUCGGGUCCUAGAGAAGCAAUUUCCCGUCACAGCGACCGAAGAAUGGUUCGGGUCCGAGACAAACCACUAAUUGCUCCAACAGGCGACCGAAGAAUGGUUCGGGUCCUGGAGGAGCAAUUUUCGGUCAAGGCGACCGAAGAAAGGUUCGGGUCCUAGACAAAUCAUUGAUUGUUUUAACAGGCGAUCGAAGAAUAAUUCGAGCCCUAGAAAAGCAACCUCUUCAUAUCACCAGGUAAGAUGACGCCUUGAUACUUGCCAAACUCAAGGCUCACACCUUAUCUCACUCACUCCCGGUAAGUAACUACAGGUAGCUUCUUAUCUGUCUUAGUAUAUAUAAAGUUAUAUUGCCCUUUUUCUGCAUAAAUAAUAGGUCCCAAAUAAAAUAUAAUCUGCUACGCAUAUAUGGACAAAAUUUAAGCAUCAGUUUGUCUUUAAAUGCAACCUCUGCGAGCUCACCUUCAAAGAGGGGCAGCUGUUGACGCCUAAAAAUUUCAUUAAUUAGGUUUUACUUUUGUUUUUAUUUAUCUUAUUUUAUCUUUUUCCGAUGAUUAAAAAAAAAAAGAAGAAGAAAGAAGAGAAGCAGCCUCCACAUGGGCCCUCGGCCCAUUUUCGCCUCGGCCUGGCCCCGCCAGGUCGUCUCCUUCCUCGCGCCUCUGCAGAGCACGCGAGGGGGGGCGCAACGGAGGGGAAGGGGAUGGACGGACGGCGAUGGGACGUGGAGCAGGGGCAGCUGGCGUCGGAUGGGACGCCGGUUCGGCCGACGAAGGCCGUGGCGAUCGGCGGUCGAACUCCGUCGACCGGCCGCCCCUCGCCUAUAAAUACCUCCCCCCCCCCCGACGACGACAACGGACACACAGAGAUCCCGGAGAGAGAGAGAGAGGGAGCCAGAUCGAGUCGCAGCCCUUGGACACCCCACUGAGAGACUUCAGGGGGGCCGAGGGUUCGUGGCCUCAGAUCUGAGCAUCGCCGGAGGGGAGAGUAGAGAGAGAGAUAGAGAGGGAGAGAGAGACGCAGGAGGGGAAGGGAUUCGCGUGGGUCUCGCCGUCGCGGUCUUCGCCCUCAUCGCGCCAUCGCUGAGCAGGUAUCGCAUUGUCGCCGUCACCAUCACCCCUCCCGUAGUCCAAUCGUCGUUGUCAUCUUCGUUGCUGCCCUCGUCGCCGUCGCCAUCGCCGCUGUCGCCAUCGCAGCACCUCAGGCUUCUCCUCUUCGGCGCCGCGAAUCGCGAACCCUAGGGUUCGCAUUUUUUCAGGUCGCGGCCUCGGGUCAUUGGAUCAGACCCGGGCUACGAACCGGGUAAGGUUUCGAGGGGCGACUGCGAGUCGGGUUGGUAGUCAGGUCGGGCCCGGGUAGGGUUCCGCUAGGAGCCCGGGUUGUCGGGCCGGGCCGGGCGUCCCUAAACGACCGGCCACAGCGUCAUUUUAAUAAAAUAAAAUAUAAAAAAAAAAAAAAAGAGGAAAAAAUCUGAGUCAGGCCCGCAACGAGAGCCCGUCCUCAUUCGGAUCGUUGGCCCGGGUCGGACCUAACCCGCGAAUCCGACCCGGGUCAGUUUUUAUAUUAUUUUAAAUAAAUAAAUAAAUAAAUAUUUUAUUUCAAAAAAUAAAAAAUGUUUUAUUUUCAAAAAAUAUUUAAAAAAUGUUAAAAAUUUUGUAUUUUCAAAAAAAAUCGAGAAAAAAUAAAAAAUAAUUUAUUUUCCAAAAAUAUUAAAAAAUAUUUUAUUUUUUUCAAAAAAAUCAAAAAAUCAAAAAAUCAAAAAUAUUUCAUAUUUUCCAAAAAAUGUCAAAAAUCCAAGAAAGGCCAAAAAUUCACAAAAAGGCCAAAAAUUCAUGAAAAAGCCAAAAAAUUCAAAAAAAGCCAAAAAGACUUGUAUUUUUCCAAAAAAUACCAAAAAAUCCAAAAAAAAUCCCCUUUGUGUCCAAAAAUUAGAAAAUGACCUAGAAAAUGUUUUUCCUCCCAAAAAUGCAUGGAAAAUCCCUCGAACAUUCAAAAAACCUCAGGGUUUAAACAAGAUUAGGUACCGAAAGGGCAUUAGUGAUUAACUAGUGUAAUCAAGUUCCUGAUCCCAAUUUCUCUAGUUGCGCAAGAGUGAGUAUUUCUCUCGAUACUUCACUUGGGUUUCUAAUCAACCCACCCCAAAUCGAUUAGUGGUGACUCCAAUUUAAAAUUUGAUUUACAGGUUAAAAACUUGAACCAUUAAGUCGUGAAUUGGUGGACUUGGGAGAGUCCAGGCAUAACUAAUUUCAGCCGAGCCAUUAGCCUCCUUAGGCGCCCGUUCAUGACUGCGGGUGCCGAAAAAAAAAGAGGUCGCGACACCUACUCAAUAAUUUAUGAGAAAUUUGCGUAAGAAGGAGAACUUUCAAGCCUUCGGAAAAUAGUAUAGAAUCUCCACAAUUUUUUAAUUAAGCUUUCCAAACUUAUUCUUCUACCACUUGCAAAUUAUAGCAUAACAGAUAACAAUCUUUGCAAAAAUAUCACGUAAUAUCUUCGUUCAAUUUGCGGAUCAAACUUGCUAAAUAUAAAUUAUCUUUUAAGAAUGUAGCAAAAGUAUCCAUGAAUAUGCAAUAAUAUCUUUCAUGAUUAAAGGGAUUUCCUUAAGCAUAAAUCUCAAAAUCAUAUUAUUGAUGCAUUUCACAAAAAAACAAAUAUUUCUAUCAUGUGCCAAAUCAAGUAAUAAAAAAAAAAUGCAAUGCCUUAUGUUUAUGACAAGAGAUAUUUGCAAUGUAAAUCAUAUAUAAUUCAUAGAAAUCAUCUAAAAUCUUCAUAAAUUCGAAUAGAAAUUUGAAAGGCAAGAUGAUAGAUGCAAAAUUUUAUAUUCUCUUACCCAAGGCAUAUGUUUGAGAUAUACCAUUGAUUUAAAAAUGAUCAUUGCCAAUUUUCAAAUGAAGGAAGAAUGAUUGCAAAUCUAUGCAAAUAAACUUAUUUCCUUUCUGGUAUCCAUGUAUUUGCAUAGAUUUGCAAUCAUUCUUCUUUCAUGGAGUUUCUUGCAAUAAACUUAUUUCCUUUAUGGUAUCCAUGUAUUUGGAUCAUUCCUUAAGGUUAGAGCAAAAUAUGCAAUCUUCAUAAAUAACCAAAUAUUCUUUCUAAACUCAUCGUAAUAGAGUAUUUAAGAAAGAAUAUAUUGCAUGAUCAAUUAAUAUUUUGUAAAACAGAUUUCUACUUAGCAAAAUAUGACAAAAUCUGAAAGCAUAAAAUCAAACCAAAUAAACUCAAUUGUCCUUAAGCAAAAUAUCAAAAAAUAGUCACACGUAUUAAAUCAAUUCCCAUCUUACAAAUCACCAAAAAAUAUCACACGAUUUUUCCUUCAACCAAUCAUAGAAUAUAGUCAUAAUAAAGUCCAAACCAACCAAGGCACAAAGAGGAUAUAACGAAUAUCAAAUAUAAAGAGAAUUUAUAAAAAAAAAAUUAAAUUAUGUAUCCAAACCAAAUUGAGAAUUAAAAAAAAAAAUACAUUUCUUACCAAAUUCUCUUUCUUCUAUUCCCUUAUUCCCUACAAAACAAGUCAUCCUUUUUUUGGUUCCCAAAUUUGCUUAGGUCCAUGAGAGUUAGUAGAAUAUGCUAUUUUUAUCCAGUCUUUCUUAAUUGGUUUCCAGACUUUAAGACAUUCAUUCUCAAAGUGUUCUGGAUCUCCACAUGUGGAGCACUUGAGGGCAAUUCGGCCAAUAGGUUUUACAAAUACUUUUUGAAAAUGUUGUUUAUAAACGAGUUUAGGAGGUAUUUGUCUGAGUCUCUCUUUGACUUUAGAAAAGUCUAUUAGAGAAUCACUUUCCUUAUUGAAACCAAUUCCCGACUUAUUAUAGUAAGGUACUUGUAUGGAAAUGAUAUGUUUUAAUGUUUUUGAACCCUUUGAAAAUUUUGUUGAACUAUUUAAAAAUUCUUUUUUUAUUGAACUAUUUAAAAAUUCUUUUUUUAAAGAAUCAUUUUCUUUGACAAGUAAAUCUCAACUUUCUUUUGUUUGUAGAAAAUCUUUUUGCAAAAUUUCAAACUUUUCUUUUCGAGAAAGAUCUUGUUACCUAAGCCAUGAAUUCUCUUUUUUUUAGUUCGGCGAUCCUUUUAAGAGCAAACUUAAGAUUCAAGCACAACUCAUCAAUACCAUUAUAUGUCUUAUAAGGGAUUUCAGGGUAAUUUACCUCAAAAUUUGUGUCUAAAUAUGAUUUCGAAUGAGUCUGAGUCUAAAUGUGCCAUCAAGCAUAUUUUUCUUUGCUCAUUAUCUUCUUCUAUUGUUCUUUUAUGCCCAUUUUGCUUGUAUUGUUUCUUCUAAUUGAAACUUCUUCCCUUUUUAUUCAACUUUCUAAAUUUCUUUAUUAUGUGUGCCAACUCUUCAUCAUCCAUGUCAUCUUUUGAAUCUUUAUCAUCAAAAUCAGCAUUCGAUUUUAAAGCAAUGGACUUCUUACCCUCAAUAUCUUCAUUGUCGAUUUGUUCGACUUCAUAGGAUUGAAGAGUGCCAAUAAGUUUUUUUUUUUGGGUAAAGACAAAGAGUGCCAAUAAGUUCAUCAACAAAUAAUCUCAUAAUUCUCUAUGUCUCUCGGAUUGAUGUAUUGACAUGAUUCCAAUCCUUUGAGAGUCCUCAUAGAAGUUUGUUGACCUUCAUAGGAGUAGAAAUUGGUUUUCCUUGAUAUGCUAAAUCAUUUACAAUUUUUGUAAAACAACCAAACAUGUCUUCGAUGGAUUCUCGAGGUCAUCUUGAAAGACUCAUAUUGGCCAAACAAAAUGUUCACCUUCAUCUCUUUUAUAGGAUAUCUACCUUCAUAAGUAACAUGAAAUCUAUCACGGAUAUCUUUAGCUAUUUCACAUGAAGAGAUUCUAUUAUUCUUAGUUGGAGACAAGGCACAAUAAAGAGAGUAGAUAGCUUUUGCAUCCAGUGUUUCUCUUUUGGACAUCUCCAUAAGCAGGCGUUCGAUUGCUUUGUCUUUGCCAUCCUUGUUUGAUGUAGACACAGUAGUGUGAUUGAUUUCCUUUUCUAUAAUAUCCCAUUCCAAGGGAUCUCUAGAUCUUAGGAAUGCAGUCAUUCUAUUCUUCCAUGCAUUGUACUCUUUUUCAUCAAAAUAAUGUGGUCUGGCAUUGUUUUGACCCUCAACAAGUCCGGGUGCCAAGAGACUGGUCAUAAAAGAUCUUUAGCUCAGAAGUAAAAACACUUCAACAAAAUGAACACUUGGCUCUAAUACCAAUUGAUGAUGCUAGAAAGAACAUCUAGAGGGGGUGAAUAGGUGUUUGAAAGGAAUUUGGUCAAAUAAUUGCGCGAUAAAUAAGUUGCCAGCAAGUCUAGAUGAAGAACAAAAUCAGUUUUGCAAAACACCAGACUUUUGGUAGAUAUUCAGAAUAUAUUAUGUAAUAGAACAGACUUCUGAGAUAACCUACAAUAGCACAACAAAAUUAACUAAAGAGAUAAGAGAUAAGAGAAUUGCACAUAGAUUUUAUAGUAGUUCGGCUUAAAUCAAACCUACGCCUACUCUCCCAAGCUGAUAAUCUAUUAGCUGAAUUCCACUAUAUGAUUAACAAAAAAUUACAACUUUGAGUGCAAACACUUUGUGGUAGAUCACACUAUCUCACUAAGUUACUAUUUUGUUAUUUCUCUCAUGAUGACAAAUGUUUAAGCUUACGAAAGACAAAUGUAUGAUCGAAAGUUCCGUUAGAUUUGGGAUUUUAGAUUUUAUGCUUCAUCUCUUACUUGCUCCUUGGUUCUUGAUCUUCUCAAAUACUCCUCCAAUUCCAAACUAAUUGUUGGACAUUAUCCAAAUGAUCGUCUUCCAAUCUAUCUAUUGGACAGAUCUAUAUCAAGAAGAUUUGAUAGCCAUUGAAUGAAAAAGGUAGAAUUCUCAGUUGAUUAUGAUCGCCCAUACAAAUAGAAUCUUGGUUUCUAUAAGUACAACUUUUCUAUUUAGAAAGUUAUUAUCUUCAGGAUCUAAUUGUCAAUCAAUUAGAUUGAGUCAAUCAAAUCUUUCUUAAUGUAGAAUCCAAACCAGAUCACUAGCCGUUAUACGUUUUGGGCUUGUGUCUCAUUCUAUCAAGUUAUCUCUCUCUGAACUUGUUUCAUUCUGAACAUACGUUUUGAACUUUGUCAUGUUCUGGACUUGUGUCUCAUUCUAUAUAAAAAGUCUAAGCGUGUUCCAUUUGUACGUAAAGUUUGAGUGUCUUCCAUCUAAAGUAGACUUUACCAUCUAGACAUGAGUCUAAACAUAUUCAUCCUUGGAGUCUGUUUUUGAACAUAUUUAACCUUAAGAUCUGGACACAGAUGAAUAAGUUCAAUUUCAGUAUAGAGUCUAAAGUCUAAUCUUUGAUAAUAUCCUUUACACACUCUAUUAUUUGCAUAGUCUGUUACUCAAUUAUUAAACACGUUAGUAGCCUUUGAUAUGUUUUGUCAUCUUCAAAAAAACAGAUGGGGUUUUCCUAACAAAAGAGACCAUCGACCAGCCUGUUGCCAAGCCAUAACUCAAAUUUGCUAUCUUAGGAUGGACAUAUUGCCCGAAGACCCCACCGUUUUCAAGGAUUGCUCUUUGGUAAAAUCCACUGGUUCAAACUGUGUCUGAGGUGACGAUAUUGAGUACAGUUCCAUUCCUAGACAUGAGGUAGACCUGACCACUUUGAUUAUAUAUCAACCGCAACCCAAAAACUACGAUGAUGGUAGCCCAAUAUGCAUCCGAGACAACUAGCGGGUUAGGAGUGGCAUAUAGCACGAGAUUUCCGUCGAUUUGCAGUAUGAAAAUGAAUCUCCCAGCGGAGUAAUUCAUUUCGGAGUAGUGAGCGUUUAAGUUUAUUCUCUUGAUCUGACCAUUGUGUCAGCAGUAUCGUAUUAGUCGGUUGGCUGAAUGUAUCCCACAAUUCGACGUGGUUCCUGCUCGCUAGGAUGAAGUUCCCCAUGUAGUGCAUGGCUGCAUGCGCUACGCCAUUGCCAGUCAGGCUAGAAGACCACAGCUCUCUUCCUUUUGGGUCGGCAAGCAGUAGUCCACCGUCGGUGGUCACCUGGAUUUUCUAACCUCCGGAUGCUAGAUCAUCGCCAUUAGCCGACCAUACUAUGGUUUUGUCCUCUAUUUUGUGGAACCAUAUAGCCAGGAAGAGUUCCUGUCAUCCGCUGUUAAGGAGGAGCCCAAGGUUAAGUUGCCGCUGGUCUGAGCUUCGGUCGAAAGCGGAGGUGGAAUGAGCACUAAAAGGAUUCCUAAUUUCGUUGAAGUCAUGUUUGAUGAAAGUUGCGUGCUCUCUGAGUUGAGCUACUUCGCCUUAUGAAUGAAACUAGCAUUCUUCACAGAUUUUCCACUUUGUAUGCCCUCGGAGUCUCUCCCCCGAUUAUCAUUGAUAUUAAAUAUUUCUGAAAGAUAUAUCUUUAUAAAUUUAAUUUUCUUUUUUUUUAAUAGAAAUCAAUGGUGAAAGAAAAUUUUCGAAUUUAGAAUAUAGCGAGUCAGCACCAUGAGCUUACCGGGACCCUGAUAUUUUCUAAGGAAUAGCAUGAAUUUGGAAGACUUUGACCAAACGUCAUAAAUGUUAAGUUGGAGACUUUAUGAGUUAUGGAGAAGAAGGCAGGGCCAGUAUUUGAUUCAAUCCCUAAAUUCGAGCCAAUUACUAAUUUACUUCGUGGAAAUUUUGAAUGUUUCAAUCUAACUGUAUAUAUGCUCGGACAUAAUAGGAAAUUUGCUUUGUCGUCCUGCAUUAGGUAUGCGCUCAAUGGGCGCGAACUGUGGUCUGAGGCAUUAUGGUGAUUUGAUGCUUAGAAUGGGAUGGGUCUUUGUGCAACUUGGAGAGGAAUGGUUACAACAAUGAUGAAUGAACAUAAUUUCCGUAUAUAUUCUACUAAAGUUUGCAUACAGUAGGUCCAGGUUUCGAAACUCCUAUAUGUUUGUUUAAAUGGAUGUUGUAGUGAUGGAAUGAUAUUUUAUUCUCAUGGACUUAACAAUAUCAGGCAAACUUACCGCAUCUAAAAGCAAUUUGAUUUACAUUAUGACUUGACUGCACUUUUGCAAUAAGGUUAAGACUUUUAGUAUACUUUAUCCUAUAAAAAUAUAGAGCAUUUGGAGCUUAUGGAUGAUCAAUGAAUUAUCAAAUUAUCAACUUAAAAAAAAAAAAAAAAAAUCUUACGGACGCUCAUUGGGGCACGGACAGAUAACAUACUCGACUUUAAACUUCGAUUUAGUGCUCUAUAUGUGAUAAACGGACCACAACCGAAUACCAUUUAGGACAUCAAGGCGAUAGAGAUUAGAGAUGGAUGGAGUUGAACAGAGCUUAGUUUACUCACACUAGCUAGACAUGGCUUUUGCUUGGGGACUCGCCGCUGAUGUCUGAAAUUGGGGAUUCAAUCUAUCGAUUCUUAAUAAAAAAAGCUUCACACUACAUUUCAUCGCAAUUAAGGGAAAUGUUAUUUUUGCUACAUCAUGGGAGAUUCGACACGACAAGAACAUUGAAACCUUUGAUAUCAUUUCCACUUAUACAUCAUUAACAUAGCGGUUUACAAAUAUUCACCUUGGAGAUUGUUUUUAGUUCUAAUAUGCAUCAUCAAAAAUCCGAAGGAGAAUGAACCGAGUCGUGGCCCAACAAAGCAGCAUGGUCAAACGCUAACUCCAAAUAACUUAACGUGGGCCGGCCACAUGAAGAUGACAUUGGGCCACAUGCUCUUAAAUUGAGCAUGCAUUGGACAAGGACGAAGUACAUGCAUUGAAUGGAAUGGCCUCAUGCAUUCAUGCGAAGGGAACAAGCCCAUGAUCGUCUAAUGACUUUCUGCUUCGCCAGCUGCAUGAAUGGGGGCAUUCACCUCCUAUGAAAUUGGCGCAAGCAGACUUUUCCGCAGUGAAACAAACGAAAGACGGAGGCCCUUGACCAAAACAUUGUCUGUUCCAUCGAAUUGAGAAUAAGACAUGAAGAAGAUGGCGAACACGCUAGCAGGUGCCAUAGCUAACUGAGACAAACAUGAAAUCAAACCCAUUAAGCUUCUGGUGCAGAUCGAUCUGUAGAUUUCAAUCUACGGGAUCUUUCCAUUGUCUCGUCUCGAUAUAUUUUCCAGUUCCGUCUUGUUUGGAAUGGCUUUGACCAUUGCUCACUAAGUUGUUUAUACAAGAUCUCCAAUGAUCAUUUGGAAAGGAAUAUGUAUUGCUUAGAAAAUUGUCUGCCUUGUGUCCCUUCUCGCAAUUUCUCAACAAAUGCAUUAAGAAGAAAGAUUGUCUGAUUAUGUUAGGGAAAUCCGUUACAUAGCCUGAGCGAACUUCAACCACAUACUAGGGCCAAGGAGCCUAUAAGAGACGAAACAUAGAGCCUAUAAUUCCAAAAUCUAAGUGAACUUUGACCACAUACUACGAGUUUAAAUUUGUAAUCAUUUGAGAGGUGUUGAUAGUGUUAUAAGUGUGUGUUUUGGUGUAAGAUAAUGAGUCCUAUCAGCUUGGGUAUAAGCAGCACCAGCAACACAACUUGAUUGUAACAAGUCAUUAGUUAUCUAGUAAAAUCAAACCAGUAGAUUAUUAGCGUGAAAGAGUGGACAUAGACUUAAUCUAAAUCGAUCCAUUAUAAAUUUCGCGUGCAUCUUUCUUUUCUCUAAACUCUUAUUGUUUUUUGCUAUUGUUUAUUGCACACUCGGUAGGUGCUUCGGAGUCUGUGCUACUGCAUUCCAAAAUCCGACCCUUAUUCAGAAUUUAAUCUUGAUUCAUUCUAUUCCGUUUUAAUUUGUCAAGAUUUUGUAGUAUCAUCUAUUCACCCCCUCUAGGUGGUACUUGCUAGCCGCCCUCAUAUUUUACUUCCAACUAUGUGAUUUGCGGACUGGGAUUUCUUUGGUCUAGAAGAAGUGUCCCUCCUGUAUGAAUAAAAAACUAGCAGAACUAUUGAAAUUGGGAUUCCAGGACAAUGAUCCACGACCCGAGGAUUGGCAACUUUCAUAUGCUUUCUCUUCAUCUAAUUUAGCAGAUAAGGUCUCUUUUGCUUGGUCAAGUUAAAAUACUCUUCCACCGUGUCAAAUGCAAUUUUCAUAAAGCAAAAUGUCGGUGAAAAUGCUUUGAUAGUUGCAUUCGGCCUCACAUGCAAUCCCUUUUGCGACGAUCAUCAACCCGUUCUCUCUUGGAUACAUGCGGGAAAUGUUAAACUUGACUGAUGAUAUAGCUUAUUUAAUCGGGAUCCAUGUGAAGACAGUAUGCGUAAUAGCACUUACAAACAAUACGAGUACUUUUCAUGAUUACAGACAACAAUGGUCUUAAAUAAGCAAAAUCAUAUUGAACUCAUAAAAGAGCUUGGAACUGGAGGUACUGGGACUUCAACAGCUCCUUCCAACAUCUGAGUGAUUUUCUUCAUGGUUGGCCUCAAAGCCGGGUCUUCCUGGAUGCACCACAAUGCUAUCAUCACAAAUCCUUUCACCCUCUUUACGUCCCUUGAUGCCUCCUCAUCGCUCUCCACUAGCUGAAGCACGCUCCCGUUAUGGUAGCAGUCAUACACCCAGUCAGCCAUUACAAUUUGAGCUUCAAUUUCCGCUUUCGGCUCAUAGUUCUUUCUGCAGCAGAUGAGCUCAACCAACAAAAUGCCAAAGCUGUAAACAUCUACUUUGCUAGAAAUAGGCAUAUUCCUGAACCAUUCUGGUGCUAAAUAACCUCUGGUUCCUCUGACUCCAGUGGUGGUUCGUGUUUGGUUCGCCAUCAAGAGCUUAGCUAAUCCCAAGUCUGAGAUUUUUGCAGUGAGAGAGCCAUCAAGAAGAAUAUUUUGUGGCUUGAUGUCGCAGUGGAUUAUAUGCCUGGUGCAAUCCUCGUGCAAGUAAGAGAGCCCCUGCGCAACAUUGCAGACAAUUUCUAUUCUUCUGUACCAGCUGGGCCUUGAAGCGCCAAAUAGGAAAUCCGCCAAAGUGCCAUUGCUCAUGAAUUCAUACACCAGUAGUCGGUGUUGACCUUCAUUGCAGUAUCCAAGCAACUGCACUAAGUUCUUGUGGUCAGUUCGGCCAAUUGCACUCACUUCUCUUUCAAACUCCUUCUCGCUUUCUCCAGUCUUUGUCGCCAACACUUUUACUGCAACGAAGUUCGUAUCCUCGGAUCCAAGAACACCUUUGUACACUGUUCCAAAAGCACCCCUACCCAAUUCUUCUUUGAAUCCAUAUGUUGCUUCGUGAAGCUCCUGAUAGGUGAAAGUCCGCAUGCCUGUAACUUGAUUGAUCUGGACUGGUCGUGACAACUUAGAAUCCCUAGAUCGGAAGCUUCUAUAUAUUAAAUAGGUAAUGAGUAAAAGCAAGUUCACAAAGACAGAGCAACUCAACAGCACUGAUCCGAUGAUCAUCAGAGUCGUAUUCUUGUUUUUCUUCUGGUCAUUUUUUGUGCAUUUUGAAGUCGUGUCAUGUAUCCUGACCUUGAUCAGAGUCUUUCCAGUCUCCCAUGAACCCAUCCUUCCAUUGGAAAGAGGGUUCUUCUUUUUCCAGCAAACUCCAUCUUCGAAAAUGGCGGCUGCGCAAAAACAAUCAACUAAGCAAGCCUCUCUGCACCAGUCCUCGUUUUGUCCCGUGCUAUGCUCGUAAACGGACGCUGGCCAGUCUGUUUGGAGCAUUUCACGCAAAACGAACUGGUCUGUUUCGGGCCUACUUCCGUUACAACUCUGUGGUACGAAGUCCUGUAUGCAUCCGUUCAUCUCAUUCGUUGAAUCUAACGGAGUAUAUCCAGGUGGGCAUUGGCAUCGGGGCCUCAGAUCAUCUCCAAGAGUACAGUAGCUGUUGAAGCCACAAGCUCCAGAACCGCUAUUUUGAUUGAUGCUCGUGCAUAUAUUUGGAGGGAUUGGGGGAGAGACUGUCGACCAGCCCAUUGGCCAGCCAGAACUUGAAUUCGCCAUCUUAGGGUGGAUAUAUAGCACGAAUACCCCGUCAUAUUCAAGGAUCGCUCUUUGGUAAAAUCCGUUGGUCGGGACUGUGCCUGAGGUGAGCGGUUCGAGCACCGUUCCAUUCCUAGCCGUGAGGUAGACCUGACCACUUUGAUUGAAUAUCAACUGGAAUCCGCUACCUACGGUGUUGCUGCGCCAGUAGAUAUCUGAGGGAUCAUACAGGACAGGAGUGGCAUAGAAUGCGAGAUUUCCAUCGUCUCCUAGCAUGAAGUGGAAUCUCCCAGCGGAGUAAUUCAUUUUGGAGUAGCGAGCGUUGACUUUAGUCCCAAGAUCUAACCGUUGCAUAGGCAAUAUCGUAUCCGUCGGUCGGCUGAACGAAUCCCACAACUUGACGUGGCUCACGCUCGCUAGGAUAAAGUUCCCCGUGUCGAGCAUGGCCGCAUACGCUAAGCCAGUGCCGGUCAGGCCAGAAGACCACAGCUCUCUCCCUCUUGGAUCAGUAAGCACCAGCCCACCAUCCGCGGUCAACUGGACUUUCGAACCUUCAGGUGCUAGACUAUUGCCAUUUGCCGACCAGACUAUGGUCUUGUCCUCUAUCUUCUCGAACCAUAUAGCCAACAAAUAAGCUCCUGCUCCCAUUCUCCGGAAGCCAAAGGCAAACUCACCCGACGGCGACGACCAGGAAGAGUUCUGGUCGUUCGCCGUCAACGAGUUGCCCAAGGUCAAGUUGCCGCCGAACUGAGCUUUGGUGGAAAGGGGAAGUGGAACGAGUACGAGAAGGAUUCCUAGUAUAACUGAAGCCAUGUUUGAUGAAACAGGCGUGCUCCUUGAGUUGAGCUACUUCGGCCUUAAGGAUGAAACCGGCGUUCUUAUAGAGAUUCCCUGCUUUCCAAGCUACCGGAGUCUCUCCCGUACGUCCCGUCGUUCACGGCGGGUGAGAGAGGCCACCAUUCCUCCUCCGCUUUAAUGCGAUUGCUCCUUUUUCUCCACAGCAAGUUUGAACCAAAGUUGUGGAUUGCCUUUGCCCAUGUCAACACAUAUAUCUAUCACUAUCUUUGACCCAAAAAAAAAAAAAAAAAAAACACAUAUUUCUAUCUGGAAUAAUAAUUUUGCCAUAUGGUCUGAAGUUUUAUAAAAGCUCCACCUGUAGUAAAAGAAAAUGAUUAAUUAAAAUAGAAGGUGAUAUUUGUACAUAUAUUUUAUUAGUCAAUCUUUUUUUUUAUAAUAAACCAUUUAUUUAGCAGCAAUUAAUAAACCAUUUUAGAGUAUAUAAUGAGUUACUUGAUUUUGUUUCUUUUAUCUUGAAGUAUCUUAUUAGUUCUAUUGAUAUAUCCAUCAAAUUUUCUUAAACAAUUCUUAUAAUAAUAUCAUCGAUAUUAAUUUUUCUGAUAAUUAUAUCUUUGUGAAUUUACCUUUCUUCAUUUUCUUUAUUUUUUCCCCUUUUUUUCUUAUAGAAAUCAAUGGUGAAAGAGAACUUGUCAAAUUUAGAAUAAGGUGACCCUGCUCCAGAAGCUUGGUGGGACCUUGAUACUUUUCAAAGAACGCACUUGGAAAAAUUCGAUCGAACUUCGUCGUACAUGUUUGUUGGAGACUUUUUAAGAUGAAAUUGAUGGAAAAAGAAGGCAGGGCCAGCAGUUGAUUUAAUCCCCAUGAAUUCAAACCGACUACAAGUUGCUCCGUUGAAAUUGAAAUGCUCCAACAUACGUGGAAAUUUUCAUCAAGCAUGCAACCGAUGGAUGCUUUCCACGGCGAUGUUGUGAGGUCUUGUGCAAUUUGGAGAGGAAUGGUUACAAUGAUGAACGAACAUAAUUUUGCAGACACUCUACAAAAGUUUACAUCCAGGGAUUCCGGGUUUCAAAACCGACAUGUUUGGUUAAUUGAAUGUCGCGAUGACAUAAAGAUAUCAUGCUCAUGGAGUUUACGACAUCAUACAAUACUUACCACAUCUAAAAAGCAAUUUGGUUUCCAUUUAAUAUAAUUGAUCAGUUCACAAAGAGGGAGUGUCCCUGUAUAUAAAUUACCGCAAAAGAGGUAACUAUCUACAGUUUUCUACACAUCUUUGAUCUUACUGUCGAGACUCCUCUGCAUCUUUAGCAUCUCAGUCAUGGCAAAAGUAUUUCCGUGCCACCGUGAUAAUGCCAGCCAAAACUUCCUGUUCAUACAAUCGUCCCAAAAAUAAAUUACAACCUGCUGCUUUCCACAAUGCUCAACUAGUAAGGGGAAAUGCUAAUUUUCCAGGGUUUUUAGGGUCCGAUCAGGGCCUGACCUUAUAAUUAGGAGCUUCCAAUAAGCUCCAUCCUGCAUGAAUCCCACAUAAUCUGGCCUGAUUGAGUAGGAACUUUCCCGGAAAAAUUCCUGAAUGCUCGACUGGUUAUGCUAAAAUAGUUAUAAUAGGCGGGGAAACUGUAGUCUUAAUCUCUUCCAUCUGCUCCUAAUGAGGGUCGGGUGCAAUGCCAACACGUGCUCAGGCAUAAAAUCAUGUCUUGUUAAUAUGCCCACCACAGGCAAGAUUAAAAUGAAUACAUAAAAGAACAUGUUGAACCAGAGCAAAAUGCUAUUCGCACCCGGUGGCACAGAAGUAUCACACCAAACACCCACAAGAGACGAGAAGAAAAAUCAAUUGUGAUCCCCCACCCUGAUCUACUCUGAUUUUUUACUGAAAUAGGAAGCUAAUGUCAAGUAGCUGCAUGUGCAGAAAUUCAGCUAAACGGAGAGGAAAACAUCCUAGUGCAAAGCUCUUUUACCAAAAAAAAAAACAUCCUAGUGCAAAGCUGAGCUAGUGAAGCUACAUAAACAAUUGGCACACCACAAUCCCUUUCACGGGGUUAAACUUGAACAUAUGAAAGAUAAUCGAGUAAUAUAAGAAUGGAACAGGGGAGGGUGAGAAAAUCAAGCUCGUGAGGCCAAAGGAGGAUGGUGUUAAUGUAAUUCUGAAAAAUGGCCCAAUUCUCUGAAAAAAAGAAAGCAUCGGUGUUUUUAAUAGGCUUUGUUAGCAUAGUGUUCUUUGGGUUGUUACGAUAAUAACAACUUACUAUAAAUCAUAAAUUCUUGAAGGAGUUGACAUCACAACAAUUCAUAAUUAUUUAUUAUUUGAUUUUUUGUGGUCUAAAACAAACUGUUAUUCUUAUAAUACAUUAAAAACUAUCACCAAAUCAAUUACCUUUUUUUAAUAUAUCGUCGACUGCUCCCAUCACAAAGAAAAAAUCAAUUUUUCAAGUAAAGAAAGGACUAGAGGUAUCACUGAAUGAUGGUGUAGUACUCUAUUUAAAUUGGCAGUAAAGUAUUUCAAUGCCAAAUGACGAAAAGAGCAAUAGAAUAGCUUUUGAUAGAAUUAAAGAAGUGAAAGUGAGAGCUUGCGCCAGCGAUUUUGGGUAUCACCCGUGGAUGUCUCAAGCCAACUUUCCUUUUAACUUUUUUUUUUUUUUGGCUAAAAGGCUAAUCUAGCAACCUCAGAAGCACCUCUUUUUUGAAAAAUAAUAAAAAAGUAAACAAUGUCGGUUUUUUUUUUUUUAUUUCAUUAACCAAAUCGCACGGAGUUAAUAGUGAGACUUGAUUGAACUAAUUUGAUAAGUUUUAAAACUUGAUUACACUUUUGAAAAAUUUCAUAACUCGAUUGCACUUUUGCAAUAACUUUGGAACUUUUGGUGCACUUGUUCCAAAAAAAUAUUGAGCAUUUAGAACUUAUAGAGGAUCAAUGAAGUAUCAAAUCAAUAACUUAAUAAAAAAUCUUAUGGACACCCAUUGGGGCGAGGCAAGCUUUAAACUUCAAUGCAAUGCUUGUUAUGUGAUAAACGGACCACAACCAAAUGCUUUAGGACAGCAAGGUGAUGAAGAUUAGAGAUGGAUGAACUUGAAGGGAGCGUGGUUUACUCAUGGAAUGGGCUGGAUAGACAUGAUUUUUGUUUGGGGAUUCAUUGUCAAUUUUUCAUAACGUUUCAUAAAAUUAGGGAUUUGAUUUUUUAAUCCUUAGCAAAAGAUAUGUGAAUUUGCAUUAUCUAACGACAUUCAUGCCUCUCACUACAUCUAUUGCAAUCAAGAAGAUGGUGCUUUUUGUUACAUUGCGGGAGAAUCGACUUGAGGAGAACAUUGAAACUUUUGACAUCAUUUUCCUCACCUCGUUUUUUCGUUUCCAAUCACACAUCAUUAACACAGCGAUUUAAAAAUAUCCACCUCGGGAUUAUUUUUAUUUCUCAGUAGCAUCAUCAAAAUCCUAAGGAGAAUGAAUUGAGUCGCGGCCUAACCAAGCAAGAACGCCAGGAAGUGUUCCUGUCAUUCGCGGUCAACGAGGAACCCUGCAGAUACCUUACAAGGAAUGCACAAAUUUGGAAGACUUUGACCAAAAGACGUCGCCGUACACGUUUCGUUGGAGACUUUAUGAGGCGAAAGGGAUGGAAGUAGAAGGUGCUGGUUCAAUCCCUAUGAAUUCAAACCGACUACAAGUCUUUCCGUGGAAAUUGAAUAUGCUCGAAAGUACGGAGAAAUUCGCAUCAAGCAUGUGCCUGAUCAAUGCUAUCGGUGGCAUUGUGCCGUCUUGUGCCAACCUCGAGAGGAAUGAUAACAGCAAUGAUGAAUGUACAUAAUCCUCUAGAUACCCUACAAAAAUUUGCAUAUGAGAGUUCCAAUUUUCGAAACUGAUAUGUUUGGUUAAAGGGAGGUCACAGUGCGAUGUCAUAUUCUCGUGGACUCAAUGACAUCACGCGAAACUUACCACAUUUAGAAGCAAUUUGGUUUCGCAUUUAGUGUAAGUGAUUGGUACACAGAGGGAGUGUUCCUGUAUAUAAAUUACUGAGUAAGAGAUUUUUUUUUUUUUGGAAACAGGAGGAACCAGCUUGCACCGACAGUGUCCUGUAAACCCUCCGGUGACGCUAACAGGGAAACUACCAUCCCGACGUCACGCUUAAGUCACCACAUAGCACUUCAGCCUCUUUGCUUCGCAGGGGCUUCAAACCUUGGCCUCCACCGGGGAGAGCCAAGGAUUUACCAUCCAUGUCACCGGCCGGUGGUUACUAAGUAAGAGGUUUAUCUACAGUUUUCUGCACAUUUUUGAUCUUACUGACAAGACUCCUCCACAUCUUUAGCAUCUCAGUCACAGCAGAAGUAUUCCCGUUCCGCAAUGAUAAUGCCACCCAAAACUUCUUGUCGAUACAUUCGUACGGCAAAUAAAUUACAACUUGCCGCUUUCCACAAUGCUCAAUUAGUAAGGCGAAGGGCUAAUUUUCCGGGGUCUGUAGGGUUCGAUCAGGGCCUGACCUUAUAGUGAGUGGCUUCACCCAAAACCUGGCCUGUAGGAAUUUUCCUGGGUAAAUUCCUGAAUGCUUAGUUUUAGUAGACGGGGAAACUGUAGUCUUAAUCUCUUCCAUCUCCUCCUGAUGAGGGUCGGGUGCAAUGCCAACACGUGCUCAGGCAUAAAAUCAUGCCUUGUUAAUAUGCCCACGACAGGCGAUCUCUGCAAUAAAAGAGCGUCAAGAUUAAAAUAAAUACAUAAAAGAACAUGUUCAACUAGAGCAGGGUGCUAUUACAAUAAAUACGCACCGUCACAUGAAAGUAUCACAACAAAUGCCCACAAGAGACGAGAAGAAAAAUCAAUCGCGAUCCCUCACCCUGAUCUAUUCUGAUUUUUGAGUGAAACUAGGAAGCCGCCAAAUGUCAAGUAGCUGUAUAUAGGCAGAAGUUGAGCUAAACGGAGAGGAGAGCAUCCCUGGUGCAAAGCUGAGCUAGGGAAGCGACGUAAACAUCUGGCACACCAAAAUCCCUUUCACAAUGAUGAACACAAGAAAGGUAAUCGAGUAAUAUAAGAAUGGAACAGGGGAGGGUGAGAAAAUCAAGUUCGUGAAGCCAAAGAAGGUAAUGUAAUUCUGAAAAAUGGCCCAAUUCGCCAAAAAGAAGGAAGUCAUCGGUGUUUUUAAUAGGGUUUUGUUACCAUAAAAGACUACUAUGAGAAUAACUACUUGCUGUAAGUCACAAAUUCUUAAAAACAAGUAGACAUCACAACAAUUCAUAAUUAUUUGCUAUUUAAUUUUUUUCUGGUCUAGAACAGACUUUAUUCUCACAGUACAUCCAAGUCUAUCACUAAAUUAUUUAUCUUUUUUUUCUUAAAUAUAUUGUUGAAUUUUCUAACCAAAAAGAAAAAAAAUUAAUUUUCCAAGUAAAGAAAGGACUAGAGAUAUGUCCAAGAUCACUGAAUGAUGGUAUCGUACUCUAUUUAAAUUGGCAGUAGAGUAUUUCAAUGCCAAAAAACGAAAAGAGCAAUAGAGUGGCUUUUGAUAAAAUUAGAGAAGUGAAAAUGAGAGCUUGCGCCAACUAUUAUGGGCAUCACCAGCAGAUGUCUCAAGCCAACUUUCCUUUCAAUUUUUUUUUUCAAUUUUUUUUUCUGAAAUGACUAACAUAGUAACCUCAGCCGCGCCUCUUUUUUAAAAAAUAAUAAAAAAGAAAACCAUGUCAGCUUUAUUUCUUCAUCAACAAAAUUAGACGGAGUUAAUAGAGGAAUUUGAUUGAACUAAUUUGAAAAGUUUUAAAAUUUGAUUACACUUUUGAAAAGUUUCAAAAUUUGAUUGCACUUUUGAAAAGUUUCAUAACUCGUCUACACUUUUACAAUAACUUUUAUGACUUUUGAUACACUUGUUCCAAAAAAAUAUAAAGCAUUUAAAACUUAUAUAGGAUCAAUGAAAUAUCAAAUCAAUAACUUAAUAAAAAAAAUCUUAUGGACACCCAUCAGGGCAAGGCAUGCUAGCAUACUCGACCUUAAACUUUGAUUCAGUGCUUGUUAUGUGAUAAACAAACCACAACCGAAUGCCUUUUAGGAUAGAAAGGAGAUGAAGAUUAGAGAUGGAUGAACUUGGAAGGAGCUUGGUUUGGUCAUGGAUUGUGCUGGAUAGACAUGAUUUUUUUCUUUUUUUUGGGGGGGGGGGGGGGAUACCUAAAUUUUCAGCUAUCAAAUUUUUCAUAACAUUUCAUGAAAUUAGGGAUCUGAUUUGUUAAUCCUUAGAAAAGAUAUAUGAAUUUGCAUUAUCAGCAACAUCCAUGCCUCUCACUACAUCUAUCGCACUCAAGAAGAUUGUGCUUUCCGUAACAUCAUGGAAGAUUCGACUUGAGGAGAACAUUGAAGCUUUUGACAUCAUUUUCCUCCCCUCAUUUUUUCAUUUCAAUGCACACAUCAUUAGCACAGUGAUUUAAAAAUAUCCACCUCGGGAUUAUUUGUAUUGCUUAGUAGCAUCAUGAAAAUCCUAAGAAGAAUGAAUUGAAUCGUAGCCCGACCAAGCAAAGACGCCAAGAAGUGUUCCUGUCGUUUGCCGUCAAUGAGGAGCCCGAGGUAACAUUGCUAGCAAUCUGAGCUUCGACGUAAAGUAAAUGCAGAACAAGUACUAGGACAAUUCCUAGUACUACGGAAGCCAUGUCAGAUGAAGUAGGCGCACUUCUUAAGCGGAGCUACAUCAGCCUUUAAAUUGAAACUGGCGUAUGCUAAUAGAAAUUUCUAUUUUGCCCAAGCCUAUCCCGUUCAUCCCAUCGUUGAAGGCCAGGUGACUACUUGUUCUUUGCUAUUGACACCUAAAUUUUGAAUAAGUAUUUAAGAUUAAAUUGCAUAAGAAAAUUAGGGACAAAUUCGGCCCUAACAAAAAUGAUUUUCGCGUCAAUUAGAUCUUAAUUUUUAUUUGCAUCCAUUAAGCUUUAUUUCCUUUUUUUUCCCUUUAUUUUUCACUUAUUUUCGGAUAAUUUAUUUAAAAAAGGAAAAAAGAAAAAGAAAAAGAAAAUAGUUCUUAUGGAGCUGGGCGUGAAAGCCCAGCCCCUCCUUCUUGCUCUUCCCCGCACGGGCCUGAGGCCCGUUUUUCUUUUCUUUGGCCCAGCCCCUUUCCUUUCUUCUUCUUCCUUCCUCCUUCCCCCCUCCGCCUCUGCAAUUCACGAGCAGCAACGACGACGCGCUCAAGGACGGCCUACAGGGAAGAGAGAGGAGUAGGCCGGCAGCGGAUGGGACGCACCUUCAAAGCGGAGCAAGUGGGCAACUGAGGAGACGCCGGUUCGGCCGCACCAAGGCGCUCGGCCCGCCAAGGACCGGCGGUCGAAGCCUCCGUCGACCGGGCCCCCUUUGCCUAUAAAUAGGGCAUCGGGGGGAAGGCCAAAGACACACGGAAGGAGCGAGCUCAGACGACUUCCCUUGAGAGACAUCAGGGGAGGCCCGAAAGCGAGCGAGAUCUGAGUGAGGGCGAGUUUUGAGAGCCGGUGAGAGCAAAGGCGAGCCUUCGGCAACCUUCGCACCGACGGACCACCGUCGCGCCGUCCCCAAGCCAGACCGUAAGCUCCCUCCCGACCUCUGUCUUUGCCCUGUUUGGGGCACGCUAAGCCGGAGCUUGCGGCCGUCCAGCCACCGCGAGCUCCGGCCUUGUCAUGGCGUCGCCGGCCAGGCGAGGGCAGGGCGCUCAGCUUGGGUCGGCUGAGGCGACGCCGGUGUACACCCUCAGCCGGGCCGAGGCGACUGACGCCACUCGUGUCAGCCGUCUCCGUCGCUGAGAGGAGAGGGGCGCGAUGCCGGGUAGGGAACCGGGUCGGAUGCGGGUCUUGGCCGGGUAGGGUUCAGAUGCUGGGAGAGAGAAGUGGGCUGGGCUUGUUUUUAUUUGGUUCUGGGUCUAACUCGCGGGCCGGGCAUGUCUUUUAAUGGAAAGUGGGCUUGAUUUGUUUGGACUUCGAUUGUUUUUUUUUAAAAAAAGGAGUAUUCCGGGCUGAGCCCGCGCCUCAGGCCCAUACCUACCGGUGUGUGGCGAGUCGGGUCGGUCCCAACCCGGGGAUCCGACCCAGGUCGUUUUAAUAAUAUAUUAUUAUUUUAAUAAUAAAAAUUAAAAAUAAUAAAAAUAAUAAAAAUAAUUUGUUUUUCAGAAAUCAGAAAAAUCCAAAAAUAUUUUACAUUUUCCCAAAAAAUCAGAAAAAGUGAAAAAUCAUUUAUAUUUUCAAAAAAAAAUCAAACAAAUUGUAGGUUAAAAACCCAUACCAAAAGUAGUGAAUUUGUAGGUUUGGGAGAGCCCGAGUUAAGCCUAACAGACUUAACUGAGCCAUUAGCUUUCACAUGCGCCAGCGCGUAAGUAGGUGUCCGAAAAUAAAUAAAUAAAUAAAUAAAAUAAUGGUCGUGACAUUCGCUCAAACCAAAUCUAUCGCACUCGAGAUGUCCAUGUUGACAUUAUAUGACAUAUUAUCUAAAAUAAUGAUUUUUAUCAAGUCUUCUAAUGUUUCACAAGUGGUCCAUAUGUUAAGUUGAAAAUUUGAUGAUUUACUAUUUUACUCAAAGUUGAUAAAUUCCAUAUAAUGCUGGUAAAUUCCACUGAGCUAAAAGUAAGCCACUAAUUUCACUAGUAAUUUGUUAAUUUCACCAAUAAAAUUUUGAUGCCGGUGGCAACUUCCUAAAUAGGUUGACAAGCUUAGUAUUGAACUUUACUAGAUUUCAUACUUAAUCAAUAAAAAUUAUUUAUAAAAUUUAAAAAGAAAAUGAUGCCCUCAACUCACGAAAAAAAAUGACUCAUUGAAUUUAGUCAUUUUUUAAGUAUAAUUGAUUGAUCGAUCAUUUUUUGUUGUGCAUCCCUACCAACAUGUAAAAUUGAUUCUUAAGCUUUUAACAAUUUGGCAUUUGCUUGGCGAUUGUAUAUGUGACACCUUGGAUUUAACUCACUUGAGGUAUUGUCUGUUUUGGCUCGUCCUAUGCUGCGCCUCAUGAUUUUGUCAUUUGGCAUACAAGUGAGUAUCCAAAUGAGCCGUAACAUCAUUGCUUGCUUCCACUGGCAAUGGCGUUUCCUCUUGUGGAUUUUCAUGCCAUUGUUGAUGCAAAACAUGUACAAAGUGCCAUGUGCAAGUGGAAACAUGUAUUUAAAAAUGAUAUUGUAGAUAGUUGUUUUUACCAUGAUAAGAAUUCACCAAACUUGUUCACUGUUACGAGUUUCUAGUAAAAGUUGAGUGGCAACCUUUUUAUCAAGUUGAACUAUUUACUUACCAACAAGAGAACAAUACAGUUCUGAAAUGGUCAAUGAACUUGAAGUUACUAAUUUCACUAUUAUGGUACUAAUUUCAUGGCUAAGCUUUGAUUUUGAGUGGUAAAUUAUAUUCUACUUGAAGUUGGUAAGUUCCUUACUCUGAUGGUAACUUAUAAAACAAGUACUAGAAGGAAUCUUAACAUCAUUGAAGCCAUGUUAGAUGAAACUUGUGUGCUCCUUGAGUGGAGCUACUUCAGCCUUAUGAAUGAAACCAUCAUUCUUUAUAGAUUUAAUACUUUGUAUGCUCUCGGAGUCUUUCCCACAACUUGUUUGAACCAAAUUUGUGGAAAGAUUUUGCCCAUGUCAACACAUAUAUCUAGUCUUAUAAUAGUAUUACUUGUUUGUUUCUUUUUUCUUAGGGCUCGAUUGUUAACUUGCCAAACAGUAUUUAUUUCUAUUCUUUUAUUCCUGAAAAAUAGUUUUGGAACAUAAUCGCGUUGGGUAAAAUUUUUAUUUUCGAGAACAGAUUUGGAGUAGAAUCAAGAAUAAAAAAAAAUUAUUCUUAUUCUCGGGAACAAUUCUAUAAUCAAGUCAACCUAUUUUUUUUAUUUUUCCUCUUCUUUCUUCUUGCUCUUCUUCCCUUUCUCUUGUUCUUCAAGUGCUGCCACCGCCACCAUUGUCGUCUGUCGCUGCCACCACCCCCUGCCGUUUGCCACUGAGUGCCGACAAGCUCGCCAAAGGCUUGCUCAGCCAUCGACGAGGUGGGCCUCGCCCAAGCCUCCCUCGACCACCGGUGAGCCUUACCUAAGGCCAAGCGAGCCUCAUCUGGGCCUCCCUCGGCCACCAGCGAGCCUUGCCUAGCCAGGCAAGGCUCAACCCAGCCGCUGGCGGGGCUUGACCUCGCCAAGGCACUACAAGGUCAAUGUUGUCGGGCCAAGGCAAGGCCGACCUCAUGGUAACUCGGCGAGGUCGAGCCCCGUUAGCGGCUAGACGAGUUUAGCCUCGCCAAAUCUGGGCGAGGCCGCUCGCCCAGCCAAGGCUCGGAUGAUGAGGCAUGGCCUCGUUGAGGGCUAGCAACACUCCAGUAAGGUUGCUGGCCCUCAUCUGGCUGGUCGCCGGUCAUCCUAAGGCCGGCGACCGACCACCUUAAAGAAGAAGAAGAAGAAGAAGAAGAAGAAGAAGAAGGAGAAGGGGAAGGAGGAGAAAAAGAAGAAGAAGAAGGAGUAGAAGCAGAAGAAGAAGGAGGAGAAGAAGAAGAAGAAGGAGCAGAAGGAGAAGGAGAAGAAGGAGAAGGAGGAGGAGAAGAAGAAGAAGGAGGAGAGGCAGAAGUAGAAGAAGAAGCAGAAGCAGAAGAUGGAGAGGCAGAAGUAGAAGAAGAAGUAGAAGCAGAAGAUGGAGAAGGAGAAGAAGAAGAAGGGGAGAAAGAAAGGAAAAGAAGAAAAAAGAAAAAUAAAUAAAGGAAAAAAAAUAAAAUUAUUUAAAAAAUAAACAAAAAUGAUUUGAAAUAGGAAUUUAAAUUUUGCUAUAUAUAGAAUACAUAUUUUUAAUUGUAUUUUAAUUUAUUAUUUAGUAUUUAUAUUUAUAGUUUAUACUAUACUUUAUUAUUUACUAUUUAACAAAAAUUUGAUUAGUUAAUAUUUUUAUUACUUAGUAUAAAUAUAAUUAAUCAAUAGAAUUUCUAUGAUUUGAUAGAAUUUUAGAAUGGAAUAGAAUUCUAAAUUCAAAUUCUUUUUAAAUUGGAAAUAUAAUAUGAUUUCUUCAUUUAUAAGAAGACAAUUAUAUUGGUGAGUGGUCCAUGAGAAUUCAAUAUCAAAUUUACACUCAUCUAAAAAGGUAAUUGAAAAAGAUUUGGAAUAGAAAUUUGAUGUAGUUAUUAAACGCAUUUCUAUUCUUUUUUUAUUCAAAAAUCAGAAAUUUUGUACAAUUACCAAACGCAUUCUUUUGCUCAAAAAUUGUUCCCGGAAACAGAAUGAUUACUAAACGCGCCCUCAAAGUAUCUUAUUAGUUAUAUUUUUAUAUUCAGCAAAGUUUGUUGGAAAAUCGACUUUGAAAUUGGGUUGAACAAUAAAGUGAGAUUUUGAGACAUAAUAUCACUUUUUUUUAAGGAUUUUUUGCUCCCAUAAAGUUGUUAAUAGUCACCAACAAAUUUCCUCUAGAAUACAACAAAGUCUCGAUAAGAAUAUUAUAAAGCAAUUCUAAUAUUUCUCCUGAACCUCUCGAGGAAAGCAAUUCCAAAAGAUGGUUGUAGUUUUUGGAAAGAAGACUUGAAAAAAAAAAAAUACUAGCGAACCGUUUUCUCAAAACCUAACAUAUUUAUGUCGGUCUUAUUGAACAAAGACAUACCUUCGGGAAAAGUUACAAAAUGAACUAGUAAGAUUGCAAAAGACCAGUCGAGAAAGGUUGCUAAUUGAACUGGUAUGUUUUCCAAACGACAACUUCAAAAGAUAUAAAAAUUCGGAAUAAAAAAUAAUUAAAACUAUUACUAUUUUAAUAAAAAAUUCCAAAUUUAAUAAUUUUGAAAAAAAAGAUAAAAAAAUAAAUACUAUGUUUUGAUUAACAAGAUAAUCAUAUGGAAACAAGAUAACCAUAUGGAAUAAGAUAAAAGGAUACGGGAUUAGCGCUAAUUAUACUGCGAGCACGCAAGCAAGUCAAGUGCACUUAAUAAUAUAGCCCACACCCUAACCUUGUUUCUAAGCAAACUAGAAAAGCUCACACAUUAAGUGGCCUAUCUCAUACUAACACAGAGCUACUCAACAGCACUAAUCCGAUGAUAAUCAGAGUGGAAUUCUUGUUUCCAUCUCCCGUAGAUUUUGAAGUCGAGUUAUUUAUCCUGACCUUGAUCAGAGCUUUUUCAUCCUCACUAGGAUCCAUCCUUCCAUUGGAAAGAGGGAUCUUCUUUUUGUAGCAAGUUCGCUGUCGCCAAAAAUAGUAAUUGCGCAAAAACAAUCAGCCAAACAAGCCUCUCUGCACCUGUCCUCGGUUUGUGCUGCAGUACGCUCGUAAUCAUUCCUUGGCCAGUUUGUACGGAGCAUUUCAUGCAAAGCAAACUGGUCUCUUUCGGGCCUACUUCCAUCACAACUCUGCGGUACGAAGUCCUCCCUGCAUCCAUUCAUCUCGUUUGUUGAAUCUAAUGGCGUAUAUCCAGGUGGUCAGUGGCAUCGAGGCCUCUGGUCGUCUCCAAGAGCACAGUAGCUGUUGAAGCCACAAGCUCCAGAACUCGUAGUUUGCUUGAUGCUCUGGCAUAUAUUUGGAGGGAUCGGGGAAGAGACCAUCGACCAGCCCAAUGCCAAGGCAGAACUUGAAUUUGCCCCCUUAGGGUGGACAUAUUGCCUGAAGACCCCAUCGUAUUCAAGGAUUGCUCUUUAGUAAAACUCGUUGGUCGGGACUGUGUCUGAGGUGACAAGUUUGAGCAGUGUUCCAUUCCUAGCCGUAAGGUAGACCUGACCUUUUUGAUUGAAUAUCAAUCUAAAGCCGCUACUUUGGUGUUGCUGACCCAGUAAGUAUCUGAGGCAAGCCACGCGUCAGAAGUGGCAUAGAAUGCGAGAUUUCCGUCGUCUCCUAGCUUCAAGUGGAAUCUCCCGGUGGAGUAAUUCAUUUCAGAGUAGCGGGCGUUAACUUUAGUCCUUGAUCUAACUGUUGCGUAGGCAGUAUCGUGUCGGUCGGUUGGCUGAACGUCUCCCACAAGUUGACGUUGUUCUGGCUAACUAGGACAAAGUUUCCCGUGUCAAGCAUGGCCGCAUGCGCUACACCAGCGACAGUCGGGCUAGGAGACCUCAACUCUCUUCCAUUUGGGUCGGCUAGCACCAGUUGGCCGUCGGCGGUCAACUGGAUCUUCGAACCUUCUGGCACUAAAUUAUCACCAUUCGCCGACCAGACAAUGGUCUUGUCCUCUAUCUUCUCAAACCAUAUUGCCAGCAAAUGAGCCCCUUGUCCCAUUUUCCGGAACCCGAAGGUGAACUCACCGACGGAGACAGCCAGGAAGAGUUCUGGUCAUCCACCGUAUAACAAGGAGCCCAAGGUGAGGUUGCCGUUGAUCUGAGCUUCCGCGGAAAGUGGAAGGGUAACAAGCAGCAGGAGGAUUCGGAGCAUCACUGAAGCCAUAUGAGAUGGAAAAUGGAGGUGCUCCUUCAGUCAAGCUACUGCAGCCUCAAGGAUGAAAACCAGCGCCCUUUAUAGAAUUCGAGAGCGUCUCUCGUCACCUGUCAACAAGAUUAUAAAUCCAGCACCUCGACACCUAGCAGUAGAUUAGCAAGUUAUAUUUUUUUAAGGAAAACUGUCAAUUAACCGGUAAAUUAUCAGGAAAAUACAAAACAGUUUUCUAGAGUUUUACAAUGAGGCCCUUUCGGUCAAUUAGUAAUAACCAAAGAUAAAAUGAUGUUAUCAUCCUCAAAUAGUAACGUUAUCUGGUCCAGCCUAAGGAUCUUAAACAAAGGCCGUGAUUAUUGGAGCCCGCGUUCCACGUAAAUAAAAUAGAAGGAUUAACCACGGGGGGAAUUUGUAACCAAAUUUGGAAACACCCCCCGGCCUGAUCCUAGCUCUGCUGCACUGACCUCAAAUAGUAAGAUUAUCUAGAUUACCCAAUGCUUUAACAUACAAAAUGAAGAUUUUAUCUCUAGAAUCUGGUAUAUAGUGGCAGAUCACCAAGUGAUUUAUAAUUUUACAAGUGAGCCCGUCAAGCAAUUAGUAACUCUCUAGUGGAAUCAUGAUGUUAUCACCCCUACGUCAAGUAGUGAACUCUCAAGUGCUUUAAAAUUUUUCAAGUGGGUUCAUCAGAUAGGUGGUCAAUCUCUAAAGAAGUUGAUAAUUUAUUAUUUCACCGGUUGUACCUUGUUAAGCUAAAAGCAAGCUUACUUCGAAAAAUUACUACUUUUACAAUCCUUAACUGUACUAGUAAUCUCCAAAGACAACCUCCUUAAUUAGUUAAGUAAGACCUUCGGCAAAUUUCGUACUUUACGUGAUACUUACUACCUUAAGGGAGAGCAGACAUGUUGCUAAUUUCACUGCUACUUACUAACUUUAAUGAGGGAGUUUACCAAUUCAAGAUUGAAUUGGUGUCAAUAAAUCUCUCAAAUUGUUGCGACUUAUUAAGCCAAAAGCGGGCCUACGUUGGUGAGUUACUUAUUCCCAUGGUAAGUUAAUAACCAAUGUUAUAUUUCCAAUGGCAAAUUCGUUACUUUCCUAGUAACUUAACUUAUAGAGAGACCCGUAUUGGCAAUUUAUCAUAUUCAGUCUUAAAUUACUAGUUUCACUGCUAAGUUUUUAACUUUGAGCGAUAAUUUCUAAGAAAGGUGAUAAUCAACUCUUCCAUUUAAUGUUGGCGAAUUGCUAACAUUGUCUGUAAAUCACCAUCACUUGGUUGGAACUUAUGAAACACUGACACUUUCUGAAAGCUUUCGUGUGGUGUUGGACACUUCACACGUGUCUACCACUCUCGGACACUCCUAAACACUCAGUCAACGUGUGUCCGAAAAUUUGACACUUAGUUAAUUUUCCCAACACUUGAGUUAGAAUUCCGACAUGUGAAUUUUUGACACAUGAUUUCGAUACAUGCGAUCAAUUUUAAAAAUUUUCAAUAAAUGAUUUCUAAAUGUAUAUAUCCGAAAAUAAUAAUAAUAAUAAUAAUAAUAAUAAUAAUAAUAAUAAUAAUAAUAAUAAUAAUAAUAAUAAUAAUAAUAAUAAUAAUAAUAAUAAUAAUAAUAAUAAUAAUAAUAAUAAAUGGGGAAAGAAGAAAAAUCUAGUUUUCUUUUUUUCUCUUUCAACUCUUAGUUUCUGUGAUACAAUUCACUUUCCAAUUUUCUUUUCUAUUUUCUUCUGACAAGUCUGACACAUAAGUCCAGAAUGUGUAUGGCUUGUUUUUUUUCCUCUCUCCAAGUUUUAUAAAUUAUCUAAUUGAGUUAAAUUUGUCAAAUUGAAGUAAUGAAUAAUAUUAAAUGAUGGUGGACUAAUAGUUUUAGUAUAAAUUCAUUCUAGCCCUCUAUUAUUAUUUAUUUAUUUGUGACUUUGAAUUAAAUUAAUUUGAUUGAAAUAAUUAUAAAAAUGAUAAUUUAUUGUGUAUAUAAUAAUAUGAAUUUAAUAUAUAACGUAUCAUAAUAUGUCGAAAUUAUCUUCUUCUUUUUAAAUAAUUUGUCAACGUGUCAUAUUGUGUCGUAUCGCAUGUUGUAUGCCGCGUGUCAAUGCUACUUAGAUUGGAACUUUGACCAACAGGUUACAUGAUAUAACCGAAUUCUAAUCAUAUUGGAAAAGUGCCAUGCACGAAACAUGACUGGAGUAGGCGUGUUUCUUAGUUUCUCCGUACGUGGAAAUUUUGAAGAAGGCAAGUCUGCUUGGGCGGAGCCAUUGAGCUUCGGCCGCGACCCAGAAAUUUCUCAAGGAGAAACAGACAAAUUUAGAAGACUUUAAAUUGACCGAAACGUCUUUUAGGGAGGAGGAGAUUUUGGGAGUUGAAAAUGUUUUUUUGACCAAAACACGAAGAUUCAAUUCCCGCGGAAAUCAAAGCGACUGCAGGUCACUUCGUGGAAAUUGAACGUUUCGGUGCGUGUACGGACGUGGAAAUUUGCAGCGGUGUCCCGCAUGAAGCAUGCAUGCUGUAUGAACACGAUCUCAUGCCAAACUGUAUGAACACGAUCUCAUGCUUGCUUACGGAUCACGAUCGGUUGACCGCCUUUUUCAUGUGUUUCUCAUGAAAGUGAAGCGGGACCCACUAGAUCAUCAUGCAAAACGCUCAAAAUAUAAAAAAAUUCAAAAUAGUAAAUAAAGAAGCAAACUUCUACCACAUACUAGAGCCGAGGAGCCAGUAAGAGACAAAGCAUUGAAUCUACAAUUCCGAAACCUAAGUGAACUUUGACCACAUACGCUUAUCUUGUGAACUUAAAUUUAUUAUUACUUGAGACUUGUUGACAGUGUUAAGUGUGUGUUUUGGUGUACAAUAGUAAGUCCUAUCGACUUGAGUAUAAGCAACACUAGCUUUGGAUAGAAGCGCUUGGGUAUAAGCGGCACAACUUGACCGUAACCAUUCAUCGGUUAUCUGGUGGAAUCUAGCAAGUAGGCUGUUAACGUAAGAGAAUGGACGUAGGCCUAAUUUAAGCUAAAUCACUAUAAAUUUACAAUCUUCUUUUCUCUGAACUCUUAUUGUUUAUUGCUAUUGUUUAUUGCACACUUACUGGGUGAUUCAAAGUCUGUGCUACUGCAUUCCAGAAUCUGACCCUUAUUCAAACUUUAAUCUUGACUCAUUCUUUUCUGUUUUAAUUUGUCAAGAUUCUGUAGUAUCACCUAUUCAAACUUUAAACCUGCUAGCCACCCUCAGAUUAUACUUCCAAUUACGUGAUUUGCGGACUGGGAUCUUUUUGGUCUAGAAGAAGUUGGUUGCCAAAAGAAAGUGAGUAUCCCUCCUGUAUGAAUAAAAAAGCAGCAGAACUGUUGAAAUUGGGAUUCCAGGUCCACGAUUUAUGACCUGAGGAUCGGCAAGUUUCAUAUGCUUCUCAUCAUCUAAUUUAGCAAAUAAGGUCUGUUUUGGUUAGAUCAAGUUAAAAUACUCUUCCACCGUGUCAAAUGCAAUUUUCAUGAAGCAAAAUGUCGAUGAAAAUGCUUUGAUAGUUGCAUUCGGCCUCGCAUGUAAUCCCUUCUGCGACGAUCAUCAACCCGUUCUCUCUUGGAUACAUGUGAGGAAAUGUUAAACUUGACUGAUGAUAUAGCUUAUUUAAUCGGGAUCCAUGUGAAGACAGUAUGCGCAAUAGCACUUAUAGACAAUACGAGUACUUUUCAUGAUUACAGACAACAGUGGUGUUAAAUAAGCAAAAUCAUAUUGAACUCAUAAAAGAGCUUGGAACUGGAGAUGAUUACAGACAACAGUGGUGUUAAAUAAGCAAAAUCAUAUUGAACUCAUAAAAGAGCUUGGAACUGGAGGUACUGGGACUUCAACAGCUCCUUCCAACAUUUGAGUAAUUUUCUUCAUGGUUGGCCUUAAAGCCGGGUCUUCCUGGAUGCACCACAAUGCUGUCAUCACAAAUCUUCUCACCCUCUUUAUGUCACUCGAUGCCUCCUCAUCGCUCUCCACUAGCUUAAGUACACUCCCGUCGUGGUAGCAAUCAUACACCCAGUCAACUAGCACAAUUUGAGCUUCAAUUUCUGCUUCCGGCUUGUAGUUCUUUCUGCAGCAGAUGAGCUCAACCAACAAAAUGCCGAAGCUGUAAACAUCUACUUUGCUAGAAAUAGGCAUAUUCCUGAACCAUUCUGGCGCUAAAUAACCUCUGGUUCCUCUGACUCCAGUGGUGGUUCGUGUUUGGUUCGCCAUCAAGAGCUUAGCUAAUCCCAAGUCUGAGAUUUUUGCAGUGAGAGAGCCAUCAAGAAGAAUAUUUUGCGGCUUGAUGUCGCAGUGGAUUAUAUGCUUGGUGCAAUCCUGGUGCAAAUAAGAGAGCCCCCGCGCAACAUCGCAGGCAAUUUCUGUUCUUCUGUACCAGUUGGGCUUUGAAGCGCCAAAUAGGAAAUCCGCCAAAGUGCCAUUGUUCAUGAAUUCAUACACCAGUAGUCGAUGUUGACCUUCAUUGCAGAAUCCAAGCAACUGCACCAAGUUCUUGUGGUUAGUUUGGCCAAUUGCACUCACUUCUCUUUCAAACUCCUUCUCGCUUUCUCCAGUCCUUGUCGCCAACACUUUUACUGCCACAAAGUCUGCAUCCUCGGAUCCAAGAGCACCUUUGUAUACUGUUCCAAAAGCACCCCUACCUAGUUCUUCUUUGAAUCCAUAUGUUGCUUCUUGAAGCUCCUGAUAGGUGAAAGUACGCGUGCCUGUAACUUGAUUGAUCUGGACUGGUCGUGACAACUUAGAAUCCCUAGAUCGGAAGCUUCUAUAUAAUAAAUAGGUAAUGAGGAGUAAAAGCAAGUUCACAAAGACAGAGCUACUCAACAGCACUGAUCCGAUGAUCAUUAGAGUCGUAUUCUUGUUUUUCUUCUGGUCGUUUCCUGUGCAUUUUGAAGUCGUGUCAUGUAUCCUGACCUUGAUCAGAGUUUUUCCAGUCUCCCAUGGACCCAUCCUUCCAUUGGAAAGAGGGUUCUUCUUUUUCCAGCAAUAUCCAAUGCUUAAAACGGCGGCUGCGCAAAAACAAUCGGCCAAGCAAGCCUCUCUGCACCAGUCCUCAGUUUGUCCCCUGCUAUACUCGUAAACGGAAUUUGGCCAGUUUGUUGCGAGCAUUUCACGCAUAACGAACUGGUCUGUUUCGGGCCUACUUCCGUUACAACUUUGUGGUACGAAGUCUGGUAUGCAUCCGUUCAUCUCAUUCGUUGAAUCUAACGGAGUAUAUCCAGGUGGGCAUUGGCAUCGGGGCCUCAGAUCAUCUCCAAGAGUACAGUAGCUGUUAAAGCCACAAGCUCCACUGCCAAACUCUUGGGCGAUGCUCGUGCAUAUAUUUGGCGGGACUGGGACAGAGACCCUCGACCAGCGAAAAGGCCGGCCAGAACUUGAAUUUGCCGUCUUAGGGUGGAUAUAUUGUAUGAAUACCCCGUCGUAUUCAAGGAUCGCUCUUUGGUAAUACCCGCUGGUUGGAACUGGUUCUGUGGUGAAACGGUUGAGUAUUGUUCCAUUUCUAGUCGUGAGGUAGACCUGACCACUUUGGUUGAAUAUCAACUGGAAGCCGCUAUCGACGGUGUCGCUAGCCCAGUAAGCAUCUGUGGAAUCCAACGGGUCAGGCUUGGCAUAGAAUACGAGAUUUCCGUCGUCACCUAGCUUGAAGUGGAAUCUCCCGGCGGAGUAAUUCAUUUUGGAGUAGCGAGCGUUGACUUCAGUCCCAAGAUUUAACCGUUGCGUAGGCAGUAUCGUAUCCGUUGGUCGGCUGAACGAAUCCCACAACUUGACAUGGCUCGCGCUCGCUAGGAUAAAGUUCCCCGUGUCGAGCAUGGCCGCAUACGCUAAGCCAGUGCCGUUCAGGCCAGAAGACCACAGCUCUCUCUCUCUCGGGUCGGUAAGCACCAGCCCGCCGUUGGCGGUCAACUGGACUUUCGAACCUUCGGGCGCUAGAUUAUCGCCAUUCGCCCACCAGACGACCGUCUUCUCCUCUAUCAUCUCGAACCAUAUUGCCAGCAAAUGAGCCCCUUGUCCCAUUUUCUGGAACCCGAAGGCGAACUCGCCCGACGGCGACAGCCAGGAAGAGUUCCGGUCGUUCGCUGUCAGCGAGGAGCCCAAGGUCACGUUGCUGCGGGUCUGAGCUUCAGUGGAAAGGGGAAGUGGAGCGAGUACAAGAAGGAUUCCUAGUAUAACUGAAGCCAUGUUUGAUGAAACAGGCGUGCUCCUUGAGUUGAGCUACUUCGGCCUUAAGGAUGAAACCAGCGUUCUUAUAGAGAUUCCCUUCUUUCCAAGCUACCAGAGUCUCCCUCCUUUUUCUCCACGGCAAGUUUGAAUUAAAGUUGUGGACAGCCUUUGCCCAUGUCAACACGUAUAUCUAUCAACUAUCUUUGACCAAAAACAAAACACAUAUAUCUAUCUAGAAUAAUGACUUUACCAUAUGGUCUGAAGUUUUAUAAAAGCUCCAUCUGUAAUAAAAGGAAAUGAUUGAUCAAAAUAUAAGGUGAUAUUCGUAAAUAUAUUUUAUUAAUCAACCUUUUCUUUUUUGUAUUAAUAGACCAUUUAGAAGUGAAUGAUGAGCAUCCAAUUUUAGCAGUUUGAUCUUUCUUUUGUUUUUCGUUAUUGAGGCCUUUUUUUCCUUUUUACUUUAUCAUGUUUCUUUUUUCUUAAAGUAUUUUAUUAGUUGCAUUAAUAUUUUCAUCAACAUUUAAAUAAAAAUAAUUUAUGAUAGUAUCAUUGAUAUUGAUUUUUUUUGGAUUAUAAUGUUUUAGCAAAUUUAUAUUUUCCCUAUUUUCUUUGUUUUUUACUUUUUUUUUUUGUAGAAAUUAAUACUGAAAGAACUUGUCAAAUUUAGAAUAAGGCGACUCAGCUUGCCAGGGACCCGGACACUCUUCGAGGAAGGCACAAAUUUGGAAGACUUUGACCAAACGUCGUUGUACAGGAGACUUUACGGGAUGAAAGGGAUGGAAGAGGACGGCCCUUAUAUCACGUUGGUAAACUCCACUAAGCUAAAAGCAGGCCACUAAUUUCGCAAGUAAUUUGUUAAUUUCAACGGUAAAAUUUGGUUUUAUCAAUACAUUAUUAAGUUACCGAUUUCAAUCGUGGAGAUUUUUCUAAAUAUCGAUUAAUUAAUAAAAACACUUAUAAAAUUUAGAAAGGAAAUGAUGCCCUCGACUCAUAAAAGAAAAUGAUAUAUCGAAUUUGUAGUCAUUUUUUUUAUAAAUAUAAUUGAUUCAUCUAUCAUUUUAUUUUGUAGAUAUAUUUUUCUCCAUUUUCUUUAUAUUUCACAUGAAACAAUGGUGAAAAAAGUUAUUGCCAUAAACAAGAUGACAAUAAACUUUUACCCCUUAAAAGGCAUGUGCCUUGCAUGCGCUAACAGAAUGGAGUGACAAUUUCAAAGUUCAGGGGCAAAUAUAUACUAUUGCAAAGUUCGAGAGAGAUUUGAGUAAUUUCUUCAGAUUUUCUUUCCAACAGAAAAUUUGCCACUUUAUUAGAAAUUUACUAACUUGUAACUUGUAAUGACUUACGUGGUAACUUAUUAAUUUCCCUGCUACGAUUUAGUUUUAAAUAGCCAAUUUCUAAAUAAUUGAACAACUUACGUUCCACUUGAAAUUGGUAUUACUACCUUAUAAGCGGAACUAUAUGGUAAGUUAUUAAUUUAUAUGAAAGUUAUAAAUUUCACCACUAAAUUUUUGUUUUGAGUAAUAAAUGUCUAAAAAAGAGUUAAUGACUUAUCAUUGCAUUUAUUGGUGAUAAAUUGCCACCAUUGUUAGUGCAUUACCACAUCAGUUGACUAAGAAAUCCCUAGUUACGUGAUUUUAUCAAUAAAAUUUGGAAUUCAUUGAUCGAGUUUGAAUUCCGACAUGUGAAUUUUUGACAUAUGAUUUCGAUACAUGGGGUCAAUUUUAAAAAUUUUAAAUAAAUGAUUUCUAAAUGUAUAUAUCUGAAAAAUAAAAAAUAAUAAUAAAAAUAAUAAAUGGGGAAAGAAGAAAAAUCUACCUUUUUUUUUUUUUUUCUGUCUUUUAACUCUUACAUUCCGUGAUACAAUUCACUUUCCAAUUUUUUUUUUCUAUUUUCUUCCAACAAGUUUGACACGUAAGUCCAGAAUGUGAAUGUCUUGUUUUUUCCUCUCUCCAAGUUUUAUGAAUUAUCUGAAUUGAGUUAAAUUUGUCAAAUUGAAGUAAUGAAUGAUAUUAAUUAAUGGCGGAUUAAUAUUUUUAGUAAAAAUUCAUUCUAGGCUUUUAUUAUUAUUUAUUUAUUUGUGAAUUGAAUCAAAUUAAUUUGAUUCAAAUAAUCAUAAAAAUGAUAAUUUAUUAUGUAUAUAAAAAUAUAAAUUUAAUAUAUAACGUGUUAUAAUGUGUCGGAAUUCUAUAUUUUUUUAGAAAUAAUUUAUCGACGUGUCAUGUCGUGUCGUAUUGCGUGUUGUGUGUCAGUGUUGGUACUACUUAAGUUGAAACUUAGACCCACAAGUUACAUGAUCUAACCAAGAAGAUUUAUAAAUUUUAAUCAUAUUGGAAAAGGGCCGUGCACGAAACACGACUGGAGUAGGCGUGUUUCUUAGUUUCUCCAUACGUGGAAAUUUUGAAAAAGGCAAGUCUGCUUGGGCGGAGCCAUUAAGCUUCGGCCGCGACCCAGAAAUUUCUAAAGGAGAAAUAGACAAAUUUAGAAGACUUUGACCGAAAUGUCUUUUAGGGAGGAGAUUUUGGGAGUUGAAAAUGUUUUUUUUUUUUUUUGACCAAAACAUGAAGAUUCGAAAAGCGACUGCAGGUCACUUCGUGGAGAUUGAACGUUUCGGUGCGUGUAUGGACGUGGAAAUUUGCAGCGGUGUCCCGUGAAGCAUGCAUGCUGUAUGAACACGAUCUCAUGCCGAACUGUAUGAACAUGAUCUCAUGCUUGCUUACGGAUCACGAUCGCUUGACCGCCUUUUCCAGGUGUUUGUCGUGAAAGUGAAGCGGGACCCAGUAGAUCAUCGUGCAAAACGCUCAAAAUAAAAAAGAAAAUCAAAAUAGUAAAAAAAGAAGCAAAAGAAAAAGCGAAAGAAAAGCGUCUGAAAUACUUUUCCCCCCGCCAACCCACUCCCUAAUCACCGCUAACUUUGACUUUAAUCAGAUCGCUAAUGGACUUCACAAGAAAAAAAACAACCCUCCUAAUCAAUCCCCCCCGCAACCCGCGAAACGUGCACAGCACACGUAACACCACCCCGCCAACUGACACGUCAGCACACGCUCGCCACACUGUCCGUUGCUCUCGCUCCAUUGUCGUCUUCCGCAGGGAAUUCCAGAAAUGCAGGAGAUGGCGAUGUCUAUCCACGAGAAAUCUGCUGCUUUGUUUCGUGCGAUGGAGGUUCUCCCCAUGCAGACAAUUACCUCCUCCUUCUCCUUCUUCUUCCUCGUGCUCUAAAGCACACCGCUGGAUUGUGCUUUGCCGGCGGAAGUAGGUGAGGCGAGGAAUGUUCUCGACGUGAGCGGCGUACUCCACACGAUUGUGAACCGUGUCGUUGGGGGGAUCUAAUGCUUACUGCUUAGACUGCAAUUAAGUCUUGUGCAGCUUGGAGAGGAAUAACUACAUUAAUGAUUGAUGAACAUAAUUCGGCAUAUAUUCUGCAGGAAUUUGCAUACAUCAAAUUUGCAUAUACUAAAUCGCUCUGUUAACUCUGUUAAAUUUGACCAUCGAAAAAAGUUGACAUAAUUUUUUCAUUGUUGUUCAAAAGGAAAUGCGUUGAUAUGAAUGUCACACCAGCCAAUUUAGAAGAAAAAUAUUAAAAGAUAUUUAAAGCUAAAUGUUCGAUGUUGCAAUUAAAUUAUAAUAAAUUGUUUUCAAAACUUUAGAAGAAUAAAAUUAGGGAAAAAGAAGAAAACUUAAAGAGAAAAAUCAUUCUCGAGAAUCCGCUCCAUCAAUUUUUGCAUUCAGCUACUUCGUUUCCCAGCCAUAGCUGGUGCUGGUUCUUAAGCUUCCAUGGCAACGAGAUCUCUAUUCUCGCUCAAAUCCGCCACUCACUAGAGGUUCACCACCUCGCGGCCAAACAUGGCUUCCUCCUUCGAUCUUCUUUGACGAUACGGGCUAUGAUCAUUGUCUCAUAUCUGUGCAAGGGUCAUCAUUUGCCGUAAUUGUCGGAGGAGCGAGAGUGGCUAGUGGGAAGGUCCCUGUUGACGAGUGACGAGGCUGGCUCACUUGUCUCCCACACGCUUACUUUAUUUUUAUUUUUUAUUUUCAAAAUGCGAAGUUGGUAGCAAGGGCCGCACUAGCUUUACCUAAGUCUGGUGUGGGACGUCGGCCCCUCGUUGAUGCAUGGGUGGCCGUUGAGCCGCCACCACCUUUACUGCAUCUAUGCUGUCCUUCUCAGCUUCUCCCGUGUUUGAUUCUUCUUCUUUUUUUUCCAAUUUUUUAAUUCGAUUUUUUAUUUUUCUAAAAUCUUGAAGUCAAUUCUUUUCCUUUUUUAUUUCCUUUAUUUUUGUAAUAUCUAACAUGGCAAUCUCAUCAACACAUAAUUCUUUAAAGAAAUGGUAAAAAAAAGUCGCAUCAACUUUUUCUAAUAGCCAAAUGGCACAGAGUUAAUGUAUAAACUUGAGUGAACUGAUUUGAAAAGUUUUAAGAUUUAAUUAUAUUUUUUUCAAGAUUUAAGGAUUCGAUUGUACUUUUAUAAUAAGUUUUAAGACAUGUAAUACACUAAUACCAUAAAAAUAUAGACUAUUUAGAGCUUAUAGAGGAUCAAUGGAGUAUCAAGUCAAUAACUUAAUAAAAAUAUUGUGAACACCCAUCGAAGCGUGGAAAGCUAACAUGCUCAACUUUAAACUUUGAUUCUAUGCUUGGUAAACAGAGCAAGUCCAGAUACCUCUUAGGACGUCCAGGUGAUGAAGAUUAGAGAUGGAUGAACUUGAAAGGAGCUUGGUUUACUCACGAAUUGGGCUGGAUAGACAUGGCUCUUGCUUGGACCGUCGCUAUUGACACUUAAUUUUUUGCCUAUUUUAUAUUUCGAAACAUUUUCAUAAAAUUAGGGAUUUAGUUUGUUAACCCUUAGCAACUAACCGUCAUGCUUCUCCCUACAUUUCAUCGCAGUUAAGGGGAUUGUGGUAUUUGCUGCAUCAUGGGAGUCCAAAUUGGCGAGAAAAUUGAAGCCUUCAACAUCAUUUUCCUCACCUCGUUUUUCCACCUUGGAGAUUUUUUUAAGUAACAAGAGACACCUCGUAUUUUUACGGUGUUUAUCAGUUAUGUGCAAUAAAUCUCUACUUCGCCGCUAGUAAGAUUUGAACUCUUUGCGCAGCAUGCUGGGGUUGAAAUCCCGCUACCGACAGUCCCCUUUGCUAGGCGAUCUGUAAAUCCAUUAUAAAACUUUAUAAACCCGUGUUAUGCCCUAGCCUUAACACGGAGUAAUCUCCCUUCCUCUUAAACUUUUUAUCAUAUCCGAAUAAAUUUUUUUUUUCUUCACCUGGUGCAUUAGGGGCAUUCAUCUACUUCUAUAAAAUUGGCGCAAGCAGACCAUUCCAAAGUGAAACAAACAAAAGACGAAGACCUUGACCCAAAUAUCGUACGUUUUGUUGAAUAAAAAUGACAUUAGAAUGAUAGCAAACGAGCCGGCAGACCCCAUGGCUGACAAAAACAACUAUGAAAUCGAACCUGUCAAUUUUCUGAUGCAAAUCAAUGCUAGAUUUGGAUCUUCUGGGUCUUUCCAUUGUCUUGGUAUAUUUUUCGAUUUCCUCCAGUUUGGACCCAUUGUCCAAUGGCAUUAACAGUAGCUUGCUGAGUGGCUUAUACAAGAUCUCCAAUGAUUAUUUGGAAAGGUAUAUGUACGCCUAGAGUAUUGUCUUUCUUUUGUCACUUCGGGCAAUUUCUCAACAGAUCAAUCGAGAAGAAAGUUCGUUUGAUUAUUCUUCCAACCACGUGAUUUGCAGACUCUGAUUUCUUUGGUCUAUAUGAAGUUGGUUGCCAAAAGGAGGUGAAAGUCCCAUCUGAGUGAAUAGAAAAGCAGCAGACCUUUUGAAAUUGGGAGUUCAGGGUAGUGAUCCUCGACUUGAGGAUUAGCAAGUUUCAUAUGGUUUCUCACCAUUCAAAUUUAGCAGAUAAGAUCUGUUUUGCUUUGAUGAGGUUAAGAUAAUCUUUUACUGCAUCCAAUGCAAUUUUGAUGAAGCAAAAUGGUCGAUGGAAAUGCAUUGAUGGGGUCACAUUAGUUUUACCUGCGACACAAUGGAAUAUGAUCCAUGAAGAAUUCCUAAGAGAUUUAGAACAAUUUUGCCAACAAUUGCCAACAUGCUAGUGAAUUUCAAACUUUAGGAAGAGUUAGCUUAUUGAAGCUGGAUUUAUGUGAACAUAUUAUGACAAUGUUUAUUCUGGUGUAGGUGCACUUACAGACCAUACAAAUACUUUUCAUUAUUACAGACGCCAGUUGUCUAAAUAAUCAAAAUCAUAUUGUGUUGUUGCGCGCGCGCACGGAAUAUAGACGGACCAAGCAAAUCGGAUAAAAUAGUCGGAAUGAAGGAAAGGAAAUCAGACACCGGAUUUACGUGGUUCGGUCCGAAUAUCGGAACCUACGUCCAUGGGGAGAGCAGCACGGAAUUCCACUAUAGAAACAAGCGAUACACCGGAGAUUACAAUCACUCGAGCACUCAAACACACUCUCAGUAUUUCCCAGCCCCAAAUUACACCCAGAUAACUCACACAGUGUUUAGUCCCUCACAAUUCCUAGUGAAACCUCACUCAAGGAAUUAUACAAAUUCUACUCACAAGAAUUUAACUGGCUAAAACACUCGGAUGUAAUUUCAACGAGAAAAACUCUCUCUGCCGAGAGCUUAUGGCUUUUCUCCAGGAAGUCUCACGACUUCUCUCACCAGCUCUUCAGCUCUCUCUCGGCCACCGAAAUAACUCAGCUCGGCGCCCUCUUCUCCUUUGCUCCUCUGCCUUUUAAGGACGAAGUAAGACAGAAAACGUGAAGCCAUUCAGGCGCCCGUAAUCAGCACUGACGCCCACUAAAAUUCACGGGCACGCAUGCAUGCAUGGGACGCAUUUAAUAAGGCAGAAAACAUGCCCAUAAUUCAAGCGCGGAAGAAGGAUGGCUGCCGUCUUCCAAGACCAUCUCCACGACGUUGAACUCCUUCAAGUAAUAGUUUACCCUUUCUUUCCUUCUGUUGGUUUUAGCUGAAUAAACAAAUGGCAAAGGAAAGAAACAAGGAGAAAGAAGACAAAACAAGCCUACAAAUUUUACUUUUGUCUUGGUCUUCAACGUCCACUUCACCAUGCAUGCACGUCCAUGUGCAUGCAAUUAAAGAGGUUGAAUAAAAUAAUGGUCUUCCCCUCUCGCGGCUGCACGCUCUCUUCAUUCCUCACGCUUGCGGCUCAUAGAUCCGCAUGCGAUCUUUCGGCCAAUUCACAUGCUCUACUGACUCGCACGUGGUUGAGUUCACAUACUCUCGUUCAACAGGCUCAAAUCGAGACAUAUUUUCAACAUAUUGAACUAAUAAAAGAGCUUGGAUCUAGGGGGACUGAGACUUCAACAGCUCCUUCCAGCAUCUUAGUGAUUUUAUUCAUGGUUGGCCUCAAAGCCAAGUCUUCCUGGAUGCACCACAGUGCCGUCAUCACAAAUCUUCUCACCAUCUUUAUGUCGCUUGACGCCUCCUUGUCACUCUCCACUAGCACAAGUAGUCUCCUGUCAUGGUGGCAAUCGUGACUAAUACACUUUGAGCUUCAAUUUUGGCUUCCAGCUUAUGGUUCUUUCUGCAAGAGAUGAGCUGAAGCAACAAAAUGCCAAAGCUGUAAACGUCUACUUUGGCAGAAAUAGGCAUAUUCCUAAACCAUUCUGGCGCUGAAUAACCACCAGUUUCUCUGACGCCAGUGGUGGUCCAUGUUUGGUUUGCCAUCAAGAACUUAGCUAAUCUGAAGUCUGAUAUUUUUGCAGUGAGAGAGCCAUCAAUAAGAAUAUUUUGCGACUUGAUGUUGCCGUGGAUUACAUGCUUGGUGCAAUCCUCAUGCAAGCAAGAGAGGCCCCUUGCAACACCACAGGCAAUUUCGAUUCUUUUGCACCAGCUAGGCCUUGAAGAGCUGAAAAGAAAAUCUUCCAUACUACCGUUGCUCAUGAAUUCAUACACUAGUAAUCGGUGUUGACCCUCAUUGCAGAAUCCAAGUAAAUGCACUAAGUUCUCGUGGUUAGUUUGACCAAUUGCACUCACUUCUCUUUCAAACUCCUUUUCGCUUUCUCCAGACUUGUCGCCAACAAUUUUACUGCCACAAAGUUUGUAUCCUCGGAUCCGAGAACACCUUUGUGCAUUGUUCCAAAAGCACCCCUACCCAGUUCUUUGAAUCCAAUUGUUGCUUCUUGAAGCUCAUGAGAGGUGAAAGUUGGCAUGCUUGUGGCUUGGUUGAUCUAUACUGGUCGUGAAAAUUUAGAAUCUCUAGAUCGGAAGCUUUUAUAAGUUAAAUAGCUAAUGAGGAGUAAAAGCAAGUUCAAAAACAAAGAAUUACCCAACAGCACUGGUCCGAUGAUCACCAGAGUUGAGUUCUUGUUCUUCUUCUGGCCGUUUCCUGGAGAUGUCAAAGUUGAAUUACCUAUCCUGACCUUGAUCAGAGCUUUUCCACCCGCACUUGGAUCCAACCUACCACUGAAAAGAGGGAUCUUCUUUUUCCAGCAAUUUCCAUCUUGAAAAACAGUGACUGCACAAAAACAAUCAGCCAAGCAAGCCUCUCAGCACCGGUCCUCAGUUUGUGAUGCGCUAAGUUCGUAAUCAGACUGUGGCCAGUCUGUAUUGAGCAUGUCAUGCAAAGCAAACUGGUCCUUUUCAGGCCUACUUCCAUCACAACUCUGUGAUAUGAAGUCCUGCCUGCAUCUGUUCAUCUCGUUCAUCGAAUCUAAUGUAGUAUAUCUAGGUGCACAGUGGCAUCGGGGCCUCUAAAUACGAUUGGCUCCAAGAGUACAGUAGUGUUGAAGCCACAAGCUAGAGGACCGGUAUCUCAUGUGAUUCUCAUGCAUAUAUCUGAAGGGAGAGGGGGAGAGACCGUCGGCCAGCCCAUUGCCCAGCCGGAACUCGAAUUUGCUGUCUUGGGGUGGACAUACUGCCUGAAGACCCCGCCAUAUUCAAGGAUUGCUCUUUGCUAAAGUCCACCAUGGGAGGGUGUCUGAGUUGACGAUAUUGUGUACCGUUCCAUUCCUAGCCGUGAUGACGUAGACCUGACCACUUUGAUUGAAUAUCAAACUGGUAGCCGGUACCCACGGCGUUGCUAAUCCAGUAAGCAUCUGAGAUGACCGCCUCGGUUGGAGUAUGAAUUGAAAUCUCCCAGUGGAGUAAUUCAUUUCAGAGUAGUGAGCUUUAACUUUAGUCCCGAGAUCUAACUGUUGCGUAGGCAGUAUCGUAUCGGUCAGUUGGCUGAACGUCCCCCACCAGUCGACGUUAUUCUGGCUCAUUAGGACGAAGUCCCCCGUGCCGAGCAUGGCUGCAUAUGCUCCGCCAACGACCGCCGUGGACAACACCUCACUCCCUUCUGGGUCCACAACCACCAGUUGGCCGUCGGCUGUCAACUGGACUUUCGAACCUUCGGGUGCUAGAUUAUCCCCGUUAGCCGACCAGACUACGGUUUUGUCCGCUGUCUUCUCAAACCAUAUUGGCCCCACGUGAGCUCCUCUUCCCAUUUCCCGGUACCCGAAGGCGAAUUCGCCCGACGGGGACAGCCAGGAAGAGGUCCUGUCAUUCGCUAUUAACGAGGAGCCCAAGGUUACGUUGCCGGGGGUCUGAGCUUUCACGGAAAGCGGAAGCGGAACAAGUAGUAGGAGGAUUCCGACUACUACUGAAGCCAUGUCAGCGGAAGUUUGUGAGCUCCUUCGGUGGAGCUACUUCUAAGUCCCGUCGUUGAAGACAGGUGACUACUCGUUCUCUGCUUAAACCAAAUCUAUCGCACUCGGGAUGUCCAAGUCGACAGUAUCGACACAUAUCUAAAAUAAUGAUUUUUACCAAGUGCUCUAAUGUUUUACAAGUGAUCCAUCUGGUGACAUUAAUAAUUUACUAUUUCAAUCGAAGUUGAUUAAUUACAUAUCAUGUAAGUAACUCCAGUAACCCUCCGAGGUUCUUAUGAAAUAUUUUGUGUUCAGAAACUGUUAUGAUUGAUUCGGAGUUCAUUCACAAAUGAAUGAGAGGCUUUAUUUUUGACCAAAAGUAAAAAAAGCAGGGCACUAAUUUCGCAGAUAAUUUGUUAAUUUCACCAGUAAAAUUUUGUUUUCAGUGGCAACUUCCUAAAUAGGUUGACACAUGCUUAGAAUUGAAGUACUCCACUUGAUUUCAUACUUACUAUCAUGAAAGCAAGCAUCAAUUAGUAAGUUACCAAUUUUACUUGUGUAUAAUACCUUCAUUGGUGGAGCUUUACAACAAGUCUAUUCAAUAUAGAGAAAAUGCCUCAAUAACAGAAUAUGUAAAAAAAAAAAAUGCUUAUUAAGUAUAUUUGAAGGGUUAAUUAAUGAAUAUAUUUAUGAAAUUUAAAAAGGAAAGGGUUCAUCGAAUCUACAAUAAAUUUUUUAAAUAUAAUUGAUUGAUCAAUCAAAUUUUUUUUUUUGUGUUAAUAAACCAUUAAAAAAACACAUGAUGAGUAGUCAGCUUCGUAAUUUUGACCUUCUUGUUAUUGAGACUUUUUCCUUUUUGCUAAUUUGUGUUUUUUUCCCCUUAGAAUAUCUUAUUAGUUUUAUUAAUAUAUUUAUCAAAUUUUAAAUUUUUUUUCUGAUAUAAUUUCUUCAUUUUCUUUAUUUAUCCAUUGUGGUGAAAAAAAAAAUAUGAAGAGGAAUGGUUACUUUAAGAACGAAUCAACAUAAUUAUAAUUUUUUUUAAAAUGGAGCAAUUAAGUCUCUCCUUCCAAUAUGGCUAACGGAAAAAACUAAUAUGGUUUUUUUUUUUUCAAAGAGAGGGGUUGAUGUGGUUGGCACAACAUCCAUUUUAGAAAAAAAAAUAAUAAUAUUAAGAGAUAUUAAAAGCCAACUGUUCUAUGUUGCAAUUAAUUAAUAAAUAACUGUUUCCAAAAUUUAAGAGAGAUAAAAAUCUGAAAGAAGAAGAAGAAGAAACACCGAAAAAAGAGAGAGAAGAUUUUCGAGAAGCGAAUUUGCCUCCAUCAAUUUUUGCAUUUGGCCACUUCAUUUUUGCGGCCAUAACUAAUGGUGGUUCUCAAGCUCCCAUGGCAACCAGAUCUCUAUUCCUCACCCAAAUCCGCUAGUCAUCAGAGGUCCCCUGCCUUGCGGUCGAGCACCACUACCUUCUUCGAUCUCCUUCGAUGUCUCGGGCUGUGACCAUCACCUCAUCUCUAGGUGAGAGUUGCCCUUUGGUUGUAGAUCUGAGUAAGGGUCGUGGCCAUCAUUGUCGGACGAGCGAGGGUAGCUAGUGGCAAGGUGCUUAUCGACAAGUGCCGAGGGCUGCCACCGUGUCUAUCCUCACGCGUUCUUACUUUAUUUUUUUCUUCAGUAUGUAAAGGUGGUAGCGAGGGCCACGCUUCACCAAAGUCUAGCGGGGGUCGCCGGCCCCUCGCCAAUGUGUGGUGCCUGCCAAGCUGCCUCCGCCUAAAUUGGAACUACCACCGUCCUUCUCAGCUUCUCUUAUUUUUUAUUCUUCCUCUUUUCAUCCCGUUUUUUCAUAUUUUAAUUUUUUUUAAAUCUUAAAAUCAAAUCUUCCAUUAAUUUUGUUUUUCUAAAAUGGUCAACGUGGCACCCUCAUCAGCACCUCUUCCGUCGAAAAAUGAGGCAAAUUGAACAGAACUGAUAGAGCAACUUAAUUGAAAUAAUUUGACAAAUAUUAAGACUUGAUCGCACUUUUCGAAUGUUCCAAGCUCAAUCAUGUUUCCAAUAACUUCUAGGACUUUUGGUGCACUUAUCUUAUAAAAUAUAAAGCAUUUAGAGAUUAUAGAUGAAGGGCAACAACUUCAAAAAAAAUCUUACGGAUGUGCAUUGAAGCGAGGCAAGGCAACAUACUCGACUUUAAACUUUGAUUCAGUGCUCUGCAUGUGAUAAACAGACCACAACCGAAUGUCUUUUAGGACAUCAAGGUGAUGAAGAUAAGAGAUGGAUGGAUUUCAAUGGAGCUUGAUUUACUAACACUAGAUAGACAUGGUUUUUGCUUAGGGACCAGCUAUUGACGUCUAAAAUUAGGGAUUUAAUUUGUUGAUCCCUAGCAAUUUAAUUUGUUGAUCCCUAGCAAUUUAUAUAUAUAUAUAUAUAUAUAUAUAGUGAUUUUUGCUACAUCAUGAGAGAUUCAACUUGCCAAGAACAUUGAAGCCUUUGACAUUGAUGUAGAAGCAUUUGUUUUUGUCAAUCGAUUCAAGAUGAAGAUGUCAUUUAUGCAAGAGAGUUGUCGAUUAGGUGCACAAGUUGUUGAUUUCAUGGUUGCCAAUUGGCUACCGAACAUUGAUACUCAAAUUUUUUGUCAAUCCGAGACUACUAAAAGACUAUCUAAAAAUUGAAGGUUGUUCUAGACAAUUUCCUCUGUUGUUUGGUGAUCUAUGAAGAAGACUAUUGGGCUACCCAAGGAGAUGAAUGAAUUUAGAAUCUAUUUGAAUUACUUUGCGUCUAGCCAAGUGUCAUUAGUAAGUCUUAAGCAUGUUGUAGGUUGCAAAGAGUCAAAGUUCAUGUCUCUAGAUGUUUUAAUGCAUUUUCUAGUCUCUAGGUCUUUAUUAUGUUUUCUAGUUUCCAUGACAUUAAUGUUAGGAAGUUUCUGUGUCUUCAAUGUUUAGUCUAUUUCCUAGGUAAUAAUCCCUUUAUAUAAUGAGGCGAAUUCUAAAAUAUAAGAAGAUGAAUUUUGAGUAAAUGAAUACUUGACAUUUUCCUCUAGGAGAAUAUCUUUUGAGAGUAAAUUAUUCUUGGUUUUUAUAUCCUUGGAAGGUGGAUUUUUCCUAGGUGGUGAGCCAAAAAAAGCACUGUAUUCUUGGCUGGUGGUUUUCCUAUAGGCCUUGGUGGUCAACUUCUUCAAUCCCAAAGUCUUGUAUCAUUGGCUAGUGAUUUCUGUAGGCAUUGGCCGUGAGCUUUGUUUAUCUCCAUCUUGAUCCUCAGUUGGCAGCACGUCUUGUACACCUUGGUUCCGAUAGUCUUCUAUCAUUCAUUUUGCAAUUACCCAUCAACAUUCAUCCCCCAUGUACUCACCCAUCUUCAAUAAUCACUCAAAACAACACUCGUCCAUCCCGCAACCACAUCAAGUUGGUAUCAAAGCUGACGAUUGAACUCAUUUUGAGUGAUUUCUUCCAUUACCUAUCUUGCAUCUUUUCUCAUAUUUACAUACAAAAAAAUAUAAUAGAAAGAAAGAAAUGUCUGGCCAUCAUCAACGUAGACCAAACAUUGAAUCACCUAUAGCAUGAGAAAGAAGCCUACAAGAUGUAGAAGUAAGAGAUUUAAGGAGGCAAGCGCAAUAACCACAAGAGUGUUUACUAUGCUUCAAACUUCAACAAAUGGAAAGAGACAUCAACCUCAUAGAGAAAUGACUAAAGGGUGGCAAGAGAUUUUUGGCUAAGUCUUCAACUAAAGGUAUGUAUUUCUUCAAAUGUAUUUCUUUGAACCAAGUCAAGAAUUUUUCAAAACAAGAGAAAGAAAUCGAAAAGCCCUUGGAGAUUGUUAAAGAGCUCCCAAAAGAAAUGGAUGGUGAAGAAGAUAGCAAGUUCUUCAAGUGUUACGAAUAUGGGCAUCUACAAGUGGAUUGUCCUAAACGGAAGGUUAUCACCAUUGAGGAAAUUGAGAAGAUUGACUUGGAACUUCAAGAGACUCAACAAGAUUCAUACCAUGAGAGUCCGGAUCGAAUGAGUAAGACCAGAUCAUAGAACAAAGUAAAGGAGGAGAGAUAUUGGUCAUCUACAUUUUAUAUGCCUCAAAGCAUUCUCUCUCAAAGUGCUAAUCAAUUGUCAAAAUAUAUUUGACAUAUUUUCAACUUUUCAGCAUGGUUUGAAUAAAUUUGUUUGUAUGAAGCUAAUGUAUUAUCUAGUUCAUUGGAGAGGCCGUCCUAGAAAUGAAGCAAUGACAAAAUUGAGGACAAAUCUUCAAUAACCUAGGGAGAUUGAUGUGGGAAAAUUGAGCUUCAUCGAUUGAUUCAAGUAGAAGAUGUAUGAUUAUGCAGAAAAGUUGUUGCUUCAAUGGACAAGUUGCCUAUUUCAUAGUUGUUGAUCGGGUAUCAAGACAUCGAUAUGCAAGUUUAUUGUCAAUCCAAAACUACUCAUAGACUAUCUAACAAUUGAACGCUGUUAUGGACAAUUUCCUUUGUUGUUUGGUGAUCUUCAAAGAUGUCCAUUAGAUUGCCUAAGGAGACGAACGAAUUUAGAGUCUAUUUUAAUUACUUUACAUCUAAUCAAGUGUCAUUAGGGAGUCUUAAGUGUGUUGUAAUUUUCAAAGAGUCAAAGUUCAAGUUUCUAGAUGUUUUAAUGCAUUGUCUAGUUCCUAGGUCAUUAUUGUGCUUUUCUAAUUCCUAUAUCUUUAAUUAAUUAGAUAGUUUCUUGUGUUUAAUGGUUAGUCUAUUUCCUAUGUAAUUAUCCCUCUAUAUAAUAAGACGAAUUCUUUAAUGUAAGACAGUGAAUUUGGACUAUAUGAAUUAUUGAGAUUUUCCUUUUUAUGAGCAAAUGUCUUUAGAGAGUGAAUUUGUCACGCCUCGAUCCCCCGAGUGCAUGUCCAUCCCGGCUUGGUCGAUUAAAUAGUGAUGUCCCAGGACGCAUCGCUGACCCAUUCAUUUUAAUGCACAUGUAAAAAUAGAUAAAUAAUCCCCAGACAAUAAUUCAAUGAGAUAGAAAAGUAUGACCAUAUUUUGAAAACCAACACUACAACACACUUAUAUAUAUAACAAACCGAGUCAUAUAUACAAUACAAACCACUCUAAUCACAAGUUUACAAAACAUGGGGCUUUUAACAACUACGGAUCCUCAUCCUCCUCGUCAUCUCCCUUCACACUCCAAUUGGAGCCUUCAGCAGAAAAGGGAUUGCGCUACAGAGGAAAGCAACUUCAUGGAGAAGGGGGCGGAUCUCCCAUGGAGGCUCUUACCGGCCGUUGAGGGCUUCAACCAAAAUUGAGCAGUCUGAAUCAAUCUCUAGAGGGGUAGUCAACGAAGGGAGCUGAAGCACGUACCGGAGAGCACAAAUAAGUGCUUGGGUUUCCGUCUGCUAAGCCGAAGCAACCUGCACAUAUUUGGUAAAUCCAUCCUUCAAAUGCCCAGUAUGGUCUCGACAGAUUACAGCAAUUGGUCCAGUGAUAUCACCGGAGAUGAAAGCCCCAUUUAUGUUGAUUUGAAAGGACUUCGGAGGAGGAGAUCUCCAAAAGCAAUCCAAAGUGUCGCGUUGAUGCCUCUAUCGCAACAGAGACAGAUGGGAGAGCUGAGCAGAUCGAACUUGGGCAGUGGCCGCAAGAACAACAAAAGAUGGAUCUAGGUGGCGGUAUUCCUAGCUUUCCAGAGCUACCAAAAGACUGCUAUAAUAAGCUCCAGGGCAGGUACGAGCUGAUUAUCAAAAAUUUGACUAGCGAGCCAUUCGUUUAUGCGGCGGAUAUUUGUGUCGGAGAAGGAAAUACCUAUUGACGGGUAUAACCAAAUUGCAGAUGUCCAGGGGCAGAACAAGAAGAGGUGCUCAAUCGCCUCCGGCUAUUAGGUGUGACAAAGAGGGCAGAAGGGAUUGAGGCUGAUACGAUAUCGAUAUAGGUUAUCCUUUGUGGGCAAGGCGUUAUGGCAGACAUUCCAGGAGAAAACCCUGAGCUUUGGUGGGAGAUGAAGCUUCCAGAUGCGCUUCCAAAGUUGAGGGGGCGAUUGAUAUGACGAUGAGGCAUGUAAGGUUAGAGACCCUUUUUCUGCUCCUCUGAUAGAAUGAUAGCCACUGUGAAUUGUAUACUGGCCAUUAGUUGCAGCUGUCAAGAUUAGUUUAUCAAUAGUAAGGUUUCGUCGCACUGGAAUGCUGAGUAUGUCAUGUACUGUUUGUACAUCAAAAUAGGUGUUGAGAGUCGUGAUAUCCCAAUUAUUUGAAUUUUGAACUAGUAGAUCAGCCACCAUUCUCGGUUCAUCACGCUAUAUAGGUCCACCAAGAAUGCCCCUAGGAAGCCACCGAUCUUGCCUGAUGUUGAUAUUUGUGCCGUUGCCAACCGACCACUGUAGAUUAGGAAAUAUAACCUCCCUUCCUAACAGUAAGCUUUGCCAGCCCCAAGAAGGGCGAACUCCUUUCCGGGCAUAGCGAAAGUCUUGUGUAGGAAAAUAGAGUGCCUUAAAUAGUUUGCUCCACAGUGAAGACGGCUGUUGGAUGAGACGCCAUGCUUGUUUACCUAACAUGGCUUUGUUGAAAGCCGCCAAAUCUAGAAAGCCUAGUCCUUCCUUCGCCUUAGUUUCUUUCAACACAGCCCAUUGUUUCCAAUGUAUCCCCGUUUUCCGACAAUCAUUCUGCCACCAGAAUCUAGCGAUCUGUUUUUCAAUAGAUUUACAGAUGGAUAUUGGGAUUUUAAAAACAGACAUACUGGGGAAUGGCAUGCACAACAGUUUUAAUAAGAACCUCCUUGCCACCCUUUGAGAUUAGAUUCUCCUUCCAACCCUCCAUUUUCGAGUUCACCCUACCCAAGAUCCAAGAAAAGAGCUCUAUUUUUUAUCUGCCCCAAUCAAAUGGGAUGCCUAAGUAUCUACCCAUUCAUUCCAGCAUAGGUAUUCUGAGUUCAUUAGCCAGGUUAGCUUUAAGAGAGCUCGGGCAGUCCUUACUUAGGAAGAUACUGGACUUGUUUCAGUUGAUGGACAGACCCAAAGUGAAGCAAUAUUGAGACAGAAUGCUUGCUAGGUUAUGGCAGUCAGCAGUGGUGCCAUUUACAAAGAAUAUGGCAUCGUCAGCAAAGAACAAAUGAGAGAGAGUAGGACUAAACCUAUUAAGUUUAACACCUUUGAGCUGUCCCAUGUCGAUGGCUCUAUGAAUGAGAGUGGAUAAGAGAUUCGUCAAGAGGAUGAAGAGGUAAGGGGAUAAAGGAUCCCCUUGACAUAUACCGCGAGUAGGGCGAAAAUAAUCCAUCUGUUGGCCAUUAAACUUGAUACUGAUAGAUACGGUUGAGAUGGAUUGGAAAAUCCAUUGAGCCCAUUGGGGAUGGAAGCCAAUCUUGUGUAGGUAGGCUAUCAAGAAGUCCCAUUACAUCCUAUUGAAAGCUUUCUGCAUAUCCAUACGAAUGAUUGCCAAGAAGUUACGCCGGCGCUUUCUGACUUUGAUCUGAUGGAUAAUCUCCUGAACCACCAAGAUAUUGUCUUGUAUUUGAUGCCCACUAACAAAUGUUGAUUGUUCAGGUGAAAUCAGUUGUGGCAAUAUAGGUUUCAGCCGAUUAGCUAGGACCCUGGAGAUGAUCUUAUAGGCAAAAUUGCAUAGACUAAUAGGACGGUAGUGAUCGAGACUCUGUGGUAGGGGGAUCUUUGGUACUAAAGUAACAGUAGUCUGGUUGAGAGCCAAGGGCAUUUUAUCGAAAAGGAAAAACUGAUGGACUAAAUGGAACACUACAUCUGUGAGAGUAUCCCAGUUGGAUUGAUAAAACAGUCCAUUCAGGCCAUCCGGGCUCGGGGCCUUGUUUUCGCCUAGCUAAAAAGUUGCUGCACGGACUUCAGCCUUAGUUACUGAGGCGGUGAGAGCCAUAUUCAUUGCAGGGGUGACUAAGCAGGAGCACUGGUCGAGGAUUGGACCAUAAUCACGAAACCCAACUGAUUGAUAUAGGUUUGAGAAAUAAAGUUGAGUCUUGUCCUUUAAUAUAGUUUCAUCUCUAACCCAGCCGUGAGCCUCAUCGAGUAACAUUGUAAUAUGAUUACGCUGCCUUCUUUGGAUGGUUGUGGCGUGGAAGAACUUAGUAUUUUUAUCGCCCCAUUUCAACCAUUUGAUUCGCUAACAUAUAGCCUAGAAUUGCUCUUCUUGUUGCCAAAGCUACUGAAUUUCUGAUUUAAUUAUUGUUGCUUCAUGUCUGUCAUAGGGAAUAUCCAGCCGAUUUGUGAUCUGUUGAAGUUUAUAUUGCAGUUCGCAGAUUCUCUUGUUAGCAUUUGAGAAGGUCCAGUGGCUCCACGAGGAAAGUGCGAGACUGACUUUUUUAAAGAGGUAUGGUAGAUCAUGAUGUGCAUUGAUUGGUUGCUGCAAAACAGUGGAAAUAACCUUGCUACAGUUCGGGUGUUGUAGCCAAAAGGCUUCAAAAAUGAAGGGGCAGGCUUGCCUGGUUUUGGAAGCUGCAGUAUUCAGUAGGAUCGGGCUGUGAUUAGAACCCACCGCCGGAAGAGCACUGACAACAGCAUCCGGGAAGGCUAUUCGCCAUUCAAAGUUGCAUAGAGAUCUAUCCAAGCGCUCCUUAAUACUGUCUUCGCCUUGACGGUUAUUCAUCCAGGUAAAUGCACAUCCUUUGCUCUCCAUAUCAAUCAAGGAGCAAUCGUGUAAUACCUCGCGAAAAGAGGACAUACAAUGAAAAUUAGCUAACUUUUUCCCUACUUUCUCCCAGUGGUAAGUGACUUCAUUGAAAUCCCUUACACAGAGCCACGGUAAAGAGUUGGUUAAUGCAAUCCGUCGAAGAACCUCCUAGAACUGCUGCCGAAGUCGAAACACUGCCGACGCAUGGAUAUAGGUUAUACAUCUUUUAGGUUUAGAGGAGGAGAUUUUGGGAGUGGAAAAUGUUUUUUUUUUUUACCAAAAUACAAAGGAUUCGAUUCCUGUGGAAAUCGAAGCGAUCACAGGUCAGUUCGUGGAAAUUGAACGUUUCAAUGCGCGUACGUACCUGGAAAUUUUGCUGUCGUGUCCUGCAUCAAGCGGAUCUGAUUGUAAACCGUCUAAUUUUGACUUUAAUCAGAUCGCUAAUGGACUUCACAAGAAAAAAACAACACUCCUAAUCAAUCCCCCCGCGACCCGUGAAACGUACACAGCACGCCUACCACCACCCCGGCAACUGACACGUCAGCACACGCUCACCGCACUCUCCGGUGUUCUCUCUCCAUUGUCGUCUUCCGCAGGGAAAUAUUGAAAUGCAGGAGAUGGCUACGUCUAUCCACGAGAAAUCUGCUGCUUUGUUUCGUGCGAUGGAGGUUCUCCCCGUGCAAACAAUUACCUCUUCUUCUCCUUCUUCUUCCUUGUGCUCUGAAGCACGCCGCGAGGAAUGUUCUUGACGUGAGCGGCGUACUCCACACGAUUGUGAACCGUAUCAUUGGGGUGAUCUAGUGCUUUCUGCUUAGACUGCAAUUAAGUCUUGUGCAGCUUGGAGAGGAAUGAUAUGGAUGUCACGCCAGCCAAUAUAGAAGAAAAUUAUUAAAAUAUAUUUAAAGCUAUAUGUUGGAUGUUGCAAUUAAACUCUAAUAAGUUGUUUUAGAAACUUUACAAAAAUAAAAUUAGGGAAAAAGAAUAAGAAAACUUAAAGAGAAAAUCAUGCUCCAGAAUCGACUCCAUCAAUUUUUGCAUUCAGCUACUUCAUUUCACAGCCAUAGCUGGUGCUGGUUCUUAAGCUUCCAUGGCGACGAGAUCUCUAUUCUUGCUCAAAUCCGCCAUUCACUAGAGGUUCACCACCUCGUGGCCAAAGGCCAAAUACCGCUUCCUCCUUCGAUCUUCUUUGACGAUGUGGGCUAUAAUCAUUGUCUCAGAUCUGUGCCAGGGUCAUCAUUUGUCGAGAUCUGAGCAAGGGUUGCAGCCGUAAUUGUCGGAGGAGCGAGAGUGGCUAGUGGGAAGGUCCCUGUUGAUGAGUGACGUGGGUGGCUCACUUGUCUCCCACACGCUUACUUUAUUUUUAUUUUCAAAAUGCGAAGGUGCUAGCCUACGUAACACCAACAUGCGACACAUGACACGUCACGACACGAUACGUGAUACGUCAUUUCUCAAAAAGUAGAGAAUUCCGACACAGUUGAAUACGUUAAAUAUUAAAUAAAUAUUUUUAUAUGUACAUGAUUAAUUAUUAUAUUUAAAUUAAUUUAUUGAAAUUCAUAAAUAAAUAAACAAUAAAAAAGAGCCUAUAAUAAAUCUAUACUAAUAACAUUAAUAAAUUUAUUCAUAAAAAAUUGGAAAGACAUUUUUUUUACUUUAACAAAAGUUAUCGAUGAAAUAAAUAACUAAUGAAAUAUUAGAGUCAAAAUAAAUUUACAUUUUUCUACGAUGAUCCAAAUUUAUCAUUUUUUAAUAUCUAGUGCUUUUAUUUUUUGAAGUAACUUUUUAACCUGUCUAUUUAUUUAUUUUUUAGCCUUAUCAUGUAUUAAUAAAGUUAUUUAAUUUUUAAUAUUUCUUUUUAGGGUUAAAUGGGUCUCACCCAUUUAUUUCAGCACGUGUUUUCUUCCCCCACCCCCACCCACCCCUGUGCCUGUCACUUCCCCUGCACGGGGCUUUCUUUCCCUAGAAGCCUCGUCUCUCUCCUUUCUCUUCUUCCUAAAAACAGCCCAAAUGACAAAAACCCUAGCAAUCACCUUCUUUCUCCUCUCCCUUUGCUCGGUCUCCACCUCACUUUGUUGCUGCCUUGCAUCCGUUCUCUCCUUUGCCAUCGUAGCCUCGCAUCUAGCCCUCCAUCGCGAUGUUGCGGUUUUCCAUCUCGGCGUUGCAGACGGCGGUCGUAGCCGACCAAGAUGAUCGAGAAGGCUUCUUGGCGUAGUCGGCAGUCGCACCCUUCUCCACGUUGUAGUCGGCGUUGCAGUCAGCGGUCGCAGCCCUCCCUCACCAUCGCUUGCAGCAUCACCUCGGCUCCCUCACCCUUGCCUCCACCCUCCAUCACCUUCUUCCCUUCGCACCUGCAGAUCCGCCCACAAACCUCUGGACACGCUCUGACACGCGUGUAGAAAAGAGUUGACCACGUGUCGAAAACUUCGACACGUGUUGACCAUGUGUCCGAGCGUGUCUGAGCGUGUCCGAGCGUGUCAGACAUGUGUCGGGGUGUCCAACACGACACGGAGGCUCUUUGAACGUGUCCGUGUUUCCUUGGUGGUAGCAAGGGCCACAAUAGCUUACCUAAGUCUGGUGUGGGACGUCGGCCCCUCGCUGAUGCAUGGGUGGUCGUUAAGUCGCCACCACCUUUACUGCAUCUAUGCCAUCCUUCUCAGCUUCUCCCGUGUUUGAUUCUCCUUUUUUUUUUCAAUUUUUUAAUUCAAUUUUUUUUUAUUUUUCUAAAAUCUCGAAAUCAAUUAUUUUCCUUUUUUAUUUCGUUUAUUUUUUUUAAUAUCUAACGCGGCAACUUCAUCAACACAUCUUUCUUAAAAAAAAUGGUAAAAAAAAGUCGCAUCAACUUCUUCUGAUAACUAAAUGGGAUGGAGUUAAUAUAGAAACUUGAGUGAACUGAUUUGAAAUCUUUUAAGACUUUAUUGUACUUUUUUUUAAUCAAGUUUAAGGAUUUGAUUAUACUUUCAUAAUAAGUUUUAGGACGUGUAAUACGCUAAUACCAUAAAAAUAUAGAGCAUUUAGAGCUUAUAAAGGAUCAAUGGAGCAUCACGUCAAUAAUUUAAUAAAAAUCCUGUGGACACCCGUUGGAGCAUGGAAACCUAACAUACUCAACUUUGAACUUUGAUUCUAUGCUCGGUAAACAGACCAAGACCGGAUACCUCUUGGGAUGUCAAGGUGAUGAAGAUUAGAGAUGGAUGAACUUGAAUGGAGCUUGGUUUACUCACAAAUUGGGCUGCAUAGACACGCUCUUGCUUGGGUCAUCACUGUUGAUACCUAAAUUUUUGCCUAUUAUACUUUUCAAAACAUUUUCAUAAAAUUAGGGAUUUAAUUUAUUAACCUUUAGCAACUAACAGUUAUGCUUCUCCCUACAGUUCAAAGCAAUUAAGGGGAUCGGGAUUUUUGCUACAUCGUGGGAGUUCAAAUUGGCGAGAACAUUGAAGCCUUCAACAUCAUUUUCUUCACCUCGUUUUUUCAUCUUGGGGAUUAAUUUUAUUGACGAGAGACACCUCGUAUUUUUACAAUGUUUACGUGCAAUAAAUUUCUACUUCGCCGCUAGUAAGAUUUGAACUCUUUCGGCAGCAUGCUGGGGUUAAAAUCCCUCUACUGACAGUUCCCUUUGCUGGGCGAUAUGUAAUUCCAUUAUAAAACUUUCUAAACCCGUGUUAUGCCCUAACCAUAACAUGGAGUAAUUACCCUUCCUCUUAAACUUUUUAUCAUAUCUGAAUAAAAUAAAAUAAAAUAAAAAAUUUGCCUCGCCAGGUGCAUUAAGAGCAUUUAUCUACUUCCAUAAAAUUAGUGCGAGUAGACUAUUCCAAAGCGAAACAAACAAAAGACGAAGACCUUGACCCAAACAUCAUCCGUCCUAUCUAAUACAAAUGACAUGAGAAUGAUAACGAACGACCAUAGCUGACAAAAACAACUAACCCUUUAAGCUUCUGAUGCAAAUCGAUGUUAGGUUUGGAUCUUUAGGGUCUUUCCAAUGAUUUUAUCCUCAAUUUUCUCGAACCAUAUAGCCAACAAAAGAGCUCCUCUUCCCAUUUCCCGGAACCCGAAGGCGAACUUGCCUAACGGAGAAAGCCAGGAAGAGUUCCUGUCAUUCGCUGUUAAGGAGGAGCCAGCUUUGGCAGAAAGUGGAAGUGGAACGAGUAUUGGAAGGAUUUCUAACACUGAAGCUGAUGGAAGUAAUUUGAAGGUGAAACACUCACAACUCAUGUAAGGAAGAGAAGAAAAUAUAUAGGCAUGUAGAUUUAUUUCGCCUUAACAAAAAACAAUUAUAAGACUCCCUUAUUUAUAGACUUGUUACAUAACCUUUACUCUUCUUAAUAGAAGAAGCUAGUGUUCUAUAUAAGAUCUAGAAACUAAUAAAACAAUCACCAUAUCUCACCUUAUCUCUAAAAACAAUUACUAUUUCUAAAAACAAUCACCACACCUAGAAAUAAGAUUAGACUAAUUAAAGAUAACGCUGCGAUUAUGACUCUUUUUCAAUGCGGGUACCAAACAAUUAUCUGUACCAAUGAAUUUGGUUUAAUUUCUACUCCCCCUUAAACCAAAUUCUCUUCCAUCGAUCAUUCCAAGAAGGCUCUUGAACUUUUGCAAAAGUAUCAAUCUAGAGAGAUUUGGUAAAAAUGUCUGCUGCUUGAUCUCCCAUCUUCACAUGCAACCCUUCAACCUCAUUCUCUUUAACAUGUUCUCAAAUGAAUUGAUAUCGAGCAUCAAUAUGUUUAUUUUGUUCAUGAAAAAUUGGAUUUUUCGCUAAUGCAAUAACAGAAACGUUAUCAACAAAAAUCCCAAUUGCUUUCUUCUGCUAAAUAAGAAUAUCUUUGAGUAGUCUUCUCAAUCAAAUUGCAUGACAAACACAUAAGGAUACAGCUAUAUAUUUAGCUUCGCAUGUUGGUAGGGUGACACUAGGUUGCUUCUUUGAUGACCACGUGAAUGCAAUGUCACAUAAGAAACAUACAAAGCUUGUAGUGCUCUUUUGAUCGUCGAUAUCUCCACCAUAAUCACUAUCUAAUUAAGCUCUAAGUUGAAAGGAUUCAAAGCAAAAGUAGUGUAGGCCAUGAGAAGUAGUACCUUUGAUGUACCAAAGUAUCCUCUUUACAACUUUAAGAUGAGAUGACUUUGGCUUCUCCAUAUAUCAACUCACAAUUCUAACCCUAUACAUAAUAUUAGGUCUUGUGCAUGUCAAGUAUUUCAAACUCCCAAUCAAGCUUCUAUAAUAUGUCGAAUCAACAUCGACACCGUCAUCAAACUUUGAAAGCUUGGCUCCACACUCCAUUGGUGUAUUGACCGGAGUACAAUUCUUCAUGUUGAAUUUUUCAAGGAUAUAUUCUACAUAUCCUUUUUGGGCAAUAAAAAUCCCCUGGGCACUUGCUUCACUUCGAUCCAAGGAAAUAAUUCAUGAGACCAUUAUCGGUCAUCUCAAAUUCUUUCACCAUCGAUGCCUUAAAAGCAUCAAUCAUUUUUGGAUUAUUUCCUAUAAAAACAAUGUCAUCAACAUAUAAACAGGCGAGAAGAACAUCGCAUUUUUCUUUCUUCAAACAAAGUGCAUGUUCAUAUGGACAUUAAGAACAUCGAUUCACCGUGAAAUAUGCAUUGAUUAUGGAUUCCAUGCUCCCGGUGCUUGUUUAAGUCCAUAUAGAGCUUUCUUCAACUUUAAAACUUUGUUUUCAUGACCUUUGACAACAAACCCCUCAAGUUGUUCAACAUAAAUCUCUUCUUCAAGGAUGUCAUUCAAAAAUGCCGAUUUGACAUCCAUUUGAUAAAUUUGCCAAUCAUUUUGAGUAGCGAUAAAAAUAAUCAAUCUAAUUGCUUCCAUGCGGAUGACAGAGGCAAAAACUUCAUCAUACUCGAUUCAAGCUUUUUGCUUCUACCCCUUCACGACUAAUCUAGCCUUGUAUCUUGUCACUUCUCCUUUCUCGUCCUCCUUAGCCUUGUAUACCCAUUUGACUCCAAUCGAUUUCUUGUCCUUUGGUAGAUCAACAAGCUCCCAUGUUUGAUUCUUCUCAAUGGCUUCAAUUUCUCCAUUCAUGGCUUUUCUCCAUUUUUCUUCUUUGGCCACAUCAUCAUAGACAGCCACAUCAUCAUAGACAAGUGGUUCACAAUCUGCAAGAAGAUAUACAAGGUGAACCUCGUCAGUAGCUUCAUAAAUAUCAGACAAUCUCCUUGAUCUUGGCACUAGAGGUUCAUCAACAUCAUUUGAAGAGGUAGGUGAUGAUGAACUUGGAGAAGAUACUGGAGAAGAAGGUGUAGAAUGAUAUUUCAACUCCGUUUGAUCGAUAUCACCACGAGCAUUCACUUCUUCUUUUUGAUUGUCUUCCCAUGAGCCAUCUUCAUCGAACUUGACAUCUCUGCUUAUAUACACUUUCAAAGUGUUAGGAUCAAAUAAAAGGUAGGCUUUGGAUGAGGAGUCAUACCCAAUAAAGAUGAGCUAUUUGCUCUUGUCUUCCAGCUUUGAUCUUUUCUGGUCUAAGACACGAGCAUAGGCAAUGCUCCCGAAAAUUCUUAAGUGUGAAACACUUACUGUUCUCCUGGUCCAUGCUUCUUGUGGAGUUACGCCUUCAAUUCCAUAUGUGGAUAUCUAUUUUGAAGAUAGACAAUACAUGAAACAGCUUCAGCCUAAAGCCCCUUGGGCAAAUUUUUGCUCUUCAACAUGCUUCGAACCGUGCUAAGAAUGAUUAUAUUUUUUCAUUUAGCUAUACCAUUUUGUUGAGGAGAAUAUGGAGCCAUCAAGAAACACCGAAUACCAUGAUCCUCAUAGAAUUUGUUGAAUAUAGCUGAGGUGAAUUCUCUGCCACGAUCAUUUCUUAAAGCUUUGAUAAAACAAUCACUCUCCUUCUCAGUCAGGUUUUUGAAUUGUUUGAAAGUAUCAAACACUUAUGUUUUUUCUUUCAAAAAAUACAUCCAAGUUUUCCGAGUAAAAUCAUCAAUAAAAGUAACAAAAUAUCGAUGAUUACCAUAUGAGUGAGGAGUGAUUGGGCCACACACAUCAGAAUGAAUCAACUCAAGCGGUUUCUUCGCUCGAUAAGUCACUUCCUUCAGAAAGCUAGUUUUAGAAGAUUUACUGAUAACAUACCCUUCACAUAAUUGAUCGGGAUCAUCAAUAUGUGGUAAGCCAUAAACUAUCUUCUUGCGAGAAAGCAAAUUGAGUCCGCCAAAAUUGAAAUGGCCGAACCUUAAAUGCCACAACCAUGAAGGAUUAUCUAUGCAUGCCUUCAGACAUCAAUACGUAUCAUUAUUUAUAUUGAGAGUAAACAUCUUGUUCUUCGACAUCUUCACAUUCACAAUCAAUUCAUUAUUCCUGUCUCUUAGCAUAAGACUAAGAUCUUUCAUAUGAACAAUAUAGCCUUUCUCCAAAAGCUAUUCCAAACUCAAAAUAUUGCUUGACAUUUUCGGGACAUAAUAAACAUUAGUAAUAAACUGACGUGCACCAUUUUUCAAGUGAAUCAGAAUUGUACCUUUUCAUUUGACAAGAAUUUUGGAGUUGUCACCAAAAGAGACUUUACCUUUAAUUGUCUCAUCUAAUUUGUUAAACAUCUCUUUUCUCCCAAACAUGUGAUUGCUUGCGCCGGUAUCCAAAUACCAUGUAUCAGUUUGGCCUCCUUCAUUUCCGCUACUUUCCUUGUUCCAACUGUUAGAAGCAUAAUGGCCAAGUUUAUCACAAUGAUAACAUCAAAUUUUAGAUUUAUCAUGCCAUUGGCCUAUCGAGUUCUUUCCUUUUCCAUGAACACGUCUUUGAUAUUGGUAGCUACCAUCACUUGGAGCAACAUCUCCUCUACUUCGUCCACGACCUCUUCCUUGAAAGCAACCUCAGCCUCAACCACGAUCACAAUCUUGGUUUGUCCUACGAAUUUGUGUGAGUUCUCUAAUUUGUUCCUUCUCAUCUCGGAUGGUCAACCACGUUUGGAGAACUUCCUCCACUAGUUCAAUCUUUUUUUUCUGAACCUUUCUUCAUGAGCUUGUCAUGAACCCAUAAGCUUAUCGAUCAUAAUGGCAAUCCAAAUCUCUAGAUUCUUCAAUUGCAACAGCAAUGUGGUCGUACUUCUUGUCUAAGGACUGAAAUAUUUUCUUGGCAACACGAACUAUUGAAAUGUCUUCUCCGUUUCUUUUCUUCUAGUUGAUAAUCCCAAAACUAUUGUGAAAUAAUCAGAAAUCAAUUCAGAUUCUUUCUUAUGAAUUACCUCAAAUUCGCCUCUCAAGGUUUGAAGGUGAAUCUUCUGAACUUUUUGUACUCCUUGAUGUGUAUUGUGAAGAAUCUCCCAUGCCUCCAUAGCAAUGGUGGCAUUCGACACAUUUUCAAACAUAGAAUCAUCUAAAGCUUGAUACAUAUUUGACAGGGCAUAUUGAUCUUUUGAACAAACCUUCUCCAAGGCAUUCAUCUGGUUCUGGUUUAAGGUAGCUUCAUCCUCUAGCUCAUCAUAACCAGUGUUGACAAGUUCUCACAUGCCGUAAGGGCUGAGUAGAGCUUUCAUUCUAACAGCCCAGUUAUCAUAGUUGUCUUGGUAAGAUGAGGGUAUUGAAGAGGAAGCUGAUUGUUUGUUGAUGCCAUGAUCACAAACCGUAGGCUCUGAUACCAAUUUGCUUGAAGUAAUUUGAAUGUGAAAUGCUCACAACUCAAACAAGGAAGAGAAGAAAAUAUAUAGGCAUGUAGAUUUAUUUCGCCUUAACAAAACACAAUUACAAGACUCCCAUAUUUAUAAACUUGUUACAUGACCUUUACUCUUCCUAGUAGAAAAAGCUAGUGUCCCAUAUAAGAUCUAGAAACUAAUAAAAUGAUCACCAUAUCUCACAUUAUCUCUAAAAACAAUCACUACACCUAAAAAUAGAAUUAGACUCAUUAUAGAUAAUGAUGAACAGAUUCAUUAAAGAUAACAUUGCAAUUAUGACUCUUUUUCAAUGUGGGUACAGGACAAUUGUUUGUACCAAUGAAUUUGGUUUAAUUUCUAACAAAAACCACGUUAGAUGAAACUUGUGUUCUCCUUGAGUUGAGCUACUUCAGCCUUAUGAACGAAAUCAGCAUUCUUUAUAGAUUUCCACUUUGUAUCCUACUUUUGUCUCUCCCACAGCUAGUUUGAACCAAAUUUGUGGACAGACUUUGCUCAUCUCAACACGUAUAUCUAGAAUUAUCUUAUGAUAGUAUUCCUUGUUUUUGUUUCUUUUUUGUUGAAGCAUAUUAUUGGUUCUAUUAACAUAUUCAGUAAAGUUUACGAAAAAUUAUCUUAUAAUAGUAUCACUGAUGUUAAAAUUUUCUGAUAAUAACAUAUUUGUAAAUUUAUUUUUCCUCAUUUUUUUUCAUUUUUCCCUUUCUUAUUGAAAUCAAUGGUGAAAGAAAAUUUUCAAAAAUUAAAAUACAGCGAGUCUGCACCACUUGCCGGGUUCCCGAUAUUUUCCAAAGAAAAGCAUGAAUUUGGAAGACUUUGACCAAACGUGGUACAUGUUAAGUUGGAGAUUUUAUGAGUUAUGGAGAACAAGUCAGGGCUCGCAGUUGAUUCAGUCCCUACUAAUUCAAACCGAUUACUGAGUUACUUUGUCGAAAUUGUGUUUCAAUCAUAAUCAUAGAUAUGCUCCCACGUACUUGGAAAUUUGCUUUGUCGUCCUGCAUCUGGCAUGCACUCAAUGAUUGCGGACUGUGGUCCAUGGCAUUAUGGUGAUUUAAUGCUUAGACUGGGAUGGGUCUUUGUGCAACUUGAAAAGGAAUGGUUACAGCAACGAUUAAUGAACAUAAUUCUACAAAAAUUCUACUAAAGUUUGCAUAUAGUAUUUCUGGGUUUAGAAACUCCUAUAUGUUUGAUUAAAUGGAUGUCGUGGUGACAUGACAAUAUCUUGUUCUCAUGGACUUAACGACAUUAUGCAAAAUUACCACAUCUAAAAGCUAUUUGGUUUACAUCAUGACCCAAUUGCACUUUUGUAAUAUGUUUAGAACUUUCGGUAUAUUUAUCCUCUAAAAAUAUAGAGCAUUUAGAGCUUAUAGAUGAUCAAUGAGCUGUCAACAACUUUAAAAAGAUCUUACGGAUGCCCAUUGGAGAGAGGUAAGGUAAAUACUCAACCUUAAAUUUCGAUUAGUGCUCUGUAUCUAAUAAACGAACCACAAACAAAUACCUUCUAGGACAUCAAGAUGAUGAAGAUUUGAGAUGGAUGGAUUUGAACAGAGCUUGGUUUACUCACACUGGCUUGACAUGAUUUUUGCUUGGGGACUCAUUGUUGACACCUAAAAUUAGGGAUUUGAUCUAUUGAUCCUUAGCCAAAAAGCUUUGCACUAUAUUUCAUAGCAAAUUAAGGGGACUGUUAUUUUUGCUACAUCAUGGGAGACUCGACUUGAUGAGAACAUUGAAGCGUUUGAUAUCAUUUUCUCUCACAUCAUAAACACAGUGGUUUACAAAUAUUUGCCUUGGGGAUUAUUUUUAGUUCUAAUUUGCAUCAUCAAAAAUCCAAAUAAUUUAACGUGAACCAACCACAUGAAGAUGGAAUUGGGCCACAUGCUCUUAAAUUGAGCGUGCAUUGUUCGGAGAUCUUAAUAUUGGAGGAACAAGGAGGAAGUAUAUGCAUUGGAUGGAAUGGCUUUAUGCAUGCAUGCAAAGGGAACGAGCUCCUAAUUGUCUAAUAAAUGAGGGUUUUAAUGUGAGCUUAUGCUGAAAUGUGCUAAUGGUGUUGAAGAUCGUGUUUCAGCGUGUAGUAUUCAUUGAAUAGUCGGAUAAUGAAAAUAUAUCUACUGCCGCGGCGCUGUAGAUGAAAUCAUACUGUACUUUUGUUAAUAUGGCAAAGAAAAGAAUACCUUUCACUCGGGAAAAAUCAUCACUCGCAUGAUUUUAAACAUGACAAUGCUCGGCCAAAGUGAUAAUAAUUAUUAUCAUCAACACAAACUAAAAAUUAAUAAAAUCAAAUUGUAAAAGGAUCAGUGUGACAAAAUUUUAUUGACUAUUUCAAAACAAAAUCGAGAAAAUGGUGCGCGUUGCAAAGUGCGAGUUUCUCGCCAGUGUAACAAAUGGACAAGUAACCUAAACUUGGAUAUUUGAUCGUUUGAUAUUUCGUUCAAUUCAAUCCUCUCCCUUCAAAUAAACUUUAGGACGUUAUAUAUUGGGUUUCUGGGGUUAACUUUUAACAUUUAUGUUAAUGAGCUCAAAUCCGCGCACCUAUAUUGCAUAAUAUGUGAUAUGAAUUCGAACCCAUUAAGCUUCUGGUGCAUAUUCAUUGUUCGAUUUUUGAUCUUCGGGAUCCGUCCCUUUGUCUUGUCUUGGUAUAUUUUCAGUUUCGUCCUGUUUGAACCCGUUAUCGAACGGCAUCGAUUGUAGCUCAUCGAGUUAUUUAUACAAGAUCUCCGUUGACCAUUUUGGAAGAGAAUAACUAUGCUUAACAAAUUUUCUGCAUGGCGUCGCAUCUCGCAAUUUCUCAACGGAUGAGUCAAGAAGAAAGUUCGUUUGAUUAUGCUUCCAACUGCGUGACUUAUAGACUGUGAUUUCUUUGAUCUAUAAGAAGUAGGUUGCCAAAAGGAAGUGAGAGUCCCUUCUGUAUGAUAAAAUUAGCAGCUGAACUGUUGAAAUUGGGAUUUCCAGGCACCUAUCCACGCCUUGAGGAUCAGCAAGUUUCAUGCGGUUCUCAUCAUCUAAUUUAGCAGACAAGAUCUGUUUUGCUUGGAUCAAGUGAAAACACUGUUCUAGUGCGUCGAAUGCAACUUUGAUGAAGCAAUAUUGUCGAUGAAAAUGCUUUAAUGCAGCCACGUUAGUUUUUCCAUGACACACAGGAAUAUGAUCCACGGAGAAUUCCUAAGAGAGUCAACACAGUAAUGCCCAUGACUUCAAAUUUUUUAGUGAUGAUUUUGCAUCAUUUGAUAUAGUUAUUUGACCAGUCAACAAUCUAAAUCUCUCUUCAAAAUGGCAUGUGGUCUCGCUUGCAAUCCCUUUUGCUAACAAUCGUCAACCCGUUCUCUCUUGGAUACAUGCGAGGGAAUGUUAAGCUUGAGUAAGAUUUAGCUUAUUUAAGCGGGAUCCAUGUGAACUCAUUAUGAAAAAUUUUAUUCUGGCGUAAUAGCAAUUACAAACGAUACAAAUACUUUUCACGAUUACAAAGACACCAGUUGUCUUAAUAAGAAAAAUCAAAUUCAACUGAUAAAAGAGCUUGGAUCUGGAGGGACUGAGACUUCAACAGCUCCUUCCAACAACUGAGUGAUUUUCUUCAUGUUUGGCCUCAAUGCUGGGUCUUCCUGGAUGCACCACAAUCCUGCCAUCACAAAUCUUCUCACCCUCCUUAUGUCGCUUUAUGCCUACUUGUCACUCUCCACUAGCUGAAGCAUGCUCUCGUUGUGGUAGCAGUCAUACACCCAGUCCACCAGCACAAUUCGAAUUAUCUAUCCUUACCUUGAUCAGAGCUUUUCCACCGACAUUAGUAUCCAUCAUACCAUUUAAAAGAGGGAUCUUCUUUUUCCAGCAUUUUCCGUUUUUGAAAACAGCGACCGUGCAAAAACAAUCAACCGAGCAAGCCUCUCGGCACCAGUCCUCAGUUUGUGACGCACUAAUCUCAUAAUCUGACUCUGGCCAGUCUGUAUUGAGCAUGUCACGCAAAGCAAACUGGUCUUUUUCAGGCCUACUUCCAUCACAGCUCUGUGAUACGAAGUCCUAUAUUAAUCCAUUCAUCUCGAUUGUAAAAUCUAACAAAGCAUAUCCAGGUGGGCAGUGGCACUGGGGCCUCUGAAUUUGAUCGUCUCCACGAGUACAGUAGCUGUUGAAGCCACAAGUUCCAAUACCAGUACCUCAGUUCAUCCGCGCGCAUAUAUUUGAAAGGACCAAGGAAGAUUAUGAUGCUAGUAAGAACACCUUGAGAGGAUGAAUAGGUGUUUGAAAGGAAUCUUGACAAAUAAUUGCGGAAUAAAUAAGUCACCAGCAAAGUAUGGAUGAAGAACAUAACCACGAUGCAUUUUUUGAGAUGAUCACGAUUCUCUCCCUUUCUUUUGGAUUCACUUUCUCCCCCUAUCACCAUGACAAUAUUUGUGAAUAGCACUUAUUGUGGCUUGUGCAUGUUGAAUAGAAUAUUUUUCCAUUGCUUUGCUCUUAGCAACAACAUCUGCAGCGAUUGUUUGCUUUUUGAAAUUCAUGGUAGAGAUUUGUCUUCUUCAAUCAAGCUUGUCUCAAAUUUAAUUUGCAUAAACCCAACAAACUUUUUGCACAAAUACGCUGUUAUAAUAUCCACAUAAUAUAUAAUGUCAUGUCUUCAAAUAAAUAAAUUGAAUAGCAUAUAUAAGAUUAUCAAAUAUUUAAAUUCAAAGCUACUCAACAUUUUGUACGACGCAUUAGGGACCUACUCAAUAAUUUAUGAGAAAUUUGCACAAGGAGAACUUUCAAGCCUCCAAAAAAUAGUAUAGAAUCUCCACAAUUUUUUAAUUAAGCUUUCCAAACUUAUUCUUCUACCACAUGCAAAUUAUUGCAUAAUGGAUAACAAUCUUUGUAAAAAUAUCAUGUAAUACCUUCGUUCAAUUUGUGGAUCAAACUUGCUAAAUAUAAGAUAUCUUUUAAGAAUGCAGUAAGAGUAUCCAUGAAUAUGCAAUAAUAUCUUUCAUGAUUAAAGGGAUUUCCUUAAGCAUAAAUCUCAAAAUCAUAUUAUUGAUGCAUUUCGCAAAAGGAAAACAAAUAUUUCUAUCAUGUGCCAAAUCAAGCAAUAAAAAUAAAUAAAAAAAUGCAAUGCGUUCUGUUUAUGACAAGAGAUAUUUGCAAUGUAAAUCAUAUAUAAUUCAUAGAAAUCAUCUAAAAUCUUCAUAAAUUCGAAUAGAAAUUUGAAAGGCAAGAUGAUAGAUGCGAAAUUUUAUAUUCUAUUACCCAAGGUAUACGUUUGAGAUAUACCAUUGAUUUAAAAAUGAUCAUUGCCAAUUUUCAAAUGAAAUACUUUUUUGAUUGCACCAUGAUUUGCAUAGAAUUCCAAUCAUUCUUCCUUCAUGGAGUUUCCUGCAAUAAACUUAUUUCCUUUCCGGUAUCCAUGUAUUUGGAUCAUUCCUUAAGGUUAGAGAAAAAUAUGCAAUCUUCAUAAAUAACCAAAUAUUCUUUCUAAACUCAUCAUGAUAGAGUAUUUAAGAAAGAAUAUAUUGCAUGAUGAAUUAAUAUCUCGUAAAACAGAUUUUCACUUAGCAAAAUAUGACAAAAUCUGAAAGCAUAAAAUCAAACCAAAUAAACUCAAUUGUCCCUAAGCAAGAUAUCAAAAAUAAUCACAUGUAUUCAAUCAAAUCCCAUCUUACAAAUCACCAAAAAAAUCACAUGAUUUUUCCUUCAACCAAUCAUAGAAUAUAGUCAUAAUAAAGUAUGAACCAACCAAGGCACAAAGAGGAUAUAACGAAUAUCAAAUAUAAAGAGAAUUUAUAAAAAAUUAAAUUAUGUACCCAAACCAAAUUGAGAAUUAAAAGAAAAAAUACCUUUCUUGCCAAAUUAUCUUUCUUCUUUUCCUUUAUUCCCUACAAAAACAACUCAUCCUUUUUUUGGUACCCAAAUUUGCUUGGGUCCAUGAGAGUUAGUAGAAUAUGCUAUUUUUAUCCAGUCUCUCUUAAUUGGUCUCCAAACUUUAAGACAUUUAUUCUCAAAGUGUUUUGGAUCUCCAUAUUUGGAGCACUUGAGGGCACUUCGGCCAGUAGGUUUUACAAAUAUUUUUUGAAAAUGUUUAUAAACGAGUUUAGGAGGUCUUUGUCUGAGUCUCUCUUUGACUUUAGAAAAGUCUAUUAGAGAAUAAUUUUCCUUAUUGAAACCAAUUCCCGACUUAUUAUAGUAAGGUACUUGUAUGGAAAUGAUAUGUUUUAAUGUUUUUGAACCCUUUGAAAAUUUUGUUGAACUAUUUGAAAAUUCUUUUUUUAAAGAAUCAUUUUCUUUGACAAAUAAAUCUCAACUUUCUUUUGUUUUUAGAAAAUCUUUUUGCGAAAUUUCAAACUUUUCUUUUCGAGAAAGAUCUUGUUACCUGAGCCAUGAAUUCUUUUUUUUUUUUUUUUAGUUCAGAGAUCUUUUUAAGAGCAAACUUAAGAUUCAAGCACAACUCAUCAAUAUAAUUAGAUGUCUUAUAAGGGAUUUCAGGGUAAUUUACCUCAAAAUUUGUGUCUAUAUAUGAUUUUGAAUUUGAGUCUGAGUCUAAAUGUGCCGUCAAGCAUAUUUUUCUUUGCUCAUCAUCUUCUUCUAUUGUUCUUUUAUGCCCAUUUUGCUUGUAUUGUUUCUUAUAAUUGAAACUUCUUCCCUUUUUAUUCAGCUUUCUAAAUUUCUUUAUCAGGUGUGCCAACUCUUCAUCAUCCAUGUCAUCUUUUGAAUCUUUAUCAUCAAAUUCAGCAUUCAAUUUUAAAGCGAUGGACUUCUUACCUUCAAGAUCUUCAUCGUCGAUUUGUUCCACUUCAUACGAUUGAAGAGUGCCAAUAAGUUCGUCAAUAGAUAAUCUCAUAACUCUCUAUGUCUCUCGGAUUGAUGUAUUGACAUGAUUCCAAUCCUUUGAGAGUCCUCGUAGAAGUUUGUUGACCUUCAUAGGAGUAGAAAUUGGUUUUCCUUGAUAUGCUAAAUCAUUUACAAUUUUUUGUAAAACGGCCAAACAUGUCUUCGAUGGAUUCUCGAGGUCAUCUUGAAAGACUCAUAUUGGCCAAACAGAAUGUUCACCUUCAUCUCUUUUAUAGGAUCUGUACCUUUAUAAGUAACAUGAAAUCUAUCAGAAAUUUCUUUAGCUAUUUCACAUGAAGAGAUUCUAUUAUACUUAGUUGGAGACAAGGCACAUUAAAGAGAGUAGAUAGCUUUUGCAUCCAGUGUUUCUCUUUUGGACAUCUCUGUCCAAGACAUAGAAGCAGGGCAUUCGAUUGCUUUGUCUUUGCCAUCCUUGUUUGAUGUAGACACAGUAGUGGGAUUGAUUUCCUUUUCUAUAAUAUCCCAUUCCAAGGGAUCUCUAGAUCUUAGGAAUGCAUUCAUUCUAUUCUUCCAAACAUUGUACUCUUUUCCAUCAAAAUAAUGUGGUCUGGCAUUGCUUUGACCCUAAAAAAGUCCAGGUGUCAAGAGACUAGUCAUGGAAGAUCUUUAUCUUAGAAGUAAAAACACUUCAACAAAAUGAGUACUUGGCUCUAAUACCGAUUGAUGAUGCUAGAAAGAACAUCUAAAGGGUGUGAAUAGGUGUUUGAAAGGAAUUUGGUCAAAUAGUUGCGGAAUAAAUAAGUUGCAAGCGAAGUCUGGAUGAAGAACAAAAUUAGUUUUGCGAAACACUAGACUUUUGGUAGAUAUUUAGAAUAUAUUAUGUAAUAGAACAAACUUCUGAGAUAACCUACAAUAGCACAACAUAAUUAACUAAAGAGAUAAGAGAUAAGAGAACUGCACAUAGAUUUUAUAGUAGUUCGGCUUAGAUCAAACCUAUGCCCACUCUCCCACGCUGACAAUCUACUGGCUGGAUUCCACUAUAUGAUUAACAAAAAAUUACAACUUUGAGUACAAACACUUUGUGGUAGAUCACACUAUCUCACUAAGUUACUAUUUUGUUAUUUCUCUCAUGAUGACAAAUGUUUAAGCUUAUGAAAAACAAAUGUAUAAUCGAAAGUUCCCUUAGACUUUGAGAUUUUAGAUUUUAUGCUUCAUCUCUUACUUGCUCCUUAGUUCUUGAUCUUCUCAAAUACUCCUCCAAUUCCAAACUAACUGUUGGACAUUAUCCAGAUGACCAUCUUCCAAUCUACCCAUUGGAUAGAUCUAUAUCAAGAAGAUUUGAUAGACGUUGAGUGACAAAGGCAAAAUUCUCAAUUGAUUAUGAUCGUCCAUACAAAUAGAAUCUUGGUUUCUAUAUGUAGAGCUUCUCUGUUUAGAAAGUUCUUGUCUUCAGUAUCUAAUUGUCAAUCAAUUAGAUUGAGUCAAUCAAAUCUUUCUUAAUGUAGAAUCCAAACCAGAUCACUAGCCGUUAUACGUUUUAGGCUUGUGUCUCAUUCAAUCAAGUUGUCUCUCUCUGAACUUGUUUCGUUUUGAACUUUGUCAUGUUUUGGACUUGUGUCUCGUUUUGUAUGUAAAGUCUUAGUGUCUUCCAUCUGUACGUAAAGUCUUGAGUAUCUUCCAUCUAAAGUAGACUUUAUAAUCUAGACAUGAGUCUGAACAUAUUCAUCCUUAGAAUAUGUUUUUGAACAUAUUUAGCCUUAAGAUCUAGACAUAGAUGAAUAAGUUCAACUUCAGUAUAGAGUCUAUCUUUUGGUUCUUCCAAGUCUAAUCUUUGAUAAUAUCCUCUACACGCUCUAUCAUUUGCAUAGUUUGUUACUCAAUCAUUAAACAUGUUAGUAGCCUUUGAUAUGUUUUGUCAUCUUCAAAAAAACACAUGGGAUUUUCCUAACGAAAGAGACCAUCGACCAGCCCGUUGCCAAGCCAUAACUCAAAUUUGCCAUCUUAGGCUGGACAUAUUGCCCGAAGACCCCACCGUCUUCAAGGAUUGCUCUUUGGUAAAAUCCACUGGUUCAAACUGUGUCUGAGGUGACGAUAUUGAGUACAGUUCCAUUCCUAGACAUGAGGUAGACCUGACCACUUUGAUUUUAUAUCAACCGCAAGCCAAUACCUACGAUGAUGGUAGCCCAAUAUGCGUCCGAGACAACUAGCGGGUGAGGAGUGGCAUAUAACACGAGAUUUCCGUCGAUUUGCAGUAUGAGAAUGAAUCUCUCAGCGGAGUAAUUCAUUUCGGAGUAGUGAGCGUUUAAGUUUAUUCUCUUGAUCUGACCAUUGUGUCCGCCGUAUCGUAUUAGUUGGUUGGCUGAAUGUAUCCCACAAUUUGACGUGGUUCCUGCUCGCUAGGAUGAAGUUCCCCAUGUAGUGCAUGGCUGCAUACGCUACGCCAUUGCCAGUCAGGCUAGAAGACCACGGCUCUCUUCCUUUUGGGUCGGCAAGCAGUAGUCCACCGUCGGUGGUCACCUGGAUUUUCUAACCUCCGGAUGCUAGAUCAUCGCCAUUAGCCGACCAUACUAUGGUUUUGUCCUCUAUUUUGUGGAACCACAUAGCCAGGAAGAGUUCCUGUCAUCCGCUGUUAAGGAGGAGCCCAAGGUUAAGUUGCCGCUGGUCUGAGCUUCGGUCGAAAGCGGAGGUGGAAUGAGCACUAAAAGGAUUCCUAAUAUCGCUGAAGUCAUGUUUGAUAAAAGUUGUGUGCUCUCUAAGUUGAGCUACUUCAGCCUUAUGAAUGAAACCAGCAUUCCUUACAGAUUUUCCACUUUGUAUGCCCUCGGAGUCUCUCCCACGAUUAUCAUUGAUACUAAAUUUUUCUGAAAGAUAUAUCUUUAUAAAUUUAAUUCUCUUUUUUUUCCUUUUUUUUUUUAUAGAAAUCAAUGGUGAAAGAAAAAUUUCGAAUUUAGAAUACAGCGAGUCAGCACCAUGAGCUUGCCGGGACCCUGAUAUUUUCCAAGGAAUAGCAUGAAUUUGGAAGACUUUGACCAAACGUCAUAAAUGUUAAGUUGGAGACUUUAUGAGUUAUGGAGAAGAAGGCAGGCCCUUAGUUGAUUCAAUCCCUAAAUUCGAGCCGAUUACUAAUUUACUUCGUGGAAAUUUUGAAUGUUUCAAUCUAACUGUAUAUAUGCUCGGACAUAAUAGGAAAUUUGCUUUGUCGUCCUGCAUUAGGCAUGCGCUCAAUGGGUGCGAACUGUGGUCUGAGGCAUUAUGGUGAUUUGAUGCUUAGAAUGGGACGGGUCUUUGUGCAACUUGGAGAGGAAUGGUUACAACAAUGAUGAAUGAACUUAAUUCCGUAUAUAUUCUACUAAAGUUUGCAUACAGUAGGUCCGGGUUUCGAAACUCCUGUAUGUUUGUUUAAAUGGAUGUUGUAGUGAUGUAAUGAUAUUGUAUUCUCAUCGACUUGACAAUAUCAGGCAAACUUACCGCAUCUAAAAGCAAUUUGAUUUACAUUAUGACUUGACUGCACUUUUGCAAUAAGGUUAAGACUUUUAGUAUACUUUAUCCUCUAAAAAUAUAGAGCAUUUGGAGCUUAUGGAUGAUCAAUGAAUUAUCAAAUAAGCAACUUAAAAAAAUCUUAUGGACACCCAUUGGAGCACGGCAAGAUAACAUACUCGACUUUAAACUUCGAUUUAGUGCUCUAUAUGUGAUAAACAGACCACAACCGAAUACCAUUUAGGACAUCAAGGCGAUAGAGAUUAGAGAUGGACGGAGUUGAACGGAGCUUAGUUUACUCACGCUAGCUAGACAUGGCUUUUGCUUGGGGACUUGCCAUUGAUGUCUGAAAUUGGGGAUUCAAUCUGUCGAUUCUUAAUAAAAAAAAAAAAAGCUUCACACAAAAUUUCAUCGCAAUUAAGGGAAUAGUUAUUUUUGCUACAUCAUGGGAGAUUCGACUCGACAAGAACAUUGAAGCCUUUGAUAUCAUUUUCACUCAUACAUCAUUAACAUAGCGGUUUACAAAUAUUCACCUUGGAGAUUGCUUUUAGUUCUAAUAUGCAUCAUCAAAAAUCCGAAGGAGAAUGAACCGAGUCGUGGCCCAACAAAGCAGCAUGGUCAAACGCUAACUCCAAAUUAACUUAACGUGGGCCCGCCACAUGAAGAUGACAUUGGGCCACAUGCUCUUAAAUUGAGCAUGCAUUGGACAAGGACGAAGUACAUGCAUUGAAUGGAAUGGCCUCAUGCAUUCAUGCGAAGGGAACAAGCUCGUGAUCGUCUAAUGACUUUCUGCUUCGCCAGCUGCAUGAAUGGGGGCAUUCAUCUCCUUCUAUGAAAUUGGAGCAAGCAGACUUUUCCGCAGUGAACCAAACGAAAGACGGAGGCCCUUGACCAAAACAUGUCUGUUCCAUCGAAUUGAGAAUAAGACAUGAAAAAGAUGGUGAACGUGCUAGCAGGCGCCAUAGCCAACUGAGACAAACAUGAAAUCGAACCCAUUAAACUUCUAGUGCAAAUCGAUCUAUCGAUUUUAAUCUACGGGAUCUUUCCAUUGUCUUGUCUCGGUAUAUUUUCCAGUCCCGUCUUGUUUGGACCCGUUAUGGAAUGGCUUUGACCAUUGCUCACUAAGUUGUCUAUACAAGAUCUCCAAUGAUCAUUUGGAAAGGAAUAUGUAUUGCUUAGAAAAUUGUCUGCCUUGUGUUCCUUCUCGCAAUUUCUCAACAAAUGCAUCAAGAAGAGAGAUUGUCUGAUUAUGUUAGGGAAAUCCCCUACAUGGCUUGAGUGAACUUCAACCACAUACUAGAGCCAAGGAGCCUGUAAGAGACAAAGCGUAGAGCCUAUAAUUCCAAAAUCUAAGUGAACUUUGACCACAUACUACGAAUUUAAAUUUGUAAUCAUUUGAGAAGUAAUGAUAGUGUUAUAAGUGUGUGUUUUGGUGUAAGAUAGUGAGUCCUCUCAGCUUGGGUAUAAGCAGCACCAGCUUUGGGUAGAAACACUUGGGUAUAAGCAACACAACUUGAUUGUAAUCAGUCGUUAGUUAUCUAGUGAAAUCCAACCAAUAGGUUAUUAGCGUGAAAGAGUGGACAUAGGCUUAAUCUUAACCGAUUCACUAUAAAUUUCGUGUGCAACUUUCUUUUUUCUAAACUCUGAUUGUUUUUUGCUUUUGUUUAUUGCACACUCGUUAGGUGCUUCAAAGUCUGUGCUAUUGCAUUUUAAAAUCCAACCCUUAUUCAGAAUUUAAUCUCGACUCAUUCUUUUCCGUUUUAAUUUGUCAAGAUUUUUUAAUAUCAUCUAUUCAGCCCCUCAAGGUGGUACCUGCUAGCCGCCCUCAGAUUAUACUUCCAACUAUGAGAUUUGCGGACUGGGAUUUCUUUGGUCCAAAAGAAGUUGGUUGCCGAAAGGAUGUGAGUGUCCCUCCUGUAUGAAUAAAAAAGUAGCAGAACUAUUGAAAUUGGGAUUCCAGGUCAACGAUCCGCAACCUGAGGAUCGGCAAGUUUCAUAUGCUUCUCAUCAUCUAAUUUAGCAGAUAAGGUCCAUUUUGCUUGGAUCAAGUUAAAAUACUCUUCCACCAUGUCAAAUGCAAUUUUCAUGAAGCAAAAUGUCGAUGAAAAUGCUUUGAUAGUUGCAUUUGGCCUUGCAUGCAAUUCCUUUUGCAACGAUCAUCAACCUGUUCUCUCUUGGAUCAUGCAAGGAAAUGUUAAACUUGACUGAUGAUAUAGCUUAUUUAAUCGGGAUCCAUGUGAAGACAUUAUGCGUAAUAGCACUUACAAACAAUACGAGUACUUUUCAUGAUUACAGACAACAGUGGUCUUAAAUAAGCAAAAUCAUAUUGAACUCAUAAAAGAGCUCAAAACUGGAGGUACUGGGACUUCAACAGCUCCUUCCAACAUCUGAGUAAUUUUCUUCAUGGUUGGCCUCAAAGCCGGGUCUUCCUGGAUGCACCACAAUGCUGUCAUCACAAAUCUUUUCACCCUCUUUAUGUCACUUGAUGCCUCCUCAUCGCUCUCCACUAGUUGAAGCACGCUCCCGUCGUGGUAGCAGUCAUAUGCCCAGUCAACUAGCACAAUUUGAGCUUCAAUUUCCGCUUUCGGCUCAUAGUUCUUUCUGCAGCAGAUGAGCUCAACCAACAAAAUGCCAAAGCUGUAAACAUCUACUUUGCUAGAAAUAGGCAUAUUCCUGAACCAUUCUGGUGCUAGAUAACCUCUAGUUCCUCUGACUCCAAUGGUGGUUCGUGUUUGGUUCGCCAUCAAGAGCUUAGCUAAUCCCAAGUUUGAGAUUUUUGCAGUGAGAGAGCCAUCAAGAAGAAUAUUUUGUGGCUUGAUGUCGCAGUGAAUUAUAUGCCUGGUGCAAUCCUCGUGCAAGUAAGAGAGCCCCUGUGCAACAUUGCAGACAAUUUCUAUUCUUCUGUACCAGCUGGGCCUUGAAGCGCCAAAUAGGAAAUCCGCCAAAGUGCCAUUGCUCAUGAAUUCAUACAUCUGUAGUCGGUGUUGACCUUCAUUGCAGUAUCCAAGAAACUGCACUAAGUUCUUGUGGUCAGUUCGGCCAAUUGCACUCACUUCUCUUUCAAACUCCUUCUUGCUUUCUCCAGUCCUUGUCGCCAACACUUUUACUGCAACGAAGUUCGUAUCCUCGGAUCCCAAAACACCUUUGUACACUGUUCCAAAAGCACCCCUACCCAAUUCUUCUUUGAAUCCAUAUGUUGCUUCGUGAAGCUCCUGAUAAGUGAAAGUCCGCAUGCCUGUAACUUGAUUGAUUUGGACUGGUCGUGACAACUUAGAAUCCCUAGAUCGGUGAUAUAGCUAGUACAAGUACCUAGAGGGGGGUGAAUAGGUGUAUAAAAGUUUUUUCUUGAUAAUUUCUUGAUGAUUGCGCAAUACUUAGACAGUUGAUGAAUUUGCGAUAAGUAAUAAUCAACGUAAGACUAAGUAAAGGAAAGAGAGAAUUGAACACGCGGUUUAUAGUGGUUCGGCUUGAUUCAAGCCUACGUCCACUCUUCUGCACUGAUAGCCAAUUGGCUGGAUUCCACUAUGAACAAAGAGAUGUUACAGUGCUGAUCUUCCUUGAUUUCUAAGUGUAGAUGAUCUACCACACUCACUCAAGGUAUCACCAAGUAUGAACACUCUCUGUGUAUACAAUUUCACUCAGAAUGAAUCGAUUAAUAAUCAAGGUGCUUCAGACUCUGGAAUUUCUCUAUCGAUCACGCACUUUCACAACUAUAACGUCUUCCUUUUUAUACUCCUUUAUGCCAUCAUACCGUUGGCACUUACCAAAGGAAUUCCUCCAAUCUACCCGUUGGACGGAAUCAAUUAAGGAGAUCAUUCGAGCUAUAAAAGGAACCUGACGAUAGCCCAUCAAUCAUGUUCGCCCAUACAAUCAGGAUCUUGGUUUCCAAGAAUAGAACAUUCCAAGAAUACUUCGUCGACCAUCGGAUCUUCAAUUGAUCUUGAUAAGAACAAAAGAAUCCGUUAUAUUUAUCCAGCCAAAAAGAUCUUCUCCAGAGAAUAGGAUUAAAUCCUCAACCAUAUACUUCGGCUCUGGAUUUCCUUCGUCACUGGAUCAGAAAGACUGUCAAUGAGAAUAGUCUUGAGUCUUGAAACUUGAGUCUGGUGAUCAGAAAGUCUUCAGACUUUAAACUAGACGAUCUGCAGAUAUCCAGACUAGAUUGAUAGAAACGUUUUGUCAGCUUCAAAAUAUUCUGGAAAGAUUUUUCCAAUAAUCUCCCCCUUUUUGAUGGUGACAAAACUUUCCUGUAGAUUUGAACCACUUUGACCUGCAAAAACAUUUCUCAAGCAAUAUGGCUAUCUCAUAAAGAUUUAACAAAACAACCAGACUCUGCAUCCACAGAAAAUUGGUUAGACUUUCAUGAGUAAUACCAUAUAACAACACUUGAUAUAAAUGCAAACAGUCAAGCAUUGAAAUCCAUAGCCAAUUCAGUCAAAUUCAAGUUCACACCCAAGUUCACUCAAGUCAUACUCAAAAACAAACAUAUUCAACCACAAAAAUAAAUUUAAAGUCAAAGAAAAGUUGGUUGGUUAAAAUUGCUUCUCCCCCUUUUUGUCAUCAUUAAAAAGGUGAGAAAGGAGUCAAGUCUGCUUGGGAAUGCGCACGAUCUGGAAAUCUCCCAUGGACUGGACUACGCCUUCUAGCCUCUUCAAGUCUUCCCUUAGUUGAGCUACCUCCUCUCCUUUGGCAUUGGCUUGAAGUUGUAGAGCGAGGUCUUUCAUUUUGUCCUCCAGGGUAACCGAAGAUGCUUGUCCAGCAUUCUUUAUGGCUUGAAUCUCACAGUCCAGAGCAUAGAUUUGGCCACGCAUUUCCAGAAGAACAUCCAUAAUAUGACGAAAAUCUGCAGAAUUGUCCGUCUGUGUACUUGCAUUUGCUUUCUCAGAUUGAGUGAAUGCAGACGAUGGCGCUUCUGUAUAGUCUUGCAGAUUUGAUGUUGACAUAUCGUGUCCUUCUUCAGGCAAUUGAGAAGCCUGAAACUCUUCUGGGUCUGCUGGAGAUUGUCUUAGACCUUCACUAUCGGUAGCAUGAGGUGUGGACCUUUGCUCGCCAACUCCCCCUGUCUCUAGGACAUCAAAAGGGGAAGAGUGAUGAUCAUGCUCUUCUGUAUCUUGAUUCCCCUUCUCUCCAGAUUCAGCUACAGACUUUUCUUGCUCUUCUUCUCCUUCUUCUUCAACUUCUUUCUCCCUCUCUCGUUGCUCUUCUUCUUCUCUGUUCUUGGCUUGCUCCUCUUCUUCUCUCUGUUUCUUCUGAUGUUCUGUCGAUUGGAGAACAUAACGUCUGGUCCUUAUCAAGGCAGUGAUUGUAGGAUCUUCCUCCUCAUCUUCAUCCUCCAAGAUGAGAGUUCUCUUCUUUUUGGAUGGGGCACCAAUGGCCUCCUUCCCUUUUCUCUUUGAAGCGGAUGGAACUGGAGUCUUCACUCUGAAUUUCUCCAUUGCCUUGGAAAGUUCUUGCAGACGCAUCUUCGUUAACAUCUUCAAACCUACCACCAUCUUAUCGCACGGUCGAACACAAAGUGUAUGUGGCGGUUCAAUAUUCAUGUGUCUGAAGAUCUUGGUCACCAGACCUGGGUAAGGCAAUUGUCCCUUAUCCUUCGAUAUUGCUCUGUACAUGUGAAAGAGAAUAGUGUGAGGAAGAGAGAACUUCAUCCCUGAGUUGAUUGCGUACAUCAAUUUUGCCUCUGAAUUAGACACAUCAGUCUUUGAUGUAGACUUGGGCCUGAUGCAAUUGAUCACAAUUUUAUGCAGCACAAUAUUGAUGGCACGCAUCCUUGAAUAGAUGAUUUUUCCUUCUACAUUUCUAUCCUUGACAAGUUCCAAUGAGGCACGAGCAACUGAGACUUUGAUUGGUUGAUAAUGUCCUCGUUCAACUCCAAUGAUGUCCGCCAACAUGUCCACGUCUACCACAUAAUCCUGAUCUCGAACACUGAAUGAUAUUCUAUUCGCAUCUAUAAAGCUGAGAUUCGAAUAGAAGUACGCAGUCAGUUGUGCAUAACCGUCUGUGGUAUCAAUGCAGAAUUGCUCAAGUUGAAGCAAUUUGAAUUUCUCCCGUAAGUUCACAUUAACGACAUCCAAGAAAUUGAAAUCGACACUCUUAGGGUUUAUCACCCCUUGUUUCAACAGUCUGAAAAACAAAUUCUCCUGUUCCUUUGAUUUGAAUAACUCCAUCCUCUUUCCCUUCACCUUUGCAGCAAUACCCAUUCUAUGUUGAAAAUCACUAAACAUUUUAUCAUCGCCGUUCCCAUCAAUCAGAUUCGGUCCCGACAUACGAGGGUCACUGGGAAUAUUCGCAAGCGCUUCCUAUGCUUUACCUUUGGGAGCAAUUCCCAAAUCCUCCAUUUUCUUCAGAAAGAUAUACUCAUUCCCAUAAUUCUUAUCUUUGAGAAAAUCAUCCACGUAUUUCAAUGGAGUCCCAGUACUUUUCAAUGCACAGUAAAGUUUGUAAAUAAACGAGGGUCUUUGGACUCUUACUGGGUCUGCGUCCUCGAUUAUCUCUUCCUCCUGUUGUUGACCCGCAUCAUGUGGGGUAGAUGGCGUUGAGUGACGUGGUGGAGAGUGAGUUGGGCUCUGUUGCUGACUCGAUAAUUCUUCCUCUUCAGUGAGAUCGAAGUGGGUAGGUCCCUCCUUCAUCCUCUGUGGUCCCUUGUUCGUGAUUCUUGAAGACUUCCUCGAAGACGACAUCCUUCCUAGUCGCUGAAAGAUUCCUUUACUUGCUUUCCCAAGAAGAGAUGACAACUUUCUCGAGGAUGAACACGAAGUACAAACCGGAUUGGGAGGAGAAUGCUUUUAGGGUUUUGAAGAUUGAAAAUGAAAACCGUAUAUAUAUAAAUCAGAUUUGAAAAGGGAAGUUUAAUCGGCACAAGGAAAGUGUACGAAUACCUCUUUUCGAAAUCAAUAACUGCGAAAAUUAAUCCUUUUGAAAAGACAAGUUUUCGAAGACUACAAAAUAACUGAACGAAAGAUCAUACCUUUUCGAGUUUAGAUAAAAUAACAACUUAUAGUCUAUAAUCAUCAAAGUCUGAGUCUGAGAGAUUUAGAGUCUGACGAUCAUCAACUUUCUGAGUUUGAAGGUUGGAGAGUCUCUAGACUUUAACUUCUUCGAGCUUCAAAAUGUUGAGUCUGGAGCGAAUAAAAUCAAAUUGAUUUUUCUCCAAAGGCUUUGUGAAUAUAUCUGCUAGUUGACUUUUUGAAUCAACAAAUUGAAUCGAGAUUUCUCCGUUUUGAAUAUGAUCUCUAAUGAAAUGAUGUCAAAUCUCUAUAUGCUUUGCUCUUGAAUGAAGAAUUGGAUUUUUUUGUGAGAUUGAUUGCGCUGGUGUUGUCACAUUUGAUUUCUGUGCAUGAGUCUUCAAUCCCAAAGUCUUGUAGCUAUUGUUUUAUCCAUAGAAUUUGUGAACAGCAGCUUCCAAGAGCUACAUACUAUGCUUCUAUUGUUGAGAGAGCUACAGUACUUUGUUUCCUUGAAAACCAAGACACUGUCCUGCUUCCAAGCAACUGGCAAGUUCCUGAAGUACUCUUCCUAUCGACUCUACAGCCGACCAGAUCUGCGUCUGAGUAUCCCAGAAGAUUAAAGUCUCCCUUCUUAAGAUACCAAAGACCGAUGCUUGAAGAUGAAGCAACGUAUUUAAUAAUACGUUUUGCAGCACUGAGAUGGGAUUCUCUAGGAUCUGAUUGAAACCUAGCACAGAUGCAAACACUCAACAAAAUGGCAGGUCUAGAGGCAGUAAGAUAAAGAAGUGAACCGAUGAUGCUCCUGUACAGCUUUUGAUCAACUUUCUUCCCUUCUUCAUCUUUGUCUAUCUUCAAGGAGCUUGACAUUGGUAUGUCAGUCUUCUUACAAUUUUCCAAUCCAAACCUUUUGACAAGAUCAUUAGCAUAUUUUUCUUGGUAAAUGAAAGUUCCUUCAUUCAAUUGCUUUAUUUGAAGAACAAGAAAGAAUGUUAAUUCUCCCAUCAUACUCAUUUCAAAUUCAUCCUACAUAGACUUAGAAAAUUUCUUGCAUAGACUUUCAUUAGAGGAUCCAAAAAUAAUAUCAUCCACAUAUAUUUGAACAAGUAAAAAGCUUUUGUUUUCCUUUUUGAUAAAUAAAGUAGUAUCUACUUUACAUUUGACAAAACCAUUCUGUAGUAAGAACUUACUCAGUCUGUCGUACCAAGCUCGAGGUGCUUGCUUUAAACCAUACAAGGCCUUUUUCAAUCUGAAGACUGAGUUUGGUUUCUUUGGGUCUUCAAACCCAGGCGGUUGUUCCACAUAAACUUCCUCUUGGAUAAAUCCAUUUAGGAAAGCACUUUUGACGUCCAUUUGGAAUAACCUGAAAUUUUUGUAACAAGCAAACGCAAGUAAUAGACGAAUAGCUUCUAACCUUGCUACAGGAGCAUAAGUCUCAUCAUAGUCUAUUCCUUCUUCUUGCGUGUAUCCUUUGGCCAUGAGUCUUGCUUUAUUUCGUACGACUUUUCCUUUUUCAUUCAUCUUGUUUCUGAACACCCAUUUGGCUCCAAUAACAGUUUUACCUUUUGGUUUAGAUGUCAAUUCCCAGACAUCAUUAAUGUUGAACUGUCUAAGCUCCUCUUGCAUAGCUUCGAUCCAGCUUUCAUCAGAUAAAGCUUCUUCUAUGCUUUUUGGUUCAAUUUCAGAGAUGAGAGCCACAGCACUAGACUCUUCACGACUUUUGGAUCUGGUUCAAAUUCCUUCAUUAAUUUCGCCGAUAAUGAGAUCUUUGGGAUGAUUGGACUUAUGCUUCUAGUUACUGGUUGAUUUGUCUGGAUGAUGAUCUCUUUCUUUAUUUGAAUCUUUAUGAACUUCUUGAUGCUGGUCUUCCAGAGUCUGAGACAUUUCUUGAGUUGUCAGCUUUGGAAAGUUUGGAGCAGAUUCAGACUCUUCAUACUGAGUCUGACUGGAUUCAUCUUGUGUAGAGUCUUGAAAUUUGACAUUCAUUGACUCCUCCACCGACUGGCUCUUCUUGUUGUAGACUCUGCAGGCUUUGCUUGAUGUAGAAUAUCCAAGGAAGAUGCCUUCAUCUGAUCUUUCUUCAAACUUACCAACUCGAUCUUUUGCAUUUUUCAAUAUAAAGCAUUUGCAACCGAACACAUGAAAGUAUGAAACAAUAGGCUUCUUACCUUUGAAUAAUUCAUAAGGGGUUUUCUCCAGAAUAGGUCUUAGGAAGACUCUAUUGAUGAUAUAGCACGCUGUUGAAACAGCUUCAGCCCAAAAUCGUGAAGAAAUUUUACUUUCAAUUAAAAGAGUUCUAGCCAUUUCUUGAAGAGAUCUAUUCUUUCUUUCCACAACUCCAUUUUGCUGAGGAGUGUAUGGAGAGGAAAACACAUGCUUAAAUCCAGAUUCAUCACACAAUUUUGUGAAAUCUUGAUUUUCAAAUUCACCUCCAUGAUCUGUUUUUAUACUUGAGAUAACACAUCCUUUUUCAUUUUGAAUCUUUUUAGAAAAUUUUUCAAAAUACGGAAAGGUUUCUGACUUACUUGCAAGGAAAUAUACCCAAGUAAAGCGGGAGUAAUCAUCCACAAUUACUAGACAAUAUUUCUUACCUCCAAUACUCUGGGUUCUGGUUGGUCCGAAGAGAUCCAUAUGCAGCAACUGUAGUACAUGAUUAGUAGAGACAUGAUUUAUUGGCUUAAAAGAAUUUCUUACCUGCUUUCCCAGAAUACAUGGUGUGCAUGGAUCGGUCUUUUGAAAUGGUAAUUUGGGUAGACCUCGAACAAGCUGCUUUGAUGAGAUUUUGGCUAAUUGCUUCAUAUUGACAUGACCAAGCUUUCUGUGCCAUAAGCUUGCUUCAUCUUGAAUUGAUAUUAGGCAUUGUGAUUCAUUUGGUUUCACGUCUAAAAGGUAUAUAUUUCCAUGUCUUCGAUCCAUGAAAGACUGAGUAAAGUCUUUACUGAUUUCAGAACAUAUUCCUUCUUGAAAGGAGAUCUUGAAACCAGUAUCACACAAUUGACUAAUGCUGAGAAGGUUAUAGUUGAGUCCUUCCACUAGAGAAACAUUGCUUAUUGUGAGAUUUCCAAUUUUCACAGUUCCAAAUCCCACAAUGCUUCCUUUGCCGUUUCCUUCAAAUGAAACAUUUCCACCGUUUACUUGAACAAGCUUUAUGAAGCACUUUGAGUCUCCUGUCAUGUGUCUUGAACAUCCCGCUGUCAAGAUACCACUUUACCCUUUUCUUGACGGAGACCUGCAUUUAAAAUAGAGUCUCAAGCUUUCUUUGGUACCCAAAUUUUCUUGGGUCCUUUGGUGUUAGUAGGAUAAACAUUAUUAGGCCAUAUUUUCUUAACAGGCUUCCAAACCAUAGGACACUCUUUUUCAAAGUGAUCCUUACUGUUACAUUUUGAACACCUUAGAGCAUUUCGUCCUACAGACUUUACAAAAACUUUCUUGAAAUGAUUUUUGUGAGCCUCUCUCGACGGUCUUUUCUUAAUUCUUUCUUUUACUUUAGGAAAAUUAAUCAAGGGAAUUGUUUCUGCUGUCAUGCCUAGACCAGACUUAUUGAAGUAAGGUCUUUGAACUGAAAGAACUUUUUCAAGCUUUUCGGAUCCUAUCGAAAAUUUCUUUGAAAUAUUUGAUAAGUCUGUUUUUAAGAAAACAUUUUCUUUCAAAAGAUUAUCUUCUUUUUCUUUAAGAGUAGAAACAUUCAAGUCUAAACUUUUAACUCUUUCUUCUAAAAUGGUUUCCUUUUGUUUUAGGGCUGAGUUUUCCUUUUUAAGUUCGGAAAUCCUUUUGAGAGAAGUCUUAAGACUAAAACAUAGUUCAUCAAUGUAUUUAGAAACUUUGACAGGAAUUUUAAAAUCACUUACCUCAAAUUCACUGUCUGAGUCUAAUCCAGAAUCUGAGUCUGAGUCUGAAUGUGCCAUCAGACAUAUGUUGGCAUAUUCAUUAUCACUUUCUUCACAUUCUGUAUCACUCCAGGUUUCGGCUUUGAGAGCUUUUCGAAACUUCUCAGCUUUUCCUCUUUUCUUCUUCAGAAGAGGAUAGUUGGGUCUAAUGUGUCCCUUUUUCUUACACUCGAAGCAGACUACAUCUUUGUUUGGUUCCUCAUCAUCAACAGACUUGGUCUGCUGUCUCUGGAAACUUUGUUUCUUUGAGUUGAACCUUCUUCCUUUUCUAUUCAGUUUUCUAAAUCUUCUUAUCAUGAGAGCAAGCUCCUCGUCGUCCAUAUCAUCUCCUGAAUCUGUAUCAUCAGAAUCAUCAUUUGAUUUUAAUGCAAUGGAUUUCUUACCUCUUGGAUCUUCGUCCUCAUUAAUUCGUUCCACUUCAUAAGACUGAAGAGUUCCAAUCAGCUCGUCGACAGAUAGAGGCAUAAUUCUUUGCGUCUCUCUUAUUGAAGUCUUUAUAUGAUUCCAAUCCUUGGAGAGUCCAUGCAGUAGCUUGUUUACCUUCAUGGGAUCAGAAAUUUUUUGUCCUUGGUUCUCAAGACCAUUGACAAUAUCUGUAAAACGACUAAACAUGUCAAUUAUAAAUUCUCCUGGUUUCAUUUUGAAGGCUUCAUAUUGACCGAGAAGAAUGUUGAUUCUGGUCUCCUUCACUCGAUCUGUUCCUUCAUAGGUGAUAUGUAAUCUGUCCCAUACUUCAUUUGCUGUAAUAUAAGAAGAUAUUCUGUUAUAUUCAGUUGGAGACAAGGCACAAUAUAAAGAGUAAAUUGCUUUUGCAUCGAGUGCUUGUCUCUUGUUUAUCUCUUCCUGAGUCAUUCCGCUGGUAUCAAUAGUUUCUUUCCCUCUUUCAAAAAUUGAUGCAGCAGCAGGAGUGAUUCCUCUUUCCACAACGUCCCAUUCCAGAGGAUCCUUUGAUCGUAGGAAAGCUUUCAUCUUGUUCUUCCAGAUGUUGUAAUCAUUUCCAUCAAAGUAGGGUGGUCUGGUAUUGCUUUGCUCUUCCACCAGCCCUGGUACUAGCAUACUAGCCAUGGAUCUUUUACUCUGAAGUAAAACAUUUCAAAUAAAGUAAGAACACGAGCUCUGAUACCAAUUGAUAUAGCUAGUACAAGUACCUAGAGGGAGGUGAAUAGGUGUAUAAAAGUUUUUUCUUGAUAAUUUCUUGAUGAUUGCGCAAUACUUAGACAGUUGAUGAAUUUGCGAUAAGUAAUAAUCAACGUAAGACUAAGUAAAGGAAAGAGAGAAUUGAACACGCGGUUUAUAGUGGUUCGGCUUGAUUCAAGCCUACGUCCACUCUUCUGCACUGAUAGCCAAUUGGCUGGAUUCCACUAUGAACAAAGAGAUGUUACAGUGCUGAUCUUCCUUGAUUUCUAAGUGUAGAUGAUCUACCACACUCACUCAAGGUAUCACCAAGUAUGAACACUCUCUGUGUAUACAAUUUCACUCAGAAUGAAUCGAUUAAUAAUCAAGGUGCUUCAGACUCUGGAAUUUCUCUAUCGAUCACGCACUUUCACAACUAUAACGUCUUCCUUUUUAUACUCCUUUAUGCCAUCAUACCGUUGGCACUUACCAAAGGAAUUCCUCCAAUCUACCCGUUGGACGGAAUCAAUUAAGGAGAUCAUUCGAGCUAUAAAAGGAACCUGACGAUAGCCCAUCAAUCCUGUUCGCCCAUACAAUCAGGAUCUUGGUUUCCAAGAAUAGAACAUUCCAAGAAUACUUCGUCAACCAUCGGAUCUUCAAUUGAUCUUGAUAAGAACAAAAGAAUCCGUUACAUUUAUCCAUCCAAAAAGAUCUUCUCCAAAGAAUAGGAUUAAAUCCUCAACCAUAUACUUCGGCUCUGGAUUUCCUUCGUCACUGGAUCAGAAAGACUGUCAAUGAGAAUAGUCUUGAGUCUUGAGUCUUGAGUCUUGAAACUUGAGUCUGGUGAUCAGAAAGUCUUCAGACUUUAAACUAGACGAUCUGCAGAUAUCCAGACUAGAUUGAUAGAAACGUUUUGUCAGCUUCAAAAUAUUCUGGAAAGAUUUCUCCAACAAUCGGAAGCUUCUAUACAUUAAAUAGGUAAUAAGGAGUAAAAGCAAGUUCACAAAGACAGAGCUACUCAACAGCAUUGAUCCGACAAUCAUCAGAGUCGUAUUCUUUUUUUUCUUCUAGUCGUUUUUUGUGCAUUUUGAAGUCGUGUCAUGUAUCCUAACCUUGAUCAGAGCUUUUUGUUUCUCCCAUGGACCCAUCCUUCCAUUGGAAAGAGGGUUCUUCUUUUUCCAACAAAUUCCAUUGCCGAAAAUGGCAGCUGCGCAAAAACAAUCAGCCAAGCAAGCCUCUCUGCACCAGUCCUCGGUUCGUGCCGUGCUAUGCUCGUAAUCGGACAUUAGCCAGUCUGUUUUGAGCAUUUCACGCAUAACAAACUGGUCUGUUUCGGGCCUACUUCGGUUACAACUCUGUGGAACGAAGUCCUGUAUGCAUCCGUUCAUCUCAUUCAUUGAAUCUAACGGAGUAUAUCCAGGUGGGCAUUGGCAUCGGGACCUCAAAUCAUCUCCAAGAGUACAGUAGCUGUUGAAGCCACAAGCUCCACUGCCAAUCUCUUGGAUGAUGCUCGUGCAUAUAUUUGGCGGGACUGGGGUAGAGACCGUCGACCAGCCCAUUGGCCAGCCAGAACUUGAAUUCGCCGUCUUAGGGUGGAUAUAUUGCAUGAAUACCCCGUCGUAUUCAAGGAUCGCUCUUUGGUAAAAGCCGUUGGUCGGGACUAUGCCUGAGGUGAGCAGUUUGAGCACUGUUCCAUUCCUAGCCGUGAGGUAGACCUGACCACUUUGACUGAAUAUCAACUGGAAGCCGCUACCUACGGCGUUGCUGCUCCAGUAGGUAUCUGAGGCAUCCGACGGGUCAGGAGUGGCAUAGAAUGCGAGAUUUCCAUUGUCUCCUAGCAUGAAGUGGAAUCUCCCGGCGGAGUAAUUCAUUUCGGAAUAGCGAGCGUUGAGUUUAGCCCCAAGAUCUAACUGUUGCGUUGGCAGUAUCAUAUCUGUCGGUCGGCUGAACGAAUCCCACAACUUGACGUGGCUCUCGCUCGGUAGGAUGAAGUUCCCCGUGUCGAGCAUGGCCGCAUACGCUAAGCCAGUGCUGUUCAGGCCAGAAGACCACAGCCCUCUCUCUCUCGGGUCGGUAAGCACCAGCCCGCCGUUGGCGAUCAACUGGACUUUCGAUCCUUCGGGCGCUAGAUUAUCGCCAUUCGCCGACCAGACGAUGGUCUUGUCCUCUAUCUUCUCGAACCAUAUAGCCAACAAAUGAGCUCCUGUUCCCAUUCUUCGGAACCUGAAGGCAAACUCGCCCGACGGCGACAGCCAGGAAGAGUUCUGGUCGUUUGCCGUCAACGAGGAGCCCAAGGUCAAGUUGCUGUGGGUCUGAGCUUCGGUGGAAAGGGGAAGUGGAGCGAGUACUAGCAGGAUUCCUAGUAUAACUGAAGCCAUGUUUGAUGAAACAGGCGUGCUCGUUGAGUUGAGCUACUUCGGCCUUAAGGAUGAAACCAGGGUUCUUAUAGAGAUUCCCUACAAGCUACCAGAGUCUCCCUCCUUUUCCUUCACGGCAAGUUUGAACCAAAGUUGUGGACAGCCUUUAGACCAUUUAGAAGUGUAUGAUGAGCAUCCAAUUUUCGCAAUGUGAUCUUUCUUUUGUUUUUCGUUAUUGAGGCCCUUUUUUCCUUUUUACUUUAUCUUGUUUCUUUUUUCUUGAAGUAUCUUAUUAGUUCAUUAAUAUUUUCAUCAACAUUUAAAUAAAACUAAUUUAUGAUAGUAUCAUUGAUGUUGUUGUUUUUUUCGGAUUAUAUUGUUUUAACAAAUUUAUAUUUUCUCUAUUUUCUUUGUUUUUCACUUUUUUAUUUAUUUAUAGAAAUUAAUACUGAAAGAACUUGUCAAAUUUAGAAUAAGGCGACUCUGCUCCAUAAGCUUGCCAGGGACCCGGACACUUUUGGAGGAAGGCACAAAUUUGGAAGACUUUGACCAAAGGUCGUCGUACAGGAGACUUUAAGAGAUGAAAGGGAUGGAAGAAGAUGGCCCUUAUAUCACGUUGGUAAACUCCACUAAGCUAAAAGCAGGCCACUAAUUUCGCAAGUAAUUUUUUAAUUUCAACAGUAAAAUUUUGUUUCAUCAAUACAUUAUUAAGUUAUCAGUUUCAAUCGUGGAGCUUUUUUCUAAAUAUUGAUUAAUUAAUAAAAAUACUUAUAAAUUUUAAAAAGGAAAUGAUGCCCUCGACUCAUAAAAGAAAAUGAUAUAUCGAAUAUGUAGUCAUUUUUUUUUUAAUUAUGAUUGAUUCAUCUAUCGUUUUAUUUUGUAGAUAUAUUUUUCUCCAUUUUCUUUAUAUUUCCACAUAAAACAAUGGUGAAAAAGCUAUUGCCAUAAACAAGAUGACAAUAAACUUUUACCCCUUAAAAGGCAUGAGCCUUGCACGCGCUAACAGAAUGGAGUAACAAUUUUAAAGUUCAAGGGCAAAUAUAUACUAUUGCAAAGUUCGAGAGAGAUUUGAGUAAUUUCUUCAUGAUUAUCUUUCCAAUAGAAAAUUUGCCACUUUAUUAGAAAUUUACUAACUUGUAACUUGUAAGGACUUAUGCGAUAACUUACUAAUUUCACUGCUACGAUUUAGUUUUAAAUGGUCAAUUUCUAAAUAAUUGGACAACUUGCAUUCCACUUGAAAUUGGUAUUACUACCUUAUAAGCGGACCUAUAUGGUAAGUUAUCUGAAAGUUAUAAAUUUCACCACUAAAUUUUGGUUUUGAGUAAUAAAUUUCUAAAAAAAGUUAAUGACUUGUCAUUGCAUUUAUUGAUGGUAAAUUGCUACCAUUGUAAGUGCAUUACCAUAUCAGUUGACUAAGAAGUCCCCAGUUACGCGAAAAUUUAGAUAAAGGCAGGUCUGCUUGGGGGGAUCCAUUAAUCUUCGGUCGUGACCCUGAAAUUUCCCAAGGAGAAACAGACAAAUUUAGAAGACUUUGACCGAAACAUCUUUUAGGUUUAGAGGAGGAGAUUUUGGGAGUGGAAAAUGUUCGUUUUUUUUUUUACCAAAAUAAAAAGGAUUCGAUUCCUGUGGAAAUCGAAGCGAUCACAGAUCCCUUCGUGGAAAUUGAACGUUUGAAUGCGUAUCAGGCACGCAUGCAGUCAGUGGAUAUGAUUGUGAACCUUCUAAUUUGACUUUGAUCAGAUCGCUAAUGGAUUUCAGAAGAAAAAUUCAAAAUAGUGAAGCGGGACCCAGUAGAUCAUCAUGCAAAAUGCUAAAAAAAAAUCAAAAUAGUAAAUAAAGAAGCAAAAGAAAAAGCAAAAGAAAAGCGUCUGAAAUACUUUUCCCCCACCGACCAAAAAAAGAAAAAAAAUACUUUUCCCCCCGCCACCCCACUACCUAAUCACCGCUAAUUUUGACUUUAAUCAGAUCGCUAAUGGACUUCACAAGAAAAAAACAACACUCCUAAUCAAUCCCCCCCGCGACCCGCGUAACGUACACAGCACACCUAACACGACCCCGACAACUGACACGUCAGCACACGCUCGCCACACUGUCCGGUGCUCUCCCUCCAUUGUCGUCUUCCGCUGGGAAAUAUUGAAAUCCAGGAGAUGGCUACGUCUAUCCACGAGAAAUCUGCUGCUUUGUUUCGUGCGAUGGAGGUUCUCCCCGUGCAGACAAUUACCUCCUCCUUCUCCUCCUUCUUCCUCGUGCUCUGAAGCACGCCGCUGGAUUGUGCUUUGCCCGAGGAGGUAAGCGAGGCGAGGAAUGUUCUCGACGUGAGCGGCGUACUCCACGCGAUUGUGAACCGUGUCGUUGGGGUGAUCUAAUGCUUGCUACUUAGACUGCAAUUGAGUCUUGUGCAGCUUGGAGAGGAAUGACUACAUUAAUGAUUGAUGGACCUAAUUCUGUAUAUACUCUGCAGAAAUUUGCAUACAUUAAAUCGCUCUGUUAACACUAUUAAAUUUGGCUAUCGAAGAAAGUUGAUAUAAUUUUUUCGUUAUGUUCAAAAGGAAAUGCGUUAAUAUAGAUGUUACAUCAGCCAAUUUAGAAGAAAAAUAUUAAAAGAUAUUUAAAGCUAAAUGUUGGAUGUUGCAAUUAAACUAUAAUCAGUUGUUCUCGAAACUUUUGAAAAAUAAAAUUCGGGAAAAAGAAGAAGAAAACUUAAAGAGAAAAUCAUGCUCCAGAAUCGACUCUAUCAAUUUUUGCAUUCAGCUACUUCGUUUCACAGCCAUAGCUAGUGCUGGUUCUUAAGCUUCCGUGGCAACGAGAUCUCUAUUCUCGCUCAAAUCCGCCAUUCACUAGAGGUUCACCACCUCGCGGCCAAACACGGCUUCCUCCUUCGAUCUUCUUUGACGAUGUGGGCCGUGAUCAUCGUCUCAGAUCUGUGCUAGGGUCAUCAUUUGUCGUAGAUCUGAGCAAGGGUCGCGGCCAUAAUUGUCGGAGGAGCGAGAGUGGCUAGUGGGAAGGUCCCUGUUGACGAGUGACGAGGGUGGCUCACUUGUCUCCCACACGCUUACUUUAUUUUUAUUUUUAUUUUCAAAAUGCGAAGGUGGCAGCAAGGGUUGCACUAGCUUACGUAAGUCUGGUGUGGGACAUUGGCCCCUCGCUGAUGCAUGGGUGGCCCUUGAACCUAGGGGUGAGCAUGGUUCCCGGGUAGAACCGGGAACCGGAGAUUCCCGGUUCUAAGAGGACCGGUUCCGGUUCCCGGUUCCCCUUUUCUGGGAACCGGAACCGGAACCGGCACUGGGAAACGGAACCGGAACCGGAACCGGCAUUGGGAACCAGAACCGGUUCAAUUAGGGCACAAAAAAACCCCAAAUCAAAAGUUCUCUCGCUUCUUGCACAGUACAGAAUCCACACACGACACUUUUAGUUUUCACAGAGUUCUCUCUUCGCCCGUCCAUUCUCCAUCUCCGCUCGACGCCACUGCCUGUCCGCCGAUCGCCCUCGAGUCUCGAUGCCACCGCUUGUCCGCCGGUCGCCCUCGAGUCUCGACGCCACCGCCGGUCUCCCUCGAGUCCUCGACGCCACUGCCGCUGAUCUCUGCUCGAGGGUCGAAGCCACCUUCGCUCGCCCUCGACGGCACCGCGGCUGACCUCUUCGCCCAUCCGUUCUCCAUCUCUGCUCGACGCCACCGCCGGUCGCCCUCGAGUCUCGACGCCACCGCCGAUCGCCCUCGAGUCUCGACGCCACCGCCGAUCGCCCUCGAGUCUCGACGCCACCGCCGGUCGCCCUCGAGUCUCGACGCCACCGCCGGUCGCCCUCGAGUCUCGACUCCACCGCUGGUCUCCCUCAACACCACUACCGCUAAUCUCUGCUCGAGGGUCGAGGCCACCUUCGCUCCCCCUCGACAACACCGCGGCUGACCUCUUUGCCCGUCCAUUCUCUAUCUCUUCUCGACGCCACCGCCGGUCGCCCUCGAGUCUCGACGCCACCGCCGGUCUCCCUCGACGCCACCGCCGGUUGCCCUCUAGACUCUUGCUGAAUGUGUGUGGACAAUUUGCUUGUGGCCGAGUCAUGUGAGAUUUUCUCUUUGGGCCUGCAAUGUGCUGUUGUUGCGCGAUUGCUAUCUCUAGCUCGGCUGCUCGUUGAAUAUGUGGUUUUUGAUUUGGUUGAUGGCUCGAAGUUUUGAUUUUUGUCGUGACUGCAGUUUUCGUGAAUGGAUUUGGUGUUUCCCUUGGAUUUAUUUGAAUGCUUUGAUUCGUACUUUGGUGGAGUUCUGUUCAUUCGGUCUAUUGCUCCUUGCCGCUUUUCAAUUGGGAUUCGGCUGAUAUUCUGGUUUCAUUCGUGGCUUGUAUCUGCUAACUCUUUACAGUUUUGGUGUGGUUGAUCUUUUGGUUUCCUUUCUGGCAUGCAAUAUGUUUCUCUGGCAUUUGGAAGAUUGGUUUUCAUUCUACAUUUAUUGUGGUUCCGGGCUAAAUGUACUAUUUUUAGUUAAUCUAAUUCAUCAACACGGAAUGAGAUACCUACAGUCUAGAAUUGGAGAAGGAUUUUGCAGUGCAUGAACUGUGUAUUCUGUGAAGACAGAAGAAAACCGAGGAGAUAAUUGUGGUUCAUUUUUAUGAGUGUUUUGGGGUGUUCUUGUCUUUCUGUUCAACCAUUAUAUGUUCAUGAUCAUGAGUGUAUGAACGAGCCUUCAAUUUCUCUUUUGAAUUCUCUGUUGCUAUGUCAAAAAAGAAAAGAACAGGAGAAAAGUGAAGAGUAGAGAGAAGAGAGAGUGAAAAAUCUUUCAUCCAUUGUGGCAUCCUACUCUUUAUAGAACAUAUAAUGGUAGUUCACGUGUGCUUUAUCAUACCUUUUGUCUUGUAGGUGUCACAUAUGCUUAUGGAGCUGCUGUUUAAUAUGUUCUAACCAACCAAAUGUAGCUAAUUUAAUUUUAAAAUCAAAUGUUUACAUAAUUUGGCUAGAUGAAUGUCUUUGAUCUUUCCAUUGUUCUCUCAGCUCCUCCUUUUAAAUCAUGACCAUUUUCUUUCUAUUAGUCUCUUAGUUGGCAUUUGAUUGAUAUCUGACAUUCUUUUUGCAGCAAGUCGAAGGAUUAAAUUUCUUCCGCUCAAGGCUAGCUUUUGGGAAACGAUAAGAUCAGGGUAAAUGACAAAUCAUUAAUGCCUUGAUUAUGCUGUCAAGCAUAUGCUGCACAUGCACCCGAAUUGCAAAUAUCAAAUUCUUUUCGUUUUCUGGUCAUUCAUCUUUAUUUGAAGAGUUAAAUACUAUCCUUACUUGUGAUAGUUACACCAGCAUGGACCGUGUGACUUCUCCUCAAAACCACGGGCAGUUCUUUUUGUCAGCUCCCAUAAGAAAACAUCCCUUCUCAAAACCAGUUGCCAUGGAAAAAAAAAAAACCAGUUGCCAUGCUCGCUAUAUAUCCUGAACUGAGUUUUUUUUUUUUUUUUUUAAAAAAAAAGAGGAAUCUUGCACUGCAUGAAUGAGGCUUUUUGGGAACUUGGUGUUGCAUUUUCGGGAUUUCUUGAGAUUUGACUGACUUAAGACUUAGGUAUGUCCUUUUUAUGUGUAGGGCUGCGUGGGCUGCAUGGUUGCUUCACUGGAAGAAACUUUUUAUUUGAGUUACUUUGUUUUCUCAAAGCUUUUAGUAGCACAAAACAUUUCAAACAAAAGCUCUUUUUUAAUUAUAUUUUAUAAAUCUAUUUUCUUUACUGAAUUGCUUGUCAGCCUUUUCAGCCAUUUCUUAUUCUGCAUUCUAAGCUUUGUGUGACAAUAUUCUGCAUUUAGUUAAUACCAAUAUUCUCUUUUGGCAGUUUUUUAAAGGACAGCGCGACACAAAUCGUUGAUCCACCAACCAGUCUUGAAGAGGAGGAAGAGAUCUUACCUCUUUAAGAAGCCUGAGUUCUCUCUUGAUCCUUCUUUUCUACGGUUUCACCUUGCUGGUUAAGGUAGGCGAUGAAAUGAACAGACUGAAACUGGUCUACUUUCCCAUGGUUUGUGCUGUAUUAUGUUUCUAUACAGCAUUGGUAUGCUGUAUUUCAACAUAAUAGACUUAGCUUAUGUAUAAAAGUGUUGUAUUAUGUUUCUAUACAGCAUUGGUAUGCUGUAUUAUACUGUAUUAACGUUGUUAUCAACUAAAUUAAUUAUAUUCUGUAAUUGUUGUGUAGUGCAAAGAUAAUCUAUCAAGAUAACACAUCAAUGGAGGUGGAGGGACAUGAGGAUAUGACUCCGGAAUUGGAAUUUUCUGGCCAUGAAAAUGAAGAAGAGGCACCUCCUACUACAAGUGCCACGAGUAAGGUACCUGGUUCUCAUCUUCCUCAGGAUAAGAAAUAUACAUCAGAAUGUUGGAAUAAUUAUACAAGAAUUAAUGAUAAGGAUGGAAAACCAAAUCAAGUGAAGUGCAUACAUUGUGGGACAACGCUUAAGUAUCGUGUUGCUAACGGUACUUCUGCGAUGAGGAAGCACUUGACCACAUGCAGGAGGUUUCCCCAUCAUGUAGAUAAGAGACAGAAGUUCUUUGUACCCUGUAAUGUAGACAUAGCUGGCAAGUCAGGAGGUGAUUCUAAUGCUGGUAGUAUCUUAUCAACAUGGUCGUUUAAUCAAGAACAUUGUAGGCGAAUGCUUGCUCGGUUCAUCAUCAGUGAUGAGCAACCUUUUUCCUUGGUUGAGCGUGUUGGAUUUCGUGAGUUUGUUAGUGAGUUACAGCCUCUUUUCAAACAUAUAUCACGUUUCACGGUGGCAAAAGAUUGCAUGAAGUUGUAUAUUGAUGAAAAAACUUCUUUGAAGAAUUAUUUUCGACAGAUUAAUUCUAGGAUCGCACUCACGACCGAUACAUGGAGCUCCAUUCAAAAUCUGAAUUAUUUGUCUCACUGCACAUUUUAUUGAUGAAAAUUGGAAGUUGCAUAAAAGAAUCAUCAAUUUUGUGGUGAUGCAUAGUCACAGGGGUAGAGAAAUUGAGAAAAUGGUAGAGAAAUGCAUUCAAGAGUGGGAAAUUGAAAAAAAGGUGUGCACAAUCACUAUGGAUAAUGCUAGCUCGAAUGAUGUUGCAAUUAACUAUCUGAGGGAUAAAUUUUCCAAAGAAAAGUCGUUGAUAUUGGAUGAUAGUGUUUUGCACAUGAGGUGCACAGCUCAUAUAUUGAAUUUGAUUGUGAGAGAUGUCUUGACUAGAGUACGUGACUCCAUUACAUGUGUCCGGAAUGUGGUUAGGUAUGUAAAGAGUUCUCCCGCAAGAGCCAAUGCAUUUAAGUCUUGCAUUAAGAGUGAAAAUAUCUCUUAUAAAGGUUCGGUAGUUCUUGACGUUGCUACUAGAUGAAAUUCAACUUAUCUCAUGUUAGACACCGCCAUCAAGUUCAAAAAAGCUUUCCAAAGAAUGGAAGAUGACAAUUUAUCAUUUGCAAGUGAGCUAAAUCAUGAAAAUCCUAGUGAUGAUGAUUGGAAAAAUGCUAUUAUUAUUUCAGAUUUUCUAAAAGUAUUCUAUGAUGCCACCAAUCGGAUGUCGGGGAGUUCAUAUGUUACUUCAAAUGAUUAUUUUGAAUGAAUAGCUCUUUUGUAUAGAUAUUUGAAAGAUGCGGUCAAUGCUUCGAAUCUUAGGCUUCAUGAUAUGGGUGUGAAAAUGAAAGAAAAAUUUGAAAAAUAUUAUGGAAGCUUGGAUAAAGUGAAUAUGAUGGUUUUGAUUGUGGUUGUGUUAGAUCCUAGAGCUAAGUUGAAUUAUGUGACUUUCUUGUAUGGACAAAUUUAUGAUGAUUAAUUGAAAGUUAAAGAGAUGCAUUACAAGGUGAAGGAUGCAUUGGAGCGUUUGUAUGAAUUUUAUGAGCAAUCUUCUCUUAUUUCAAGUGAUCAAAAUUUUGGUGGCCAUAGUUCGGGUGCAAGUAGUAGUGCUUCUAAUGUCAAUUCGGGUGGUAGUGAAGGAAUAAAGAAGUAUGAUGGACAAGCUUGGAAGAAAAUAUUUUUAUACUCGAAUGAACAAGGGUGUGAUGACAACAAGUCCGAGCUUGAUCAAUAUCUUCAAGAGAAAAAUGAAAAGAAUCUUGAUAUUGACCUUUUGAUAUGGUGGAAGACUAAUGGCUCAAAAUAUAAGAUUCUUUCUUUGAUGGCUCGAGAUAUUUUGUCCAUUCCCGUAACUACCGUUGCUUCCGAGUCAACUUUUAGUGCAUCGGGUCGUGUUCUUAAUGGUUUUCGAAGUUCUUUAACUCCCAAAGUAGUGGAAGCUUUGAUUUGCACUCAAGAUUGGUUGAGAGCCGUUCGUGUACCGAUUGAUGUUGAGGAGUGCAUCGAGAAUGCAGAAAAUUUUGAGUUGGGUAAGUGACGUUAUUUAUAUCUUUAUAUAUUGUAAUUCUUUUUGUAUAUUUAUAAGUGAAUAUUUUAUUUAAUCUCUUUUUCUUCUUCUUUUUAUAGAUAUGGAUGGUCUUAAUGGGGAAACUAUCGCCGGUAAAUAGAGUUUAAUAAAGAAAGUGAAGGUGCUGAUGGAAAAGUUAGAAAUCAUGAUAAAGCUUAGUGAGUUCCUGAAAUAUUGACCACGCAUGAAAACUGAACAGCAUUUAACCUGUUGAAUUUGCUUGUUUACUCAAAAUGGUUAAUUUUAUGUUGUCUUAUUAACUAAAUGCUGCAAGUUCUGCUGGAAUUCAAGGAGUAUGCUAUAUAAGUAGAUGUCGAUUUUGUUAGAAAGGCAGUCCGUGCUAUUGGUCGCUGUGCAAUCAAGUUGGAGAGAGCAGCAAAGCGAUGCAUCAGUGUUUUGCUGGAGCUGAUUAAGAUUAAAGUCAAUUUUGUGGUUCAAGAAGCCAUUAUACUUAUUAAAGACAUUCGGAAGAUAUCCUAACAUGUUAGUCUCGAUAUCUGUAAUUUUUGGAGUACGUGAACUGAAAAGCAGUUCCAUUCAUCUCUUAAUUUAGUGGUGCUCUCAUCAUGCAGGCUGAGAAGAUCAACAUGGAAGAGAAGAUUGAAGAGAAGAGGAAGCUUGAAGAGGAAGACUUAGCUAGAUUGACUAAAGAGAAGGAAAGCCAUGACUUAGAAUUUUUCUGUCCAUCAAUUUAAAUCUUUUAAUUUAUGGAACGAUUUAAAAAAUCCACUCAAAUCUUUUUCUGCAGGAUUACAGGUUGAAGCAUUAGCUGACACAGCAGAGAACUAUCACCAAGUUCUUGCAGAAAAUAGGAGGCUAUUUAAUGAGGUUCAAGUUCUUGGUGCUGUAAAUGCCCUCAACAGUCCAAGUUGGCUGCUACCAUGGCAUCUUUCAUAAUACACAAGCAGCGGGAAAGAUCAGCUUUCACCAAGGCAGCACUAAAAACGGUACUCUCUUCAUUGAAAUAAAUAUGAUCGCUAUUGCUAAUUCAUUCUACAUAAUGUAGCUCUGAGGCAAUUUGGUUUAGUAAUUGACUGUUUUGUUUUACUCUGAGAGGAGGCGAGAACAAAUUGUACGUCUUGCUAAGUAUAUUUGUGUCCCAACUUAUUCUCUAUGCAGCUUGAAAGCAUCCAAAAUUUGGAAUAAUUUAUGAGGAAGCAUCGGAAGGACUAUGUGGACCCACUCCGCAGUCCGCACCAUAGAACGGGAGAGAGAUAGCAUUGAACAUGAAGUAAGUCAUUGAAAUGCUUCAAGAUUUUCUUAAUAAAACCACCUGGAAUUUCUGUAUGUAUUGUCAAGACUUAGAUACAUGAGAAAUCUUGUGAAGGUCUAUAGGGUCUGAUUAUUUUGGUUCUGCUUAAAGGCAUGCAUUUCAGAUUUUAAUUGUCUAUGUAUUUUCUUUCUGACUAAGUCUGGAAAGCUAGCCGUCUCAUGACUCUGAUGAUCUUUGUGCCAUGUGUGUGAUUGAAAACUCUGAUAAAUCCACCAUCUCCCUUACUGACUUCUUAUGGGUUUAUAAAUAAAGUUUCUAAUUUGAAUGUACGCAGUAUAUCCUUGAUGAGGUCGAUUGUACUUUUGUUCCCAUGAAUGGUGCUUUGAUUGCCUAUUCCUUCAUUUUCACAUGCAAUGUAUCCUCAGAGUUCACCUUACAGCAAGUUAGUUAUUUUACGUUUUGCUAAAAAGGAAAAAAAACUGGGUGAUGUUUUGCAGGUUACUACUUUCAUCAAAACUUGCAAAGAACAUAUUGAUAUCCUGCAAGUUAGCAUAACUGAGGAGGAAAGAAAGUUGAAGGGAUGGCUUCGCCUUAGUGCUGAUGGUUCUAAAUUCUAAUGCUGAUACCAUAGCACACAAACAGGGAGUGGUGAGGCGAUUCUGUAUUUCAUGCAUCUUUUGGCAGUGUAAACUAUGUAAUCUUAUGACUGUGCAUGAUUUUUAAGGAAACUAAUUGUUCAGUUGCUCUUUAUUUAGAUUGAAACAUAUAACAUUAAUUUGGUGAGGCUGGAGAUGCUUUAGGAAUUUUUUUUUUUGGGUAGAAAAACAGAAGUAAUGCUUUAGGACUUUAGAUUCCAUAGAAAGGACGUAAGUUUGUUGUAAUGCUUUAUGAGUUAUUUGAGAUGUUUCAUGAUUAAGCCUCUGUAUGGGCCUUGGAGACUGCUGUUUAAAUAAGAUAUUGCAGUUAAGAAGAAUUUUCUCCUAGCACAGAUAUUUUUCGCCAUUUUUAUUUUCUUGUUUUAAAGAAGCAAUUGGAGGGACUUUUGCAUUGCACUAGAACAAAAUUGAGAUCCGCAUGUAUGGUGCUGAUUUUGAUGAAUCAUUCUGCGCAUAAAGGAGUUCUGUUCUUUCAUGUUGUAACAUGUCUAAUGCUGUAAGGUUGCUGGAGAUUUACUUUUCUCUGUUUUGGUAUGAAUUUCCUGUGCCUGGUGAGAGGGAUUUGCUUUUUCAGGUUUUUUCUGGGCACGCGUGCACACGUGAGAGAGAGAGAGAGAGAGAGAGAGAGAGAGAGAGAGAGGACUUCUGGCUUCCGGUUAUCUUGUCAGAUUUGAUUAGGAUACUCAGGUUUACACUGUGGUUUCUGUGGCAUGGGACAUGCAUUUUCUGGUGGAUUAAUUUGCUGUUAAUUACUCUCUUGUACUACUGUAGGUAUUGAUCUUAAGUGAGAAGCUUCAUUCUGUCAAUGCACAGUUUGAUCAGCUAAGAGCCAUACCUUCCAGGAUGCCAUCAAUAGGGUGACACCUAGAAGAAAACCAAAUAAUCUGCCAGUUCAAUUCCUGUAGAUAACUCAAACGGUAAUUUGGAAUUCAAAGAGUCUUAACAAAGUUCCAAGUGAGCUUCUGAGAGUCCAGCAACAACACUUGGAUGAUGAGACCCGUGCCCUUCAGAUAAUCACUCAGACUUCUGUUCAAAGAGUCUAACAAAGACGCUGAUUAGUUAAUUUAUUCUAGCGUUCAUGUCACUCAGACUUCUGUUCCGGUGUAUGUAUUGUUCAGGUAGAGUUGACGAGCCUUCUAGAUUCAGUCCAUCAAACGGAAACGAAGAUGGUGGAAAUGUCUGCAUUGAAUCACCUCAUUUCCACACAUUUGUCUUUGCGUGGUUUAUAUACCCUAGUGUCUACUGUAUGUUGUGCCGCACAUAUAUUUUGCCCUUUGAUUUGGGUUUUUCAGCUUAACCUGGACAGCUACUAGGUAAUGUUAUAAUAAUAUCUUUACUGAUGGCGUAUGCUAUCCUUUAGAUUUAUUGCAAUUAUAUCACUAUUAAUCAUAAAUUUUGAGUAGGUGAAUGUCAAAAGUGGUAAAACUCAUGUUCAAAUUGGACUGUUGGGUGCAUUAUGAAUUUAUGAGUAAGAAAGGCAUGCUUAUUGAUCCUCUUGUCAUUGCCAGGUGUUUUUCUGCAAGUACAAUGACCCAAUUUAUGUGAAGAUGGAGAAGUUAGAAAUCAUGAUAAAGCUUGCUUUGGACAGAAAUAUUAUGUCUGUGGGACAUCCUCUUUCUAUUCCUACUCACAAAUAGCAUGUGCUUAUCAGGACUUGUGGUAUGUACUACUAACAAUAAUAUCUCACAUGAUGUUGACAACUCCAGGGACAUCUCAUAAAAAAUCCAAGUACACAGAGAGCAAAAAGUUUACUUGAGAUACCAGCUGCUCAUCGCAUUUUCAUUAGUGGCACUCCAAUUCAGAACAAUCUAAGGGUAAUCCUUAGGGCUGCUAUUUUAUGCAGUGCUUUCAUAUCUGUUAUGUCUUAACAAAUUAAUAAUACAGUAUACUUUUCUAAUAUUGUGUGCCAUUUUUUUUAUGCUUAAAUAGGAACUAUGGGCGCUAUUUAACUUCUGCUGUCCUGAACUACUGGGUGUCUGACAAAGAGGAUCAACGUAUCAUAAGGUGAGCUUGUGUUGUCUACUAUAUUUAUAUGGGAGAGUGCUUCUACUUAAUUCUGAAUCAUGUGCAAGAUCGCAUCUUAUGACCACAUGUGCAUCUCCCAAUAAUUUGUUGCUUUAUCCCAUAUGUCAAGCCUUCUUUUGGUUUCUGAUUUCAGAGAGCUUCUCUUGGACUUUUAUGUGAGUUUCGGCAAAAGGAAACCUGACCGGAUUAUCAUAUUCAGGUCUGUAUCUUUAAUGAUGUGAUGUCUUAAGUGUGCCUGAUUUAAUGCAUUAUCUAUAUUACCAAUCCUCUUUUAAGAGGACUAGGAGCAAUUGAAUGCACUCUCCAGAGGGACGAGUGGUGGUGUCUUAGCCUCUUAGGCCUAUGUAAAAGGCACAUAAGGAUAUGCAUGAGUGUCGCGACCAAUUUUUCGGGUGUAGACCACCUAGAGUUUGGCUAAUGGAUUGUUAAGCCUAGACUUAACUCGAGCUCUCCCAAGCCCAUACCAAUUUGCGACUUAGGUUUGAAUUGUUAACAUGCAAAUUUUUUAAUUAGGAGUCGCCACUAAUCUAUUUUUUGUGGGUCGAUUAGAAACCCAAAUAAAAUAAUGGGAGAUUCACUUUACUCCUACGAACCAGAGAUUAGGGGUACGGGGGCUUGGUUACGUUAGAUUUCUCUAACGCCCUUUCAGUACCUUUCUUUUUAUUUUGAAAAAUGUUUGGCAAGCAAUUUGGAUUGAUUUUAAAUCUAUUUCUCUAACAUGUGAGGUGUUCAUGCAGGUGCGCAAACCACCAAUUUAACACCCAAGAAAGCAAUUAAAUGAUGCAGAACUUACCUCAAAGCAACGAAAGCAUCUGUAGUGUUAAAUUAAAAUCCACAUCAACAAUCCUAGAUAUGGUUCCUAAUUAACACGCAAUUUCUUUUCUUUUUGUUUUCACUUAUUAAACGAGGCUAUAAUCCAUAUGCAAUGCAAUGCUUUUAAUCUAAUAUGAAAUGAUAUGGCAUGGCAACAUGUCCUAAACAUAUGAAUAAAAUUUUUAUGAUCUCUUAAUGAACAUGCAAUGGUUAAAUAUGCAACCUAAAUUAACUAAAAUGACUUAAUUCUAAUGACGUGCAAUGCAAUGCAAUGACGUACAAAAUUAUUUUAACUAAAAUGACAUGCAACAUUGCAAUUUAAUAUGCGAGCUAUAUGUCAUGCGACAUUUAUUAAAUGACCUAAUCUAAUGAUGGACAAUUUCUAAUUAGAAAUGAACCUAACAAUAAUCACUAAAUGACGUGCAUUUCAUGAACCUAAAUCUAUAUGACAUGCAAAUGACAUUUUUUAUUUUAAAAAUGCAAUCUAUCCUAAAAAUUGCAACUAAUUUAUCCUAAGACAAAUUUUAUGAAAUUUGAAAUGAUCUAGCUAGAUUAAGAUUCUAUCUAAUUUAAACUAGGGAUUAAGUCAUAUUAAAUCCUAAUUUAAACUAAGACAUUAUCUAAAUCAAAAAUGCAAUUUAUCUGAAAAAGAUGAUCUAAAUUUAAAAUGAAACAUGCAAUUCUAAUCUAAUAUGCACAAUGAUUUUUUUGUGUUUUUCUUUAAUCUCGAAAUUAAAACUAAAACAUAAUUAACAUGCAAUUCAAAUAAAAAAAACUAACAACCUAAAUGAAUGCACUUUCCUUUUUUGGAUAUUUUUUAUUUAAAAAUUCAUAAUAAGAUUGCAAUCCUAAAUAUGCAAACCUAAUCCUAAUUAAGAUUUUUUUGAUAUUUUAUUUUACGAAGAUAAGAUUUGACUCAACCAACUUGACGAUAGCAAAUCAAACAAAAGAUAAGAUUGAUUUUCAAAAAUUGACGAACCAUAUCUCGCGCAUGAGAUCGGGUUAGCCAAUUUUAAAUUAAAUCGAGAAUCGAAUCUCGGGCUUGAGAUUGGAUUGUCGAUUUUGUAAAGGAUUGCGAGUCGGAUUUCGGGCGCGAAAGUCGGACUAUCAAUCCCUAAUUUGAGAGCUCCUCGAGUUGCGAAUAUCACGCUAGGGAUUUCAAUCAUAUGCAUCAACGAAUAUAUUAAAUAAGGAAACGGAAUUUUUGGAAAUCAAAAUAGACAAAUUUUUUACCUAUUCCGAAUAUUGGCUCCCAAAUUCCAAUCCUCAAACGGCUACGGCUACUCGUGACAUGAUAUGGUAAUGCUCCGCGAGGCUCACAGCUCGGACUCGGAUGUAUGGAUUGCCGGGGCGAUGACUGGAUUCGGUUAAGGAAGACCUGCAUUAAUAAAAAUUCGAACAAAAACAAGAUAACUGGAUCAGUGGAGGUCUCGGGCACGUCAAGGACGCAUUGGAAAAUCGGCCUGGAAUUGCUGGAUGAAACACCAUAAAGUUGCAGAGUGGGCGAGGACUGGCUUCGUUGAUGUUGGUCUCAGAAAAGCGGCAUCCGAGAAGUGAGAAUUGCGUGAAUUAAUCUUCACAAAUCACCACUCACAACUCAUCUUUAAUUCCUUAUUUUUUAUUCCUCCACUCACUAAUGGCGUCUCAAUGCUUCACGCCCCUCCUGCUCUCUCUGGAUUGUCUCUUGCAAAGAGAAGGCGCGCCAAUCAAGAGUGUUCUGAUGAAGGUGCCCAGGCCAGCAACGUGAGAUGCAACCCAAUACACGGUCGUGUAUCUCCACCAUCUGGUCUCCCUCUUACGAAGUGAUAAAAAUGAAGUUCCCCCUUUGUGCGGCCGUAUAUUCAACGUGUGGCCUCCUCCAAAACCCUACGUGUUUUACCUUUUUAUAGGCCACCGAUUAGGGUUUUUAAUUUUUCCAAAUCGAUAUCCAUGAAGAUCCUUUUUUCAAAUGCAAUAUUCACUUUUCCGGACGCCAUAUUCGUUUACACUUGCCCUAUCCGAAAAAAUUCAUAUCCCGAAAAAUUUUCAAAAUAUUAUAUUCCCACAAGAUAAUUUCUAAUUAUUAAACAAACACGGGCUUGGGCCAGCCUGCUCACUUCGUGGGCCUGAUCCAUCUAAUUCGAACUCAUCCACCACCAGUCCAAUAAAAUGCAAAAAAUGCAAAAAACAAAAUAAAUGCAAUCUAAAUCUAUAUGUUAUGCAAUUAAUAAAAUUAACCCCUAAUUUCCUAUGCAAUAAAUAAAUAAAUAAAAUUGUCAAAAUUUAAGUGUCAACAAUGAGUGAUUGUACUUUUGCUUUCACUUACUCAAGUUUGCUCACCCGAACAUAAAAGGGACAUAAUGAGUGUGCUCUAGUAUAUAUUGGAAACUCUUCCUUCCCCAUUUCUCAUGAGAAAUUUUCGAUUUUAUUCUCAUCGAUUGAUGGGUAAUAUUUUGGAUUAAAAGUUUUGAGUUGUUCAUGAGUGUUUGCAGCAGGAUGGCAGGAGUUAAGCUAUUCUUCUUUUACUACUCGAUUUUCUGCACUUGCCUAUAUUGCAUAAUGAAAUAUGACUUUCCACUGGAUAUGGUGAGUAAAGCCAAAAAAAUGCCUUCUGUUACCAAAUUGAUACUGUCAAGUGGCUUCUUUUGGUUGUACUAAAAUUGCACUAAGAAAAGAAGGCCUUGGAGCUAAGGAUCAAUUCUUGGAUAACCGUUCUGCAAAGGUUGGGGACUUGAAUGCAGAACUACAGUUGGAGGAUGGAGUCCAGCAACCAUUCAAUAAUCUCGCAAACUACGUCAAUUCAGAACAUUUUCCAUCUUCUGAAGGUUGUUCUUUAUAGGAUACUCUAUGUUUCUAAAGUUAGUUUUCUAUUUUUCCCCCUUAUAUAUUUUUUUUUAUAGUUGUUUAAUUUCUCUUCUGAAGGUUCAGCAGAGGAUCUCAUCAAGCAAGAUCUUCGAAAUGUUGCUAAGGGUGUAGCUGCUUCUGUUCUUCAGCCGGCUCUUCCUUCUAAUCCUGAUUUAACAGAAGGAAAUGAGUCCACUCAUGAAGCAUACCAGGAUAAAAAUGUGCAGCAAGAAGCUGACACUGAGGUGAUUGAGCUCUUUUGUGUUCAUAAAGUGUUUGUAUACAUGAGGUUGCUUUGUCCUUCAAGUGCAUUCAUUUUGAUGAUCAUGUACAUCUGACAUUUUCAUGUAGGAUGCUAAUUCUAUAGUGGCAGAGAGGAUGAAUUUCGGGUUUCCAAUAUUAGAUGGCAUUGGUCGCUUGCAAGUGAGAGAUUUGCUUCACUAUGAUACAUGUUUGGUUUUCCUAGGACUCAGCUCUUAAUUUGCUUGGAUUUCCGUUCUGUAGAUAAUUAAGAACGGUGAUCUUGAAGAGUUGCGAGAAUUAGGUUCUGGCACUUAUGGGACUGUUUAUCAAGGAAAAUGGAGGGGUACUGAUGUAGCCAUCAAAAGAAUCAAUGAUAUUGAUAAGUGCUUUUCUAGGAAGCCCUCAGAGCAAGAGCAAAUGGUAUGGAUCUUCUUGCUUUUUGUUGUUUUUGAUAUUUAAUAGUAUUCUUUCUGAAUCCUUGGCACUGUUGCUAUGCUGAGACAGAGAUAUGAUUUCUGGAAUGAGGCAAUCAACCUUGCUGACUUGCAUCAUCCAAAUGUGGUGGCCUUUUACGGUGCUGUGCUUGAUGGUCCUGGAGUUUUUGUGGCAACAGUAACAGAGUACAUGGUUAAUGGUUCUUUGCGAAACGCUUUGCAGAAAAGCGAAAGGUACGACUCUUCUCCAAGUAGAUGCUAAUUUGUCAUAUGCCGAUUUCGAUCGUGCAAUCACGAAUGCUAUAGAAGAUGAACCAACUUAUCCAUUGGACGAUAAACAGAAUGCCAGAACCAGAAGAAAUACAACUAAGGAUGAUGAACUAGUUAAGUAUAUGUCGAAGUUGCCAGCUAUUCUUGAGAGGGGGAAAAACGUUCCGGAGAAAGCUUUUAGUGUUGGAGUUCUUGACUAGCGAUGUCUUGAAAAAUGGAAGCAUAGCCACAAGUAGACUACGCCCAGAAAUGGCAGGUAUUCCACCUCUAGUAGCAGCACCUCCUCUUCGUUCUUAGUGGAGGGAUUAUCCAACCAUUCCAAUUUCCAGUAGAGGAGUGCUGACUUUGGCGAAAAUCUUUGGGAACUUGAAGACACUUUAUCAGAAGCUGCAUCAAAGCAUGAGCUAUGAGUCUUUUGCUGAUUUAAACAAGUUUUUCCAGGUAUGCCACCUGCAUAAAGUUAGUAGGAUAGCAGGGAAUGCACAAUUUUUCCUAAGACAUCAUUUGAUAGAAACGUGCGGGUGAACUUACCUUUAUGAUUUUAUGAAUUCUGUGUUCAUUAUAAGUAGAUGAAGCUAAGUCUGGCUCUUAUGCCUACAGUGCAAUUAUGGUCAUUGUCACAGCACAUUUCAUCCAUCAUGUGCUCGAACUAUUGGAAUGUUCAUGAGUGUAAAAACAGUUUGUUUAUUACUUCUAAAAUGUUGUUUGCUGUUUGUGUUAUAUUAUCUUCGAUGAAUGACAAGUUUGUUUAUCAUUGCUACAUUCAUUUUCAUUUUUUUAACUAAAAAUUAAAAAAAAAAAAAAAAGAACUCGUUGGAACCUGGAACCGACCCCGGAACCUGUGAUAGGGUAGGUUCCAGGUUCUCGGUUCUGACGAGUAGGUUCCAGGUUCCAAAAAAUGAGGAACCUGUACCCGAGGGUAGGUUCCAGGUUCCAAGCGGAACUUGUAAAGAACCGGGAACCGCUCACCCCUACUUGAACCGCCAGCAGCUUCUCCUAUGUUUGAUUCUUCUUUUUUUCCAAAUUUUUAUUUCAAAUUUUUAUUUUUUUAAAAUCUUGAAAUCAAUUCUUUUUCUUUUUUAUAUUGUUUAUUUUUGUAAUAUCUAACGUGGCAACCUCAUCAACACAUUUCUUUUAAAAAGAUGGUAAAAAAAAAAGUCGCAUCAGUUUUUUCUGAUAGCCAAAUGGGACGGAGUUAAUGUAAAAACCUGAGUGAACCGAUUUGAAAAGUUUAAGUGUCCGUUCGUUUCGCGGAAAAUAUCAUGUUUCCAGAAAACAUUUUCCUAGAAGCCAUUUUUCAAGAAAAUGACUCUAUUUUCUGGUAUUUGGUCAAAACCUAAAAUUUGAGUGGAAAAUAUUUUCCACUGUUCCUUAGCUCAUUUAAUUGUUUGGGAAAAAUUAUCAAAAAUCGAAUUUUAAUAUUUUUAAUUGACCAAAAAAUUAAUUUUAUUUUUUAUAUUUAAAAAAAUGAGUUUUUAAUUAUUUAUAUUUUAAAAAAAUCGAAAUUUUAUUAUUUAUUAUUUUUUCUUUCUUUUUCUUUUUCUUUUUCUUUUUCUUUUUCUUUUUUUCUUUUUCUUUUCCUUCCCCCUUCCUCCUUCCGCCUCCUUCUUGCUUAACGAUGGCCGGCUGCCUGGCGGCCGACCAAGACUCGGUGGCCAGAUCCGGCGAGCUCGAGGCUUGGCCUAUCUCACCCGAGCUCACCGUGAGCUUCGCCGGGCUCUAGCGAGCCGUGAGCUCGCCAGAUCUGGCAGCGGAGCUCGAGCUUGCCUAGAUCGGGAGCCCGAGCUCCGCCACCAGAUCCGGUGAGCUCUCGGCUCGCCAGAGCCUGGCGAAGCUCGCAGCGUGCUUGGGUGAGGCCCAAGCCCGCCCGAUCUCGGCUUAGCCAAAUCAAGCUAGGUGGAGCCUCGCCGGCCUGGGGUGAGGCCGACGAUGUCACACCCCAAACCCCGAGCAUGUACCCAUCCCUCUCUAGUUGAUAAAAUUUUGUGACUUCCCAUGACUAGUCGCCGACCCUUUUAUUUUAUUGCACAUGCGGAAGCGAAAAAGAAUCCCUUAACAGCAACCAUCUCGGGAUAGAAAAGUAUAACAAUAAUUUCACAAACAAACAUGCCUUUAUAAACAUAUGCUAAGUNNNNNNNNNNNNNNNNNNNNNNNNNNNNNNNNNNNNNNNNNNNNNNNNNNNNNNNNNNNNNNNNNNNNNNNNNNNNNNNNNNNNNNNNNNNNNNNNNNNNAAGAGUUUAUGGUCAAAGACUACAAAAGACUGUUCUCCACAAGAAGCAGUCCUAUCCGACCUAUGCUUCAGAUCACCUCCUUUCUGCUCCAGGUCCUCCACUCGAUGACCCUGAAAUGGUUAUUCAAUAACCAAUGAGACAAUGUCUCAGCAAGUCUAAGCUCUAAACUUCUGCUAGGAGGGAAAGACACUAAGAAGCGUCUUAAGCACGCAAUCACACAAUCAAGGAGACUUACCUCGUCUCAGUUCCACUCUGCAGGUCAGCACAGUUUAUAUCACAAAUUAGAGCAUCACUCAAGCUCAAUUAAUUGGAACACAAUACUCAAUUCAUCAAGCGUUCCUAGUUUUGAUUUCGGCAUAUAGCACAGCAUACUCUCAGUUUAGUGGUCUUCUGGCAUUGCCAGGCUUCGUCUCACCCACGUCACUUUGUCAACGACUUUCCCGAAGGAGCAUAGGGUCCAGAAUCUAUUACGACCGGCUUCCCUUUGUCAAGGGGUAUCCCAAAUAGGGAUAACGUCUAGCUCAACAGUCCGGGACGAUUUCUCAUCAUCAUCACACGAUCACUCAAAUAUGGCUCAAGGCACCGUGCAUUGCACUCAAAUACUUCAAUUAAAAUGGUGAACCUAGCAUUUUUUUCUUCGUAUUAGAAAUACGCAUGAAAAUAGUCGUGUAUAGGUACAAAAUCAACUUGACCCAAAAAAAUUGACAUUUUUCCUUUUUUAAAAUUCCACUAUUUUAUAUAGUAUAUAAAACCAUUUUCAGUGUUAAAAUUCGACACUCGGGAUUUUCUGAGUAAAUAUUGUUUGGAAUUAAAUACCAAAAAUCCAAUCACUACUCAAUUUGCAUAAUUUAACACUCAAUUGCAAAAAUUAACCACACCAUUGCAAUCAGCACGAAAUUCUGGUCAUCAACUAUCCUGGCCUAAUUUCCGGAAAAAUAAUUAAUAAUUAAUCAAUUUCGAAAAUUAAAUAAUUAAUUCAAUUUAAUUUCUAAAAAUACUAACCUAGGACAAAAUUAUUAAAUUAAAUACCAAUACGGACCCGGAAAAUUCCCGAACCCUUCUAGAUAAAUAAUACAAUUUAAUUAGGCCUUAGCUAAACCAUGCUAACCUCUUAACAUGCUCAAUUAAAUAAUUAAAUCAUUAAUUUAAUCUAACCAACCACCUAAUUCCUAAUUAAAUAAAUCUAAACACCACUUAGCAUCAAAGCCUACUAAGAAGAGUUUAGAGAAUAAACUCACCGGCGUAUCGCGAAAACCGGUUCACCGCAACGACAACGCGACGGUGGCCGAAAUCUUAAUUUCCGGCGAUGUCAACGAACUCUCAGACCGGCUUAAAACGGGCCCAACAAAUCUCAGUCCAAAUCUGAGAUAUGCUAUUGAAUUGGGCCGGGCCCGAAACUGGGCUGGACUUGAUUCUUGGGCUGACUUGAGGGUGUUACUGGACUGAACGGGCUUGCUGCUAUUGGGCUUCAAGUCUGGCUGAACUGGACCGCUGAUGGGCUGAACAAGAAAAGAACUGCUAGGCCUGAAUUGCUGUUGAAGAUUGGGCCGAACGCUGGGCUGCUUUGGCGGAUGAAGUGGCAGCGUGAGAUGGCGCUAAUUCGAUGGGGCUUCGAGCAAGAAGUCUUCGUUUGGGGAAAAAUUGACCGAGCGAAACCUACCACGUGCAACUGGACUUCGGUCGACUGACGAUGGAGGUGUUGCGCGGAUGAAAAGCUGGCAGCAAACGUUGGCAAACCGAAGCAAAGAUGGAGAGGAUUCGGAGCUGCUGGAGACGUGCGGGCUGUUGAUCGUGGGCUGAGGACACGCGACUGGGCCGAAGAUUGCUACUUCGGUGGAUUGUUGCUUGCGCGGCUGAAUGGACGAAGGAAGACGCGUGGAUGGUAGAGGCGUGGAGGCUUCGGUCAACAAAAGGGGAGGGGAUGGUUUGAUUGUUGACCAAGGGUGUUGGCUUGUAGACGUGUGGCAAGGGGGCAACAGCAGCUGGUGAAGACCAUCGUUGACAGAGGCGUGGGCAGAAGCUAAUUCGGUGGCCGCUCGAAGAGGAAAUGAGCAGAAGGGAAGGAGAGAAAAAUCAAAUGAAGAAGGGCUUCAGCUUCCGUUGAUGAAGGCGUCCAACGAGAGAGAGGGAAAGAGGAUAGAUAAGAGAGAGAGAAGAAGUAGCGUGUGCAAGAAGAGAGGCCAAAGUCAAGGAGACUAAUCCAUCUAAUUAAAAGCUUGCCCCCUUUAAGUCUACAAAAAUAUCCUAAUAUCUCCCAAUUCUUUCUUGCUCUUAUUCCCACAAAAAUAUCCAAUUUGAAUGUCCAAAAUGCAGCCCUCAAACCUUGAUCCGAAUUUCACUCUAUUUAGACUUCAAUUUCUUCAUGAAAUUUCCCAAAUUGACGUCCAAUUUCGUUGAAGAAAAAUCCCAUAUAAUUUUCUAUAAGUCCCUAACACUCGAAGUUUCGGCUUGAAGUUCCAAUUUCCAUUGAUUUAGCCCAUUUGAAUUUCCGUUAAUUUUCUGCGGCGUCAGAAACGGUUUUCCAUAAAAAUCUCGGAAUCUCUCAAAAUUUCUCGGAGGAUGAGUCGACGUCCCUAAUAUUGCUCAUGACACCACAGAACUUUCAAUUUCUGAAAUCGGGUUCAAAUAGGCAAUUAAUUUCAAUUCAGCGGGCUUUUAGCAUGACCUAGUCUACCGGGUAGUUUUUAGGAAUUUUUGGUGCAAUUGACCCGUGAUCGAUUUAUCUCGAGUUACAUAUUGCAUCUUCAACACAUUGGCGACUUUCGGUUGUUGUGAAAAUCUCAAAGUUUCAAAUAGGGACACAGGGUACCCAAAACAUCAAAAAAUCAAUUUAGUACCGAUCGGUGAAAAUUUUGAGAUCAAGUGGAAUCACCCACAUUCUGAUCACAUAUCUCAGCCAAAUCGACAUAUCUCUGAUCUUUGAUUGAUUCUGACAGUGCUGCAAUGACCCUUGUAGACCGAUACGGUCGAGUAGUCGAUUCCUGUUCAAAUUCUCAAAUCCAUUACAUUUAGAUUCCUUAAUUGUUUCCCCAGAUAGACUAGUUAUCUCGUGAGUAGCCAACUCAAAGAAUAGCAUUGUAGACGUGUCGAUGAAAAGCUCGAUUUAUUUAAUCGAAAACAAUUCAGAAAAUUCAGGCUGUCAUAGGCGAGGUCGUCGACUGCGGCCGGUCGUGAGAUGCCGCCGUGGCCAGUCGCCAGCCACCACCAAAGAAGUAGAUGAAAAGGAAAGAGAAAAGAAAAAAAAAUAAAUUAAAAACUCGAUUUAAGAAAAAAAACAUAAAAAUAAAACGAAAAUGUAUUGAUAAAAAAAAAAAGUAGGAGGGAAGAAGUCAUGGAAAACGUUUUCCACUUUUCAGAAAUGGAAAACGUUUUCCUUACUUUAAAUGUUGUUUUUUUCUAACGAUGGAAAACAUUUUCUUUGACUAGUUCAUUUUCCGUGAAACGAACACCGGAAAAUCCAAAAAACAUUUUCUCGAAAGUUAUUUUCCGCGAAACGAACGGACCCUAAGAUUUUAUUGUACUUUUUUUUUAAGUUUAAGGAUUUGAUUAUACUUUUAUAAUAAGUUUUAGGAUAUGUAAUACACUAAUACCAUAAAAAUAUAGAGCAUUUAGAGCUUAUAGAGGAUCAAUAGAGUAUCAAGUCAAUAACUUAAUAAAAAUCUUGUGGGCACCCGUCGGAGUGUGGAAAGCUAACAUACUCAACUUUAAACUUUGAUUCUAUUCUCAGUAAAUAGACCAAGACCAGAUACCUCUUAGGACGUCAAGGUGAUGAAGAUUAGAGAUGGAUGAACUUGAAUGGAGCUUGGUUUACUCACGAAUUACGCUGAAUAGACAUGGCACUUGCUUGGACCCUCACUGUUGACACUUAAAUUUGCCUAUUAUAUAUUUCAAAACAUUUUCAUACAAUUAGGGAUUUAAUUUGUUAACCCUUAGCAACUAACCGUCAUGCUUCUCCCUACAUUUCAUCGCAAUUAAGGGGAUUGUGGUAUUUGCUACAUCAUGGGAGUUCAAAUUGGCAAGAAAAUUGAAGCCUUCAACAUCAUUUUCCUCACCUCGUUUUUCCACCUUGGGGAUUUUUUUAAGUAACAAGAGACACCUCGUAUUUUUACAGUGUUUAUGUGCAAUAAAUUUCUACUUCGCCGCUAGUAAGAUUUGAACUCUUUGGGCAGCAUGCUGGGGUUAAAAUCCCUCCACUGACAGUUCCCUUUGCUGGGCGAUAUGUAAUUCCAUUAUAAAACUUUCUAAACCCGUGUUAUGCCUAACCUUAACAUGGAGUAAUCUCCCUUUCUCUUAAACUUUUUAUCAUAUCCGAAUAUUUUUUUUUUUUUUUGCUUCACCUGGUGCAUUAAGGGCAUUCAUCUACUUUCAUAAAAUUGGCGCAAGCAGACCAUUCCAAGCGUAACAAACAAAAGACGAAGACCUUGACCCAAAUAUCGUACGUUUUGUUGAAUAAAAAUGACAUUACAACGAUAGCAAACGAGCCGGCAGACCCCAUGGCUGACAAAAACAACUAUGAAAUCGAACCUUUCAAUUUUCUGAUGCAAAUCGAUGCUAGAUUUGGAUCUUCUGGGUCUUUCCAUUGUCUUGCUAUAUUUUUCGGUUUCCUCUAGUUUGGACCCAUUGUCCAAUGGCAUUAACAGUAGCUUGCUGAGUGGCUUAUACAAGAUCUCCAAUGAUCAUUUGGAUAGGUAUAUGUAUGCCUAGAGUAUUGUCUUUCUUUUGUCACUUCGCGCAAUUUCUCAACAGAUCAAUCGAGAAGAAAGUUCGUUUGAUUAUGCUUCCAACCACGUGAUUUGCGGACUCUGAUUUCUUUGGUCUAUAUGAAGUUGAUUGAAAAAAGGAAGUGAAAGUCCCAUCUGAGUGAAUAGAAAAGCAGCAGACCUUUUGAAAUUAGGAGUUCAGGGUACUGAUCCUCGACUUGAGGAUCAGCAAGUUUCAUAUGGUUUCUCACCAUUCAAAUUUGAGGUUAAGAUACUCUUUUACUACAUCCAAUCCAAUUUUGAUGAAGCAAAACGGUUGAUGGAAAUGCAUUGAUGGGGUCACAUUAGUUUUACCUGCAACAUAAUGGAAUAUGAUUCACGAAGAAUUCCUAAGAGAUUCAAAACAAUUUUGCCAACAAUUGCCAACAUGCGAAUGAAUUUCAAACUUUGGGAAGAUUUAGCUUAUUUAAGUUGGAUUUAUGUGAACGUAUUAUGACAAUGUCUAUUCUGGCGUAGGAGCACUAACAGACUAUACAGAUAAUUUUCAUUAUUACAGACACCAGUUGUCUAAAUAAUCAAAAUCAUGUGGAACUAAUAAAAGAGCUUGGAUCUGGAGGGAUUGAGACUUCAACAGCUCCUUCCAGCAUUUGAGUGAUUUUCUUCAUGGUUGGCCUCAAAGCCGGUUCUUCAUGGAUGCAUCACAGUGCCGUCAUCACAAAUCUUCUCACCAUCUUUAUGUCGCUUGACGCCUCCUCGUCACUUUCCACUAGCACAAGUAGAUUCCUGUCAUGGUAGCAGUCAUACACCUAGUCGAUCAAUACACUUUGAGCUUCACUUUUGGCUUCCGGCUUAUAGUUCUUUCAGCAGCAGAUGAGCUCAAGCAAAAAAUGCCGAAGCUGUAAACAUCUACUUUGGCAGAAAUAGUCAUAUUCCUGAACAAUUCUAGCGCUAAAUAACCUUUGGUUCAUCUGACGCCAGUGGCGAUUCAUGUUUGGUUUGCCAUCAAGAGCUUAGCUAAUCUGAAGUUUGAUAUUUUUGCAACGAGAGAGCCAUCAAGAAGAAUAUUUUGUGGCUUGAUGUUACGGUAGAUUAUAUGCCUGGCGCAAUCCUCAUGCAAGUAAGAGAGGCCCCUUGCAACACCACAGGCAAUUUCUAUUCUUUUGCACUAGCUAGCCCUUGAACACUUUUGUACACUGUUCCAAAAGUACCCCUGCCCAGUUCUUCUUUGAAUCCAUCUGUUGCUUCUUGAAGCACCUGAUAGGUGAAAGUUGGCAUGCCUGUGGCUUGGUUGAUCUGGACUGGCUGUGAAAAUUUAGAACCUCUAGAUUUUAAGCUUUUAUAAAUUAAAUAGCUAAAGAGGAGUAAAAGCAAGUUCAAAAACAUAGAACUACUCAACAGCACUGAUCCGAUGAUUACUAGAGUUGAGUUCUUGUUCUUCUUCUGGCCGUUUCCUGGAGACGUCAAAGUCGAGUUAUCUAUCCUGACCUUGAUCAGAGCUUUUCCAUCCACACUUGGUUCCAUCCUACCAUUGAAAAGACGUUUCUUCUUUUUCCAGCAAUUUCCAUCUUGAAAAACAGUGACUGCACAAAAACCAUCAGCCAAGCAAGCCUCUCAGCACCAGUCCUCAGUUUGUGACGCACUAAGCUCGUAAUCAUACCGUGGCCAGUCUGUAUUAAACAUGUCACGCAAAGCAAACUGGUCCUUUUCAGGCCUAAUUCCAUCACAACUCUAUGUUACGAAGUCCUAUCUACAUCCGUUAAUCUCAUUCAUCGAAUCUAACAUAGUAUAUCCAAGUGCACAGUGGCAUCAGGGCCUUUGAAUCCGAUCGUCUCCAUGAGUACAGUAGCUGUUGAAGCCACAAACUCCGGGACCGGUAUCUUGUGUGAUCCUCAUGCAUAUAUUUGAAGGGACCGGGGAAGAGACCGUCGGCUAGCCCAUUGCCCAACUGGAACUUGAAUAUGCCCUCUUAGGGUGGACAUACUGCCUGAAGACCCCACCAUAUUCAAGGAUCGCUCUUUUGUAAAAUCCGCCGGCGGGGAUGGUGUCUGAGGUGACGAUAUCGAGUACCGUUCAUUCCUAGCAUGACGACAUAGACCUGACCACUUUGAUUGAAUAUCAACUGGUAGCCAGUACCCAGGGCGUUGCUAAUCUAGUAAGCAUUUGAGAUGACCGGCUCAGUUGGGGUAUGAAGUGGAAUCUCCUAGCGGAGUAAUUGAGGACAUGAAGCAAUGACAAAAUUGAGGACAAAUCUUCAAUAACUUGGGGAGAUUGAGGUGUGAGCAUUGGGCUUCAUCAAUUGAUUCAAGUGGAAGAUGUCAAUUAUGUAGAAAAGUUAUCGCUUCAAUGGACAAGUUGCCAAUUUCAUAGUUGUCGAUCGGCUAUUAAGACAUCGACACACAUGUUUAUUGUUGAUCCGAGACUACUAAUAGACUAUCUAAUGGACAAUUACCUUUGUUGUUUGGUGAUCUUCAAAGAUAUCCAUUAGACUGCCCAAGGAGACGAACGAAUUUAUAGUCUAUUUUAAUUACUUUGUAUCUAGUCAAGUGUCAUUAGGAAGUCUUAAGUGUGUUGUGGUUUUCAAGGAGCCAAAGUUCAAGUUUCUAGUCUUAAAAGUGUGUUGUAGUUUUCAAAGAGCCAAAGUUCAAGUCUCUAGAUGUUUUAAUGCAUUGUCUAGAUCCUAGGUAAUUAUUGUGCUUUUCUAAUUCCUAUGUCUUUAAUUAAUUAGAUAGUUUCUCAUGUUUAAUGUUUAGUCUAUUUCCUAUGUAAUUAUCCCUCUAUAUAAUAAGGCGAAUUCUCAAAUGUAAAAUAGUGAAUUUUGAGUGUACGAAUUUUUGAGAUUUUCCUCUUUAUGAGCAAAUAUCUUUGGAGAGCGGAUUACUCCCGGUCUUUGUAUCCUUCGAAGGUGGAUUCUUCCUCAAGGUGAGCCAAAGAAGCACUAUAUACUUGGUUGGUGGCUUUCAUGUAGGCCUUGGUGAUGAGCUUUUUCAAUCCCGAAGUCGUGUAACAACUCUCAGCCAUCUUGCUACCGCAUUAGAUAUCAUUUGAACUCAUACAUCAUUAAAAUGGUGAGCAAAUAUUCACCUUGGGGAGUAUUUUUAUUUCUAAGUAGCAUCAUAAAAGAUCCUAAGGAGAGUGAACCAAGUCGUGGCCUAACCACAUGAAGAUGACAUUGGGCCACAAGCUCUUAAAUUAAGCAUACAUUGGACAAGGAGGAAAGUAUAUGCAUUGAAUGGAAUGGCCUCAUGCAUGCAUGCAAAGGGAAUAAGCUCAUAAUUGUCUAGCAAAUUUCUGCUUUGCCAGGUGCAUGAACGGGGGCAAUCAUCUACUUCUAUGAAAUUGUCGCAAGCAGACUUUUCCAAAGCGAAACAACCGAAAGACAGAAGACCCUUGACCAUAACAUCCUCCGUUCCAUCGAAUUGAGAAUAUGGCAUGGAAAAGAUAGCAAAAGCGUCAGCAGAUGCCAUAGCUGACAAAGACAAACAUGUAAUCGAACCCAUUAAGCUGCUGGUGAAGAUCGAUCGUUAGAUUUGGAUCUCCGAGACAAACAAUCUCGUCUCGGUGUAUUUUCCAGUUCCGUCCUGUUUGGACCCGUUAUGGAAUGGCUUUGACUGUAGCUCGCUGCUUUGUUUAUACAAUAUCUCCAAUUAUCAUUUGGAAAUGAAUACUUAUUGCUUAGAAAAAUUGCCUACAUUGUGUUGCUUCUUGCUUAUUCUCAAUAGAUGCAUCGAGAAGAAAGAUCGUUUGAUUAUGCUUCCAAUUAUGUGAUUUGCAGACUGGGAUUUCUUUGGUCUAGAAGAAGUUGGUUGCCAAGAGGAAGUGAGUGUCCAUUCUGUAUGAAUAAAAAAGCAGUAGAACUGUUGAAAUUGGGAUUCCAGAUCACCGAUCCACGACCUGAAGAUUGGCAAGUUUCAUAUGCUUCUCAUCAUCUAAUUUAGCAGAUAAGGUCUGUUUUGCUUAGAUCAAGUUAAAAUACUCUUCCACCAUGUCAAACGCCAUUUUGGUGAAGCAAAAUCAUCGAUGAAAUGCUUUGAUGGAACCACAUUAGUUUUUACCGUGACAUGCAGGGAUAUGAUCCACAUAGAAUUCCUAGGUGAUUCAACAGAAUAAUGCUUGUGACUUUAAAUUUUUCGGCGACUGGUUCUGCAUUAUUUGAUAUAUAGUUACUUGGUCACUCAAACAUCGUAGUCUCUCAAUUAAUGCAUGCGGCCUCACAUGCAAUCCCUUUUGCAACAAUCGUCGACCCGUUCUCUCUUGGAUACAUGCAAGGGAAUGUUAAGAUUGACUGAUGAUUUAGCUUUUAUAAGCGGGAUCCAUGCGAAGACAUUAUGAAAAUGUUUGAUCCGGCGUAAUAGCACUAACAGACAAUACGAGUACUUUUCAUGAUUACAGCGGCAACAGUUGUCUUAAUAAGCAAAAUCAUACUGAAUUGAUAAAAGAGCUUGAAACUGGAGGUACUGAGACUUCAACAUCUCCUUCCAACAUCUGAGUGAUUUUCUUCAUGGUUGGCCUCAAAGCCGGGUCAUCCUGGAUGCACCACAAUGCUAUCAUCACAAAUCUUCUCGCCCUCUUUAUGUCACUCGAUGCCUCCUCAUCGCUCUCCACUAGCUUAAGUACGCUCCCGUCGUGGCAGCAGUCAUAUGCCUAGUCAACUAGCACAAUUUGAGCUUCAAUUUCUGCUUCCGGCUUGUAGUUUUUUCUGCAGCAGAUGAGCUCUACCAACAAAAUGCCGAAGCUGUAAACUUCUACCUUGCUUGAAAUAGGCAUAUUCCUGAACCAUUCUGGCGCUAAAUAACCUCUGGUUCCUCUGACUCUAGUGAUGGUUCGUGUUUGGUUCACCAUCAAGAGCUUGGCUAUUCCGAAGUCCGAUAUUUUUGCAGUGAGAGAGCCGUCAAGAAGAAUAUUUUGUGGCUUGAUGUCACAGUGGAUUAUAUGCCUGGUGCAAUGGACGUGCAAGUAAGAGAGCCCCUGUGCAACAUCGCAGGCAAUUUCUAUUCUUCUAUACCAGCUGGGCCUUGAAGCGCCAAAUAGGAAAUCCGCCAAAGUGCCAUUGCUCAUGAAUUCAUACACCUGUAGUCGGUGUUGACCUUCAUUGCAGUAUCCAAGCAACUGCACUAAGUUCUUGUGGUCAGUUCGGCCAAUUGCACUCACUUCUCUUUCAAACUCCUUUUCGCUUUCUCCAGUCCUUGUCGGCAACACUUUUACUGCCACGAAGUUUGUAUCCUCGGAUCCAAGAACACCUUUGUACACUGUUCCAAAAGUACCCCUACCUAGUUCUUCUUUGAAUUCAUCCGUUGCUUCUUGAAGCUCCUGAUAAGUGAAAGUCUGCAUACCUGUGGCUUGGUUGAUCUGGACUGGUCGUGACAACUUAGAAUCCCUAGAUCGGAAGCUUCUAUAAAUUAAAUAGGUGAUGAGGAGUAAAAGCAAGUUCACAAAGACAGAGCUACUCAACAACACUGAUCCGAUGAUAAUCAGAGUGGAAUUCUUGUUUCCAUCUCUCAUAGAUUUUGAAGUCGAGUUAUUUAUCCUGACCUUGAUUAGAGCUUUUCCAACCUCACUAGGAUCCUUCCUUCCAUUGGAAAGAGGGAUCUUCUUAAGUUCUGCUGCCGCCAAAAAUAGCAACUGCGCAAAAACAAUCGGCCAAACAAGCCUCUCCGCACUUGUCCUCGAUUUGUGCUGCAGUACGCUCGUAAUCAUUCGUUGGCCAGUUUGUACGGAGCAUUUCAUGCAAAGCGAACUGGCAUGCUUCGGGCCUACUUCCAUCACAACUCUGUAGUACGAAGUCCUGUCUACAUCCAUUCAUCUCGUUUGUUGAAUCUAAUGGAAUAUAUCCGGGUGGGCAGUGGCAUCGGGGCCUCUGGUCGUCUCCAAGAGCACAGUAGCUGUUGAAGCCACAAGGUCCAGAACCCGUAGUUUGCCUGAUGCUCUGGCAUAUAUUUGGAGGGAUCGGGGAAGAGACCAUCGACCAGCCCAGUGCCAAGGCAGAACUUGAAUUUGCCCCCUCAGGGUGGACAUAUUGCCUGAAGACCCCAUCGUAUUCUAGGAUUGCUCUUUGGUAAAACUCAUUGGUCGGGACUGUGUCUGAGGUGACAAGUUUGAGCAGUGUUCCAUUCCUAGCCGUGAGGUAGACUUGACCACUUUGAUUGAAUAUCAAUCUGAAGCCGCUAUCAUUGGUGUUGCUUACCCAGUAAGUAUCUGAGGCAAGCCACGGGUCAGAAGUGGCACAGAAUGCGAGAUUUCCGUCGUUUUUUAGCUUGAAGUGGAAUCUCCCGGUGGAGUAAUUCAUUUCAGAGUAGCGAGCGUUAACUUUAGUCCCUUGAUCUAACUGUUACGUAGGCAGCAUCGUGUCGGUUGAUUGGCUGAACGUCUCCCACAAGUUGACGUAGUUCUGGCUAACUAGGACAAAGUUUUCCAUGUCAAACAUGGCCGCAUGCGCUACACCAGCGACAGUCAGGCUAGGAGACCACAACUCUCUUCCAUUUGGGUUGGCUAGCACCAGUCGGCAAUCGAUGGUCAACUGGAUCUUCGAACCUUCUGGCGCUAAAUUAUCACCAUUCGCCGACCAGACAAUGGUCUUGUCCUCUAUCUUCUCAAACCAUAUUGCCAGCGAAUGAGCCCCUUGUCCCAUUUUCCGGAACCCGAAGGUGAACUCGCCUGACGGAGACAGCCAGGAAGAGUUCUGGUCAUCCGCCGUUAACGAGGAGCCCAAGGUGAGGUUGCCGUUGGUCUGAGCUUUGGCGGAAAGUGGAAGGGUAACAAGCAGCAGAAGGAUUCGGAGCAUCACUGAAGCCAUAUGAGAUGGAAACUAGAGGUGCUCCUUGAGUCAAGCUACUGCAGCCUCAAGGAUGAAAACACUUGCUAAUCUAGUAGUAGAUUAGCAAGUGUUUUAGAUUUUUUAAGGGAAACUGUCAAUUAACCGGUAAAUUAUCAGGAAAAUACAAAACAGUUUUCUAGAGUUUUACAAUGAGGCCCUUUCGGUCAAUUAGUAACUAACCAAAGAUAAAAUGAUGUUAUCAUCCUCAAAUAGUAACUUUCUCUAGAUUACCCAGAGCUUUAACAUACAAAAUGAAGAUUUUAUCUCGUUAGAAUCUAGUAUAUAGUGGCACAUCACCAGGUGAUUUAAAAUUUUACAAGUGAGCCCGUCAAGCAAUUAGUAACUCUCUAGUGGAAUCAUGAUGUUAUCACCCCUACGUCAAGUAGUGAACUCUCAAGUGCUUUAAAAAUUUUCAAGUGGGUUCAUCAGAUACGUGGUCAAUCUCUGAAGAAGUUGAUAAUUUAUUAUUUCACCAGUUGUAACUUGUUAAGCUAAAAGCAAGCUUACUUCGAAAAAUUACUACUUUCGUAGUCCUUAACUGUACUGGUAAUCUCCAAAGACAGCCUCCUAAAUAAGUUAAGUAAGACCUUCGGCAAAUUUCAUACUUUACGUGAUACUUACUACCUUAAGAGAGAGUAGACAUGUUGCUAAUUUCACUGUUACUUACUAACUUUAAUGAGGGAGUUUUACAAUUUGACGAUUGAAUUGGUGUUAAUAAAUCUCUCAAAUUGUUGCGACUUAUUAUGCUAAAAGCGGGCCUACAUUGGUGAGUUACUUAUUCCCACGGUAAGUUAAUAACCAAGGUUAUAUUUCCAAUGGCAAAUUCCUUACUUUCUUAAUAACUUAACUUAUAGCCAGACCCAUAUUGGUAACUUAUCAUAUUCACUCUUGAAUUACUAGUUUUAUCACGCCCCGAUCCUCAAGCGCAUGCCCAUCCUUCGGUGGUCGAUAAAAUAAUUGUGACUUCCCAAGACGAAUCGCCGACCCUUUCUUUUUAUUGCACAUGCUAAAGUGAAAAAAAAUCCCCUGACAGUAACCAUCUCGGGAUAGAAAAGCAGGACAACAAAUUCACAAACAGAACAUGCUUUUAUUAACCAACUGAGUCAAGUUCAAAAGUCAACAACCAAAAGACUUCAAAAGACCAACUCUCAAAGAAACGGUCCUAUAUGACACACACCUCAGAUCUCCUCAGCUCGACUCCAGGUCCUCUACUCUACGAUCCUGAAAAAUUAAAGCCCACGACGGGGUGAGAUAUAAAUCUUAACAAGUUCACACUCUAAACCCCGAUAAAGAGGAUAAUACGCCUAGAGGCGCCCUAACCACACAAUCACACAAUUAGAGCAAAGAACUUACCUCAUCUCAGUUCCUUCCUGCAUAUCAGCACAGUUCAUAUCACGACCAUAUAUGCAGCAAUAACACUCGAUUCGAUGGAGUGCCUUAAAUCACAUCUUAGUCAAUCAUGCAUUUCAAGAGAUUACACUCACACAAGCACGACCUAACUGUCACACAGCAGAUCUAACUGACAUACGGUGGAUCUAUCCGUCACAUAGCGGAUUUAUCCAUCACCUAGUAGAUUUAUCCGUCACAUAGCGGAUUUAUCUGACAUACAGUGGAUCAAUCUGUCACAUAGCGGAUUUAUUCAUCACCUAGCAGAUCUAUCCGUCACAUAACGGAUCUAUCUGACAUACAGCGGAUCUAUCCGUCACAUAGUGGAUUUAUCCAUCACAUAGCUAAGCGUCAUCUCGCCCCAUCGAGCAUGAUAACAUCUACCUCAAAACGGUUUUCCACUUGAAAGCAUCGUUCACCCGACACAUAAUGGAUGACAAAUUCUCUUAAGUGGCACACGAUUAUGCCAAGGACAUUCUUCUUCGCACUUAAAUUUCUCAAUUAAAAAUAAUGUCUAGGCCUAUUUUCAAUACAUUAAUGAUACCUGAUAAAAUCAUCAUGUGUAGGUACACAGUCGGCUUGAGCUAAAAUUUUCAUAUCUUUACUUUAGAAAAUCCCACUAUUUAUACCGUGUCUGAAAACAUUUUUGGCAUUGUAAACCGACGCCCCCAAUAAUUUCUAAUUAAUUAUUGAAAUUACUUAAUUUUAAAAUAAAUACCCAAAAUUAUAGUUUCUACUGAAUUCGCACAAUUGAACACUCGAUUGCAGAAAUUAACCACACCAUUGCAACCAGCACAAAAUUCCGGUCACCGGUUAUCCCGGUCUAAUUUCCGGAAAACAAUUUAAUAAUUAAUUAAUUACCGAAAUUAAUUAAAUAAAUACACAUUAAUUCAAUAAAUGCAAACUUAGGCUUAAAAUUGCUAAUCUAACUACCUAUUGAACUAAUUAAAUUAUCCUAACCAUUCUAACUACUAGGCCAUAUAAUAAACUAACUAAUUACAAUUUCUAACCACCUAAAUUACUAAUCUAACUAACCUAAAUUAAUUAAAUAAACUAAUAACUACACUAAUCUAAGCUUAAUUAAAUAUAAACACCCCUUAAAUGUCAUUAGCCUACUAAGUAGAGUUUAGUGCAUAAACUCACCGAUUUAAUGCGAGAACCGGUUCACCGCGAUGGCAGCCGUAACCCGAACUUUCGGCGGCGUCAACAGGGCUUGGACCGGGCCAAAAGACCUAACAAAGCCCACAACAACUGAUGGGUGGACUGAGAUGCUGAAGUUGCGGGUUGGGCUUGCUACAGGCGUGUGGGCUUGGCUCAACGGGCUGAAACACUGCGGGCUGCUGGGCUUGACUGAACAUGCGGGCUGAAUUCACGGGCUGACUUCGAGUGGGCUUGCGGGCUACCGACCCCAACUAACAGGCUGAGAUGUGGGCUGCUGGGCUCGCUGAACUUGCGCGGGCUAAAGCUCAAAAUGGCCGCUGGACUUGGGUUGACGCGGCAAGGAGCGAAGCCACUUGAAGAUGCGUGAGGCGAGACGGAGGAAACGUGGCUGCAGCGAGGAGAAGGCUCGGGGGAGCUCGUUUCGUCCAGGGGAUGGUGGACGAAUGAGGGACGCACGGACGCGUGGAGCGGCUUGCUGAGUCAACAAAUGGCUUCACUUGGAGAAUUCUACUGGGUUGACUGAGGGGGACAAAAGGUAGUGGAGAGGAGCGACCGUGGCUGCUUCGGUAAAACAAAAUGAAGAAGUGAAGCUGCAAUGAAGAUUGGGCUGGCGGUGAGUGGAGGAAACGGUAGAGGAGAGGACGUGUGGUGGCUGAUUGGGGAUCGGUGAACACAGCAACAAGAAAAUGAAGAAGUCGAGCUGCCCCAAGGAAAUGAAAGAAGCUGAAGUUGCCGAGAAAAUGAAAUUGAAAGCGAGAGCAGCGAAGGAGAUGGGGACGGAGGAGGCGCGCGAGGCUUGCUCGAGAAGUUGAGGGGAAGAAAAGUCCAAAUAAAUAUCUAUUCCAUCAUUAGAUGUCCAAGAAAUCUUUCAAGCUUAUGUAUAUAUAAAAAUAUAAAUUUAAUAUAUAACGUGUCCUAACAUGUCGGAAUUAUUUAUUUUUUUAGAAAUGACUUAUCGACGUGUCAUGUUGUGUCAUAUUGCGUUUCGCGUGUCAGUAUCGGUGUUACUUAGGUUGAAAUUUGAACCAACAAGUUACAUGAUAUAACCAACAAGAUUUAUAAAUUUUAAUCAUAUUGGAAAAGUGCCGUGCACGAAACAUGACUGGAGUAGCCGUGUUUCUUAGUUUCUCCGUACGUGGAAAUUUUGAAAAAGGCAAUUCUGCUUGGGCGGAGCCACUAAGCUUCGGCCGCGACCCAGAAAUUUCCAAGGAGAAACAGACAAAUUUAGAAGACUUUGACCGAAACGUCGGAGGAGGAGAUUUUGGGAGUUGAAAAUGUUUUUUUGACCAAAACACGAAGAUUUGAUUCCAGCGGAAAUCAAAGGGGGUGCAUGAUAACCAAAAUUUCUAUUCCAGAAAUAAUUUUUCUAUUCCAGACCUGUUUCUAGAAUAGAAACCUGUUUGAUAAAUUUACUCAGUUUUUCUAUUUCUGGAAUAGAUUUCUAUUUCAGAAAUUGAUUUGGAAGAGAAAUCAGAAAUAGAAAUUUUAUACUUCUGAUUUCUAGAAGAGAAAUCAGAAAUAAUUUCACCCACUAAAUCCUAAUUUCGGUGAGUCCUCCCUCAUCUCCUCUACGUCUCUGCCUCCUCCUCCUCAUCCGCCUCUCCUCAUUUUAUUAAAAAUAAAAAUUUAUCAUUUUAUUUUUAUUUUAUUAAAUUUAUUAAAAAUAAUUUAUUUAUGAUAAAUAAAAAUAAAUUAUUUUAUUAAAAAUAAAUUUAAUAAAUUAAUAAAUUUAUUUUUAUUUGCCUUGAGUGUUUUGCCAAAUAAUUUUAUUUUUUAUUUUUUAUUUUUAUUCAUUUUAAAAUAAAUUUAUUCGCAAAAUAAAAUAAAAUAGAAUAAAUAAAAUAAAUUUAUUUUUAAGGAUAUUUUAAUUUUAAAAUAAAAUGAUAUUUUUAUUUUUUUAUGAUUUAUUUUAUUUUAUUUUAUUUUAUUCUUUAUUUUUUUGUUACUAAAUCAUUUUUAUUUUUAUUUUUAUUUUUUAUAUUAAAGGUCGUUAGUCAUCGCCGCCGGCGUUCGAAAGGAAGAAAUUUUGUGUCGUUAUCAAACGAAUUUUUAUUUUUAGAAUAAAAAUUUUGUGUCGUUAUCAAACGGUUAUUUUUGCUUAGAAACACUUCUAGAAUAGAAAAAUCUAUUUCUGUUCCAGAAACUAUUUCCGGAACAGAAUGGUUGUCAUGUGCGCCUAAGCGAUUGCAGGUCACUUCGUGGAAAUUGAACGUUUCAGUGCGUGUACGGACAGGGAAAUUUGCAGCGGUGUCCCACAAAAAAUCAAAAUAGUAAAUAAAGAAGCAAACUUCGACCACAUACUGGAGCCGAGGAGCCAAUAAGAGACAAAGCAUUGAAUUUACAAUUCCGAAAUCUAAGCAAACUUUGACCACAUAUGCUUAUCUUGUGAGCUUAAAUUUAUUAUUAUUUGAGACUUGUUGAUAGUGUUAAGUGUGUGUUUUGGUGUAUAAUAGUGAGUCCUAUCGACUUGAGUAUGAGCAGCACCAGCUUUGGAUAGAAGCAAUUGGGUAUAAGCGGCACAACUUGACCGUAACCAUUCAUUGGUAAGUGGAAUCUAGCUAGUAGGUUGUUAAUGUAGGAGAAUGGACGUGGGCCUAAUCUAAACUAAACCACUAUAAAUUUCAUGUACAAUUUUCUUUUCUUCAGAUUCUUAUUGUUUAUUGCUACUAUUUAUUGCACACUUGCUGGGUGAUUCAAAGUCUGUGCUACUGCAUUCCAGAAUCUAACCCUUAUUCAAACUUUAAUCUUGACUCAUUCUAUUCUAUUUUAAUUUGUCAAGAUUUUGUAGUGUCACCUAUUCAAACUUUAAACUUGCUAGCCACCCUCAAAUUAUACUUCCAACUACGUGAUUUGCAGACUGGGAUCUUUUUGGUCUAGAAGAAGUUGGUUGCCAAAAGGAAGUGAGUAUCCCUCCCGUAUGAAUAAAAAAGCAGCAGAACUGUUGAAAUUGGGAUUCCAGGUCAAUGAUCCAUGACCUGAGGAUCGGCAAGUUUCAUAUGCUUCUCAUCAUCUAAUUUAGCAAAUAAGGUCUGUUUUGGUUGGAUCAAGUUAAAAUACUCUUUCACCGUGUCAAAUGCAAUUUUCAUGAAGCAAAAUGUCGAUGAAAAUGCUUUGAUAGUUGCAUUCGGCCUCGCAUGCAAUCCCUUCUGUGACGAUCAUCAACCCAUUCUCUCUUGGAUACAUAUGAGGAAAUGUUAAACUUGACUGAUGAUAUAGCUUAUUUAAUUAGGAUCCAUGUGAAGACGGUAUAUGUAAUAGCACUUACAGACAAUACGAGUACUUUUCAUGAUUACAGACAAUAGUGGUCUUAAAUAAGCAAAAUCAUAUUGAACUCGUAAAAGAGCUUGGAACUGGAGGUACUGGGACUUCAACAGCUCCUUCCAACAUCUGAGUAAUUUUCUUCAUGGUUGGCCUCAAAGCCGGGUCUUCCUGGAUGCACCACAAUGCUGUCAUCACAAAUCUUCUCACCCUCUUUAUGUCACUCGAUGCCUCCUCAUCGCUCUCCACUAGCUUAAGUACGCUCUCGUCGUGGUAGCAGUCAUACACCCAGUCAACUAGCACAAUUUGAGCUUCAAUUUUUGCUUCUGGCUUGUAGUUCUUUCUGCAGCAAAUGAGCUCAACCAACAAAAUGCCGAAGCUGUAAACAUCUACUUUGCUAGAAAUAGGCAUAUUCCUGAACCAUUCUGGCGCUAAAUAACCUCUAGUUCCUCUAAGUCCAGUGGUGGUUCGUGUUUGGUUCGCCAUCAACAGCUUAGCUAAUCCCAAGUCUGAGAUUUUUGCAGUGAGAGAGCCAUCAAGAAGAAUAUUUUGCGGCUUGAUGUCGCAGUGGAUUAUAUGCCUGGUGCAAUCCUGGUGUAAAUAAGAGAGCCCCCGUGCAACAUCGCAGGCAAUUUCUGUUCUUCUGUACCAGCUGGGCCUUGAAGCGCCAAAUAGGAAAUCCGCCAAAGUGCCAUUGCUCAUGAAUUCAUACACCAGUAGUCGAUGUUGACCUUCAUUGCAGUAUCCAAGCAACUGCACUAAGUUCUUGUGGUCAGUUCGGCCAAUUGCACUCACUUCUCUUUCAAACUCCUUUUCGCUUUCUCCAGUCCUUGUCGCCAACACUUUUACUGCCACGAAGUUUGUAUCCUCGGAUCCAAGAACACCUUUGUACACUGUUCCAAAAGCACCCCUACCCAAUUCUUCUUUGAAUCCAUAUGUUGCUUCGUGAAGCUCCUGAUAAGUGAAAGUCCGCAUGCCUGUAACUUGAUUGAUAUGGACUGGUCGUGACAACUUAGAAUCCCUAGAUCGGAAGCUUUUAUAAAUUAAGUAGCUAAUGAGUAAAAGCAAGUUCAAAAACACAAAACUACUCAACGGCACUGAUCCAAUGAUCACCAGAGUUGAGUUCUUGUUCUUCUUCUGGCCGUUUCCUAUAGAUGUCAAAGUCGAGUUAUCUAUCCGGACCUUGAUCAGAGCUUUUCCACCCACACUAGAAUCCUUCCUACCACUUAAAAGAGGGAUAUUCUUUUUCCUGCAAUUUCCAUCUUUGAAAACAGCGACUACGCAAAAACAAUCGGCCAAGCAAGCCUCUCGGCACCAGUCCUCAGUUUUCGAUUCGCUAACCUCGUAGUCAGACUGCGGCCAGUCUGUAUUGAGCAUGUCACGCAAAGCAAACUGGUCUUUUUCAGGCCUACUUCCAUCACACCUCUGUGAUAUGAAGUCCUGUCUACAUCCGUUCAUCUCAUUCGUCGAAUCUAACAGAAUAUAUCCAGGGGCGCACUGGCAUCGGGGCCUCUGAUUGUCUGCAAGAGUACAGUAGCUGUUCAAGCCACAAACUCCAGUACCGCCUCGAUUGAUCCUCGUGCAUAUAUUUGAAGGGACCGGGGAAGAGACCAUCGACCAGCGCAUUGGCCAGACAGAACUUGAAUUUGCCGUCUUAGGGUGGAUAUAUUGCCUGAAUACCCCGUCGUAUUCAAGGAUCGCUCUUUGGUAAUAUCCGCUUGUUGGAACUAGUUCUGCGGUCCAUUCCUGUCCGUGAGGUAGACCUGACCACUUUGAUUGAAUAUCAACCGGAAGCCCAUACGGCCAGCGGUGAUGGUGUCGGUGGCCCAGUAUGCAUCUGAGACUCCCAGAGUGGAAUAGAGCACGAGAUUUCCGUCGGGUUGCAGUGCGAAGAGGAAUCUCCCGGUGGAGUAAUUCAUUUCGGAAUAGCGAGCUUUAACAUUAGCCCCAAGAUCUAACUGCUGCGUAGGCAAUAUUGUAUCCGUUGGUUGGCUGAACGAAUCCCACAAGUUGACGUGGUUCGCGCUUGCUAGGAUGAAGUUCCCCGUGUCGAGCAUGGCCGCAUACGCUAAGCCAGUGCCGGUCAGGCCAGAAGACCACAGCUCUCUCCCUCUUGGGUCGGUAAGCACCAGCCCACCGUCCGCGGUCAACUGGACUUUCGAACCUUCAGGUGCUAGACUAUUGCCAUUUACCGACCAGACUAUGGUCUUGUCCUCUAUCUUCUCGAACCAUAUAGCCAACAAAUAAGCUCCUGCUCCCAUUCUCCGGAAGCCGAAGGAAAACUCACCUGACGGUGACGACCAGGAAGAGUUCUGGUCGUUCGCCGUCAACGAGUUGCCCAAGGUCAAGUUGCCGCCGAACUGAGCUUCGGUGGAAAGGGGAAGUGGAACGAGUAUUAGAAGGAUUCCUAGUAUAACUGAAGCCAUGUUUGAUGAAACAGGCGUGCUCCUUGAGUUGAGCUACUUCGGCCUUAAGGAUGAAACCGGCGUUCUUAUAGAGAUUUUUCCACUUUUCCAUGCCACCAGAGUCUCUCGCGUACGUCCGGUCGUUUAUGGCAGGUGAGAGAGGCGACCAUUCCUCCUCCGCGUAGAUGCAAUUUCUCCACAGCGAGUUUGAACUAAAGUUGUGGACAGCCUUUGCCCAUGUCAACACGUAUAUCUAUCACUAUCUUUGACCAAAAAAAAAAAAAAACAAAACAAAACAAAACAAAACAAAACACAUAUAUCUAUAUAGAAUAAUGAUUUUAACAUAUGAUCUGAAGUUUUAUAAAAGCUCCACCUGUAGUAAAAGGUAAGGAUUAAUUAAAAUAGGAGGUGAUAUUUGUACAUAUAUUUUAUUAAUUAAUCUUUUUUUUUGCAUUAAUAAACCAUUUCUUUAACAGCAAUUAAUAAACCAUUUUAAAGUUUAUAAUGAGUAUUGAUUUUUUACUUGAUAUUGUUUCUUUUUUCUUAAAGUAUUUAAUAGUUCUAUUGAUAUAUUCAUCAAAUUUUCUUCAAAAAUUCUUAUAUUAAUAUGAUCGAUUUAAUUUUUCUGAUAAUAAUAUCUCCGUGAAUUUAUCUUUCUUCAUUUUCUUUAUUUUUCCCUUUUUUCUUAUUUAGAAAUCAAUGGUGAAAGAGAACUUGUUAAACUUAGAAUAAGGCGUCCCCGCUCCAUAAGCUUGACAGGACCAGAUACAUUUUCAAGGAACGCACUUGGAAAACACCAAACUUCGUCGUAUAUGUUUAGUUGGAGAUUUUUUGAAAUGAAAGUGAUGGAAGAAGAAGGCAGGGCCAGCAGUCGAUUCAAUCCCCAUGAAUUCAAACCGACUACAAGUUGCUCCGCGGAAAUUUUUUUUUUUUUUGGUGGAAAGAUAACUUAUAUUAGAUUAUAAAUCAAUACAAGCAGGUGCCCUAGCGUCCGAAGAGAUAAUAUUUAGGAAAAUAGAUGGAGGGAAGAGAAGGCAGCUUGUAGGUGGGCCUUGAUCCCUGUGGGCUUUAGCGGCCCAGUCAGCUGCUAGGUUUGCCUAACGCCAAACAUGUUGAAGCAAGAGAUUAGGGCAUUGCUGAAGAAGAUCGCUGAGAAUCGCGAAGAGAUGGCGUUCCGUCCAUGGUGGCCGCUGUUUCUGCCGAACUAUCUCCACCAACUUUAAGCAAUCAGAUUCGAUCACAAAGUGCUGAAGAUGGAGUCCCUGCUGGAUCAGCCGUUGAAGAGCGGAUAUGAGGGCAUAGAUCUCGGCUUGGAAAGCCGAAUGGGCAGGCACAGAUCUGGUAAGCACAUCGGUUAAAAUACCUUUACUAUCUCUGUAAAUACAAGCGAUUGAUCCUUUCUCCGAUUCCAUGCGAAAAGCCCCAUCAAUAUUACACUUUAUAUAUCCCUCCGCAGGCGGUUUCCAUCCCUGAUCUAAACUGACCAAUUUGUUGUUGAUCUUCUGUGGCGAGGGUUGUAAAAUACCUGCUCGAAAGUACGUGGAAAUUUGCAUUGAGCAUGUGACCGAUCAAUGCUUCCGGCAGCGGCAUUGUGCGGUCUUGUGCAACUUGGAGAGGAAUGAUUACAACAAUAAUGAACGAAAUUGAUUCAGCAGACACUCUCCAAAAGUUUGCAUCCAGGAAUUCCGAAUUUUGAGACCGAUAUGUUGGGCUAAAUGGAUGUCACGGUGACAUAAAGAUAUCAUGCUCGUGGAGUUUACAACAUCAUGCAAUACUUACCACAUCUAAAAGCAAUUUGGUUUCCAUUUAGUAUAAAUGAUCAGUUCACAAAAGGGGGAGUGUUCCUUUAUAUAGAUUACUGCAUAAGAGGUAACUAUCUACAGUUUUCUGCACAUCUUUGAUCUUACCGUCAAGAGUCUCUGCAACUUCGGCAUAUCAGUCACGGCAAAAGUAUUCCCGCGCCACCGUGAUAAUGCCAGCCAAAACUUCCUGUUUAUACAUUCGUCCCGCAAAUAAAUUACAACCCGCCGCUUUCGACAAUGCUCGACUAGUAAGGCGAAGGGCUAAUUUUCCAGGGUUUGUAGGGUUUGAUCAAGGGCCUGAGCUUAAAAUGAGCGGCUUCCAAUAAGCUCCGUGCUGCAUGAAUCCCACAAAAUCUGGCCUGAUCGAGUAGGAAUUUUCCUGGAUAAAUUCCCGAAUGCUCAACGGGCUAUACUAGAAUAGUUUUAAAAGGCGAGCAAACUGUAGUCUUAAUCUCUUCCAUCUGCUCCUAAUGAGUGUCGGGUGCAAUGCCAACACGUGCUCAGGCAUAAAAUCAUGUCUUGUCAAUAUGCCCACCACUGGCGAUCUCUGCAAUAAAAAAAGUGUCGAGAUUAAAAUAAAAACAUAGAAGAACAUGUUCAACUAGAGCAGAAUGCUAUUGCAAUAAUUAAGCACCCAGUCGCAUUGAAGUAUCGCACCAAAUACCCGCAAGAGACGAGAUGAAAAAUCAAUUGUCAUCCCUUACCAUGAUCUACUCUGAUUUUCUAGUGAAACUAGGAAGCCACCAAAUGUCAAGCAGCCAUAUAUACAGAAAUUCAGCUAAACGGAGAGGAAAACGUCUUAGCGCAAAGCUGAGCUAGUGAAGCUACAGAAGUAUUUGGCAGUCCUCACCAAAAAGGGUCAAACUUGCACAUAAGAAAGAUAAUCGAGUAAAAUAAGAAUGGAAGAGGUGAGGGUGCGAAAAUCAAGUAUGUGAGGCCAAAGGAAGAUGGUAUUGAUGUGAUUCUGAAAAAUGGCCCAAUUUGCUGAAAAGAAGGAAGGCAUCAAUGUUUUUCAUAUAUCGUCAAUUGCUCCAACCAAAAAGAAAAAGUCCAUUUUGCUAGUAGACACAGGACUAGAGCUAUGAGCAAGAUCACCGAAUGAUUAUGUAGUACUCUAUUUAAAUUAACAGUAGAGUAUUUCGAUGCCAAAAGACAAAAAGAGCGAUAGAAUAGCUUUUGAUAGAAUUAAAGAAGUGAAAAUGAGAGCUUACGCCAGAGAUUUAAGGUAUCACCAGUAGAUGUCUCAAGCCAACUUCCCGGAAAAGUAUGAGAGCCUUCGCAAGUGACAUUGUCUCCACAACCGUGUAAGGUGAAGCAUUAGUAAAAGGAUGUAAAUCCAAGAACAUCUCCAUCUCUUCUUCAGUCAAGUCUAUAUCUUCUAUCAUACCUGAUCCCCUCUUCAUGAAGUCCUCUGCUGAAAUCUGCUCAAAGGCAUCAAUAUCCGUCGGAACUGGAUCAGACAAAAAAGCUUUCUUCUUUAAAAGCUCCAUCAGAUGAGCACGGAGAAUUAAACCAUACAGAAAGGGGGACUCUGAAUGUGGAGGUUCAUCAAUUACAGGAAACCCGUUGUGCCUUGUAGUUCGCGACACAUGUACCACAUUAGCGACCUUCUCGAUGCCAUGAAACAGCUGAAGGGGCCCACUCACUACAUCACCAACUGUUAAUUGUCUCAUAUAUGGCUCGGCAUGGGUCUCAAGGUAAGGAAAGCCCUUUGCUUUCAUGAUAAGGUCAUAGAUGUUG